UUUUUUUUUUUUUUUUUCUGAUUUCACGGUAGCAGCAACACGGUGGGAGUUCUAGGGUUACAGUUGGCUCUGAUGCCAAAUUGAAUUUUACGGCUUAAUUUUCAUUGUAUUGCAAAAUAGACAAUAUAUACAAGAUACAAUCCUUGUUCUAUAAGGAAAACAGAAAAAGACACACAACUAACCUUCCUAAUAAAGGAUUCUAAUAUUUACAAUAUAAUUACAUGCCCUUUUUUAAUACUACUCACGGCAACAAAAAUAACCAAUGGUACAACUCGGAUCCUAGUUAGAGUAUCAUAGUGAUUACAUUUUAAUAUAGUUCACGGAUCAUUACAAUAGUCAUGCAUGAAAAGACCAAGUAGGUCACAUUCGAAGGCAUGAUCGUUGAGAUCAAGAGCUGCUUAAAAUCAUUGAGAACAUGAGCUCAUAAGAUUUGGUGGAGGAUAAAAAGUGAACCAACACUAGGAUCCGCUCAUAGUCGCAGUGAAGUGUUGAGAUACAAAGACAAUGGUUUUUAAAUUUGGCAAACAUGAGAUGUGUCCCACACUUGUAGAUGUACAUCAAAAUUUGGAUAUCCCAUAAAUUCCUUUUUGUACCUAGAGACAAUUAUCCUUGGCUUAGGUAAGUAAUUAGUAGAGAAUGAGAGAAGGAGAGUUUUGAAUUGGGUCCCAAACAAGGAUGCAAAUUAACUUAAAAAAUUUAUUGAGUCGCAACAACGACCAAUUCAAUAGUAAUUUUAAUAACAUAGUAUUUUCAUAACAUUGUAAAGUGAGAUAACUGGGAAUGGCAAGAACAAAGAUUGCAGUAACUGUCGAAGAAUGAGACCAAAAUUAAAACAAAAUUACAAAAGUCAACGUGUUGGGAGAAAUGAAAAAGUCGUUUUAAAUCGAAUCUUUGAAUUAGUGUGGCUCAAGACUCAGCCAAUCAAAAAUAUUUGGAAUGUAAUGGUGUUUCUGAUGUGUCACCCAUAUCUUAGAGUAGGUGAAAUUUUAUUUAUAGGGAAGAGAACAAAACAAACGAGUACUUAAGACAAAUAUAAAUUGAUGAGUUUGAGGAGAAUAUGAAUCUAAAAGUUUGUAUUUAUUGGGAAAUUAGCAAAAAUGACAGGGAGAUGUUCAGCAUAAAGCUAAAAUUGUUAUAAUAGGCAAAAUUUAGAGAGAUAAUCUUUACUCGGGACAGGAACGAAGCAGUUGUAGAGUAUUAUACCAACACAAGCUGUUGCAGAGGAAGUAAUGUAUAUUAUUGCUAUUAGAUGUUUUUCUCUUCCUUCUCUCUUCUUGAUGUUCUCUUCAUUUGAACAAUCUAAGUGCUCUAUUUAUAGAGCCACUUCAAUGGAAACUUACAAAACUUACUAUUCACAUGUGAUACAUUACUAUACACAUGUGGUACUUAACUAUACACAUGUGGGCAAACAUACCCAUUAUUUACAACACUCCCCCUUGGAUGCCCACAUAUCAGUAUCAGUUGCCUCAUUAAAACCUUGUUUGGAAAAACCUAGUGGAAAAAACCAUAGCGAAGGAAAAAGAGUAUAACUUUACCUGGAUGGUGUUGAGCAUGCUUAUGUUGCCUCGUUAAAACCUUGAUAGGAAAAACCCAGUGGGAAAAAUCCUAAUUGAAGGAAAAAGAGUACAACAUACAUGUAUCAUGGAUGCUCCCCCUGAAUUGUAUCUCCCCCUGAUUCCGCAUUCCUCAAAUUUGUAAGCCGACGUAAUCCGAUUCCAUGCACCAACUUCUGAAAUGUGCACUUUGGUAGAGAUUUGGUGAACAAGUCUGCUAAAUUUUCAUUGGAACGGAUUUGUCUGACUUCAAUAACUUUACCCUUCUGAAGCUCAUGUGCACUGAAAAAUCUUGGAGAUAUGUGUUUAGUCUUAUCACCUUUGAUGAAUCCUUCCUUCAUUUGGGUGACACAAGCUGCAUUAUCUUCAUGAAUGACAGUUGGGGUGUCUGUCUUUGAAGGUGGACCACAUGAAUUCCGGAUGUGAUGGAUCAUUGAUCUUAACCAAGAACAUUCAUGACUUGCUUCAUGUAAAGCAAUUAUUUCCGAGUGAUUGGAAGAUGUAGCAACUAACGUUUGCUUCGUUGAUCGCCAUGAAAUUGCAGUAUCUCCAUAAGUGAACACAUAUCCAUUUUGUGAGCGGGCUUUAUGCGGAUCGGAGAGAAAACCAACAUCUGCGUAUCCAACAAGGAUCUGAUCAUUUGUGAGCUUGUCUGAGUAGAAGAGACCCAUAUCUGUUGUCCCACGGAGAUAUCGUAGAACAUCUUUGACUUAUUUCCAAUGACGAAUUGUUAGAGUAGAGCUGUACCUGGCUAACAAAUUAACUGAAAAAGCUAUAUCUGGUCGAGUACAUUGUGCUAAAUACAAUAAAGCACUUAUUGCGCUUAAAUAUAGUACUUCUGGACCAAGGACCAAUUCAUCAUAUGGAAUUGAUCUUUUUUAAUGUCCAAAGAACGAACGACCAUUAGGGUGCUAAGUGGAUAAGCCUUGUCCAUGCCAAAUCGCUUCAGUAUCUUUUCCAUGUAAGCUGAUUGAUGGACCAAAAUUCCAUUAGCACAAUGCUCGAUCUGCAGGCCGAGACAAUAUUUUGUUUUCCUAAGGUCUUUCAUUUCAAAUUCGCUUUUCAGAUAUUCAGCAGUUUUAUUGAGCUCUUCAGGGGUUCCAACUAGGUUCAUAUCAUCGACAUAUACUGCCACUAUAGAAAAUCCAGUAUUUGAUUUCUUAAUGAACACACAAAUGCAGAUAACAUUGUUGGCAUAUCCUUCUUUAAUCAAAUACUCGCUGAGACGAUUAUACCACAUUCGCCCAGAUUGUUUCAACCCAUAUAGUGAUCGUCUUAAUUUGAUUGAGAGCAUACCUCAUGGUUUGUUAGUUGCUUCAGGUAACUUAAGUCAUUCUGGGACUUCCAUGUAUAUGUCAGUAUCUAAUUCUCCAUAUAGAUACGCGGUGAUGACAUCCAUAAGUCGCAUGUCAAGUUUUUCUGAAAUCACUAAACUUAUUAAGUAACGGAACGUAAUUGCGUCUAUUACAGGAGAGUAUAUCUCUUCAUAAUCAAUUCCAGGUCUUUGUGAAAAACCUUGUGCAACGAGUCGUUCUUUAUAUCUUACAAUCUCAUUUUUCUCGUUGCGUUUCCUUGUGAAUACCCAUUUGUAACCUACGGGGUUCACACCAGGCGGGAUUUGGACUAUUAGUCUAAAAACACUUCGUCUUUCCAAAGAAUUUAAUUCUGCCUGGAUUGCAUUUUUCCACUUAGGCCAAUCUUGUCUAUGUCUGCAUUCAUCAACAGAGUGGGGCUUAAUAUCAUCACUUAAGAUAAUUUCAGUGGCUAUUGCAAAUGCAAACAUGUCGUCGAUGAUUAUUUCAUUUCGAUCCCAUAAUUCAUUAGUACAUGCAUAAUUUAUGGAUAUUUCUUUGCUUUCAUGUACUUCUGUCUCUUCAGGCACAGAUGUCUCAUCAAGGACAUUUUAUUUUUCCGGAAGUACAGAAUCAUGAAUUAUGGAUUUAUCAUUCAAUUUCUUUUCUUGAAUGAUAUCAUUUAGGUUCAAUUGUGCCAUCAUCUUUCUCUUUCGAGGGGAUGAAUUUUUUGAACCUGGGGGUCUACCACGAUUCAGGCGUGCACUGGAUGAAUCAUUCGCUGCCACUUUAUUUUGUCCAACAGGGACAUCAAUUCUUGCAAGUGCGUUUGCAGCUGGUAUAUGUGACUUUGUCACUUUCGAAGCAUCAUUAAAUGCAUCUGGCAUUUGAUUAGCAAUACCUUGAAGAUGAACAAUCCUUUUCACUUCAUUUUCACAUUGAGUGCUCUGUGGAUCAAAAUGAGAUAAGGUGGGAACAACCCAUGUCAGUUCUUGUCGUUCUUUUAGAACGGUCUUUUCUCUCCCUAACGACGGGAAAACUGUCUCAUCAAAAUGACAAUUAGCAAAACGAGCUGUAAACAUAUCAUCAGUCAAAGGUUCCAAAUAUCUAAUGAUAGAUGGUGAAUCAAAACCCACAUAAAUUCCCAGUCUACGCUGAGGUCCCAUUUUAGUUCGUUGUGGCGGUGCAAUAGGCACAUAAACACCACAACCGAAAACUCGUAAAUGGGAAAUGUUUGGCUGUUGUCCAAACAAGAGUUGUAUUGACAAAUAUUGGUGGUUGGCUAUGGGUCUCAAUCUAACCAAUGAUGCAGCAUGUAAUAUGGCAUGUCCCCAUGCAAAUACUGACAAUUUCGUUUUCAUGAGUAGAGUGCGGGCUAUUAAUUGAACCCGCUUGAUAAAUGCCUCUGCUAAACCAUUUUGAGUAUGGACAUGAGGAACAGGGUAUUCAACAUCAAAGCCCAGUGCCAUACAGUAAUCAUCAAAGGUUUGAGACGUAAAUUCACCAGCGUUAUCAAGUCGAAUGGACUUAAUAGGAUGAUCUGGGAACUGUGCUCGCAACUUAAUUAUCUGAGCAAGAAGUCUCGCAAAAGCUACAUUUCUAGUAGACAAUAGGCAAACAUAUGACCAUCGGGUAGAUGAAUCAACCAAAACCAUAAAAUAUCGAAAUGGUCCACAAGGUGGUUGAAUAGGUCCACAAAUAUCUCCUUGAAUUCUUUGCAAAAAUGAUGGGCCUUCAUCUUCAACCUUUAGUUGUAAUGGUCUAAUUACCAACUUCCCUUGGGAACAAGACUUGCAAGGGUUAUCAUUUGAAACAUCAAUAUGUCUGCUCAAUAAUGGAUGUCCAUUAGAGUUGGUAAUGAUUCUACGCAUCAUGGUAGAUCUUGGAUGACCUAGACUGUCAUGCCAAAGCAUGUAAACCUUUGAAUCAAUGAACUUCUAGUUCAUGAUAGUAUAUGCCUCAACUGUCCUUAUGUAUGUAUAAUACAAUCCACUCGAUAAACCAUGCAACUUCUCCAAUAUACGCUUAUGGGUAUCAUUGGAGGUAAUGCAUAAAUAUUCCACAUUUUCUACACUUUUCAUUUCAAUGUGGUAUCCAUUUAGACAAAUGUCUUUAAAACUCAACAAAUUUCGAAUGGAUCGAGUAGCAUAUAAUGCAUUCUUUAUAGACAAUAUUGUUCCAUUUGGUAACAUAAUCUGGGCUUUUCCUGAGCCUUCAAUUACAUCUGAUUGCCCUGAUAUUGUUGUUACCUUUACUUUUGCAAGUACCGAAUUUGAGAAAUACUUUCAAUCUCGAAGUAUUAAAUGCGUGGUUGCGCUAUCUGCAAGACAAAAUUCUUCGCCAUUGCUCUUGUUUUGAGAAUAACCAUAAUUUUUAUCCAUGUUCUCAGAGUAAAGAAAAAGCAGUUUAUUCAUACUAGAAUACUACUUUUAUUGAAUUGAAAAUGCGAGCAUUAAACCACAAGUACAAAUAACAGAAGUACAUUAAACAUAAAUAAUUCAAUCGGACCCAUAAACUUCAUUCACUCUUUCAUUAAUAAAGUCUAUAGUAUCCAGGUGGGUUGUGUUUAACUGUCCUGAUAAAUUGGUCACUAGAUCAAGGGUUUCCAUUGGUUGAGCCUGGUCGAAGAAAUUGAUCUCGACACCCUUCUUCUUGAAUGAGGCUUGAUAUAGCUCCACCAGAUGCUUUGGGACAAGUACGCGCCCAAUGUCCGUUACCACCACACCUAUGGCAAGCUCCUUCAUGAUUUCUAUGAGUGUUCACAUGAGCUUUUCCUUUCUGGUGAUUUGCAUUUUUAAAGCUCGGGCCUGGAUUAUGCCUUGGAACCUGGUUGUGAAACUGGACACCAUGGUUCUUGUCUUUCCCUUUCCACCGGCCUUGCUUGUGGCCACGUCCUCGUUUGUAAUUAUUGUCACGGAAGAAUAUGGUAUUUCUUUUAAGGGAAGCAGCAUUCACUUCUGGGAACGGUGUUGAUCCAGUAGGUCGGGAAUUAUGGUUUUUCAUCAGGAGCUCAUUGUUCUGUUCAACUACCAGGAACACAGAUAUCAGCUGGUUGUAUUCAGUGAAGCCUCGCGCUCUAUACUGCUGCUACAGUACCAUGUUAGAGGCGUGAAAUGUGCUGAAAGUCUUUUCCAAUAACAUCUCCUCAGUAAUAGUAUCCCCACAGAGCUUCAUCUGAGAGGUAAUUCUAAACAACGUCAAAUUGUACUCAUCUACUGGCUUGAAAUCCUGGCCACGUCCUCAUUUGUAAUUAUUGUCACGGGAGGAUAUGGUAUUUCUUUUAAGGGAAGCAGCAUUCACUUCUGGGAACGGUGUUAAUCCAGUAGGUCAGGAAUUAUGGUUUUUCAUCAGGAGCUCAUUGUUCUGUUCAGCUACCAGGAACACAGAUAUCAGCUGGUUGUAUUCAGUGAAGCCUCGCGCUCUAUACUGCUGCUACAGUACCAUGUUAGAGGCGUGAAAUGUGCUGAAAGUCUUUUCCAAUAACAUCUCCUCAGUAAUAGUAUCCCCACAGAGCUUCAUCUGAGAGGUAAUUCUAAAUAACGUCGAAUUGUACUCAUCUACUGGCUUGAAAUCCUGGAUCCUUAGGUGAGUCCAGUCAUAGCGAGCUCUUGGAAGAAUCACCGUUGUCUGGUGAUUGUAUCUGUUUCUCAAGGCAUUCCAAAUGGCUAACGGAUCUUCAACCGUUAAGUACUCGCUCUUUAGUGCCUCAUCAAGAUGGCAACAAAUAAAAAUCAUGGCCUUUGCCCGAUCUUGAAAGGAUGAGCUGGUCUCUUCCUUAAUGGUAUCUCCAAGAUUCACUGCUUCCAAAUGGAUCUUGGUAUCCAGUACCCAGGUAAGGUAAUUCUUUCCAGUAAUAUCCAGGACAGCGAAAUUAAGCUUUGUCAAGUUUGUCAUUUUCUUUUCUGAAAGAAUAAUGAGGUGUGUAAGAACUUGCAAUAAUAUGUAUUCUGGAGGAAUAUAUUGUUAGAACUUCUGAUUCUUACAAAUUUUGGAUCUUCAAGCCAAAAUGAUAAGUACUCGAAAGUACUCGAAACUUCAGGCUCGAGAUUUACAUAAUUAAUGAGAAGGGCAAUUGUACCGCACCAUUCUCAUCGAAACAAGUACAGGAUGGGCGAUUAUUUCGCACUACUUUAAACAGCAGGAAAAUUUAAAUAUGUAGAGUAAGGUGGACGAUUAUACCGCACCACCUAAAAUUGCAAUAAAAUUUAAAUAUGUAAAGCAGGGUGGGUGAUUAUUUCACACCACCUAAAGCAGGGUGGAUGAUUAUUUCACACCACCUAAAAUUGCGAUAAAAUUUAAAUUUGUAAAACAGGGUGGUGAUUAUUUCACACCACCUAAAAUUGCGAUUAAAUAUGUAAAGCAGGGUGGGUGAUUAUUUCACACCACCUAAAAUUGCGAUAAAAUUAAAUAACAUGCAAAUUUAAAUAUGCAGGAUAGGGCGGGCAAUUAUACCGCUCCACUUAAAAUUUGCAGUAAAAUUAGAUCUGUAGUCCAAGAUAGGCGAUAGAACCGCACAAUCUUGGAUUGCAUAAAUAAUCAGUGGGUUAGUAGUCAAUAUCUACACCAAACAAGAAAUCAAAGAUAUAAGUGAGUGUUAGUUGGAGAACUAGAAGUAAACAUGGUGCAAACAGUUCUUCGCGAUGGUAUACCCAACAAUUGAGGCAGAGGAAGAAGAAGAACAGUAAAAACCUUGGAGGAAACAUUUUUUUUUUUCUUUCGGUGAAGGGAAAUGAGAAAUUAUUAGAGAGUUGUGUUGAUAACGUGUUAUAAAUAGGCAAAAUUUAGAGAGAUAACAUUUACUCGGGACAGGAACGAAGCAGUUAUAGAGUAUUAUACGAACACAAGCAGUUGCAUAGGAAGUAAUGUAUAUUAUUGCUAUUAGAUGGUUUUCUCUUCCUUUUCUCUUCUUGAUGUUCUCUUCAUUUGAACAAUCUAAGUGCUCUAUUUAUAGAGCCACUUCAAUGGAAACUUACAAACCUUACUAUUCACAUGUGAUACUUUACUAUACACAUUAUUAUACACAUGUGGUACUUAACUAUACACAUGUGGGCAAACAUACCCAUUAUUUACAACAAAAAUGAGAGUCUUGAAAACACACUAGCUAGCAUUUUCUUUCAUUGAAUGUCAAUGACUCAAUAUUAUUAUUAUGUUACGUCCAAUUUGCAUGUCCCUUUACUUUGCCCAAAGUAAUAACUGUUAGAUGUAUAAUGUCUCACUUAUUGAUAAUCCUAGAGAGAUCAAAAUUUUAAACUACAUUUGCAAAUCAAAUGAUGUGGUUCUUGAUGGUUGAAUUGUUACUGUGAAAUGUAUCAUGUCUCAUUCAUGAUUUAAAUUUUUGGUCUCCCUAAGACCAUCUUCAACCCAUGGAAUAAAACUUAAAAUAUAAACUUUUAAACCCCCCCCCCCCCAAACCAACUCCAACCAUUGGGCUAAAAUAAGCCAUGAGGAGAAAAUAUAUAUUUAUGCUAGAUUUUCUCCAGGAUUUAAGAACGGCUUAAAUUAUUCUGAACCUACCAAACUAUCAUAUUUCAAACCUGUUUUUGUUUUUUACUUAUAAUCUAAUGGCUGUGAUCAAAUGAGAUCAAAUCUAAUGGUAAAAAAAAUAUUUGAUGGCCCAAAAUUAAAUCUAACAUCUAAAAUAAUUUAAGAAAAAUUAUUUAAAUCAAAUUUCACUUAAAUCUUUAUAAAUACCUAUGUAUUUGUAUGAUUUUUAAUUACUUAUUGGAAUUUAAAUAUUUUUAGAUUAAAAUGUUCAUAAAAAUGAAUUAGGAUAAUCUACAUAAAUUUUAUUCUCAAAAAAGUUACUGAGAAAAAAAAUUAGGCAAAAAUGAUUAUUUAAUAAUCUCGGACUAAAAUUUUAAGCCAGUUGGAGGAGAAAAGCAGUUUUUGGGUUAUAGCUUAAAAUUUUUUGACUUAAAGUUUUAAGGUUUAUCCAAAGGAGUUGGAGAUGGUCUAAUAUUAUAUCUCGGGAAAUUUUUUGAAAUGUCAUAUGAACUGGUUAGUAUUUUUCAGUUUGUCAUAUAAACUAAAAUUUUAAGUAAUUUGUCAUAGCAACUUUUGAAAUCAUUAAUUUGUCAUCUCUCCCUAACUCCGUUAAGUUUUCCAUCCAAUAUAAGUCAUAUGUGAAGUGUUUAGGGUUAUUUCGAUCAUUUUAAUACCUUACUUCCCUUUUAUUAAGUUGUAUUCGACAAAAAAUGGUGGGCUUCUCAUGCAAUGGAACAAUAUUUUCUAUACGAUAGCAAUUAAUUAAAUGAUCAUGCAAUGCACUCUCUUCUAGUUAUUCCAAAUAUGUAAUGAUACACAAGUGGGAGUUUUUGCAUUUUAGCAUGUCAAAGAAUAAUUUCAUACAGGCUCUAUAAAUGAGAAACAAAUUGACGUUUUGUGCCGUAAAUGAAGUUGUAGAUGCAUAUGUGCUAAAGAAAAGUAAAAAAAAUAUUAAGGGUUUGUACUAUAUAAAAGUAAAAAAACUUGUGAAAAGAUGUUAAAAUUACCUAAAAACCAUCAACACAAGUCACGUGCGAGGCACAUAACUUAUAUUGGAUAGAAAACUUAACGAAGUUGGGAUGGGAUGAAAAAUUAAAGAUUUUGUAAAGUUAAUAUGAUAAAUUGCUUAAAAUUUUAGUUUAUAUGACAAAUUGAAAAAUAUGAACAAGUUCAUAUGACAUUUCCCCAUUUUUAUAAGUUGCAACUUGAAAAAUAGAUGAUUUGGAUCGUUAAAGUUCGAUAUAGUGUGGACCCCACAACUAAUCCCCAUUUUUAUAAUAAAAAAAAUGAGAAUCCAUUCCCUUAAAGAUUUCCACGGAUCAUAUAUCAUUAGGAAUAUCAUAAACAAAUUCUUCGACGGCUCUUUGUAACAAUAGUUUCUCAACUUUAACGCAAUUGUUUGUCUUUCAACUAAAAAUUCGUGACUAUUCGUCUCUUAACUUAUCAAAAUGUGUAACUAUGAUCGUUUUCGUCUACUUCGUCGAAACAUCCGUCAAAAUGCUACGAUUGAGUUAAAGUUGAGAGAACAUUUCUCUAAUAUCAAUUGGGUAAAAGUUGAGGGAAUAUUUCUCCGUGUUAAAAUUGAAAAACCGUUGCUACAAUUUUGCUCAUUUGUGACCAAUGAUCACAAAUUUUUAAUUAAAAGACCCUUGCUCAAAUUCAAUUAAAUUUGAUACACCAUUACUACAAUUUCCUCCAAAAUAAAAUAAAUCAAGAAUUACAAUAUUGUAUUAUUAUUUCUGUCAAAUAGAUUUUAGAGUGGGGAGUUAAUUGUCACUCUUUACUUUUAGGCGGGAGACAAAUAAUGUGCUUAUCAUUCCCCUUUAAAACAUCCUUCUCAUAGCACUAGGCAUUCAUUUCUUCUCAAUUACAGUUUGACACACGUACAAAACAAUUCGUGUUUUUAUGGUACAUUUCCGCAUUGAAACAGAUUCUUCCAAAAAAAGAACCAGUGUCAACCCAAAAAAGACUGUACCAACUACCCAAAGCCCAGAAGCAUAGAUCCCCAUCCCCAUAGAAAAUUGACCAAAUAUAUCAUCCCAACGAAACAAAGAUCGCAAGUAUUUAAAAGACCGCAACAGAAAUAACAACUGACACACAGCAGAUAACAAACAUUCAGCUUCAAAGCCGACUAGCAAAUGGAUCUGAUCAGUUUUUCUCGCUGUGUCGAUCACUAACAAUCAUGCUUGGGCUAGAAAGCAAUGUGUACCGUAACUAUAUGCAACAAUCGUAAUCAUUUCCACACCAGAAAGAGUGGAGCAUGUUAGAGACCUCUAAAACAAACCCAGUAUUAAAGUAGCACAGAAACAACUUUCAAUCAAUGGGCACAUGACAAAUCCAACAAACUCACCAUGAUCCGUGCGAAGCAUGAAAUGUAGUAAUGUUCUAGUAAAAAAAUGAUCAAAUGCUUCAGGGAUUCAAGAAGCAGAGAACUCAACAGAAUCUUAACUAUCAUUGCCCGAAGAAAACUUUAAGUCAAUUUGGGUAAGGCAUGAACCUCCCCAAACCUAGAGUAGUACAAUUAAACACCAAAAUUUCAGGUCUAACAUCAAAAUUAAAUUCAAAGCCAAAACUUGUGAACAAAAAUAUUCUAUUACAGCAAGGUAACAAGACGAACUAACGUAAUCAAUAGGACCUUCUAAGCCUUAAUGGCAUACUUCCUCAAAGGGUAGUACAUCUCCUUCUUCUUCUCCCUCUCGGUCUUCAAAGAAGACUGUGCAAUACAACAGCAUAACAAAAUCACACCCCAAUACACACCAAAUGAAAAAACUACAAACUGGGCAAUCUAUCUUUUCAACAAUCACAAAAACCCAAUGCAGAUCAACUACAUAUAAAAUAAAAUUUGUCCACAAUCGACGUCGGUGUAGUGUUUCAUAUACUAUAAAUAAACUAUAUCAAACAGUUGCAUCAAAUGCCAUUACAAGAUAGUUCAUCAUUUAAAUUUCUGUUCAAGUAUAAAUAAAAGCAAACGAAGUCGAAAAACGUUAGUACCUGGUGCUUGGUGAGCCUCCGGCGGAUGGCCCUGGUCUUCUUGGGACGGAGAUCAAGAGGCAAGAGCUUCUUGUUCCUGUACACUUCUCUGAGAGCAGCCUUCUGCUUCUGUGACAUCACCGUCAACACCUGGGCGAUCGACAGCCUCACAACCUUGCUGCGAAAACCAAAAUUUCAAUACAAAAAAUCAAAUUUCUCUUCGUUUUCUGAGAUUCCAGAACAAAAAUCAGGAAAACAAAAAAUUGGGUUUUGAUUGUUACAUCUUGGAGAGCUUGUUGGGCGCUCCGCCGGUGACCUUAGCGACGCGGAGGAGGGCGAGCUCCGCCUUGAGAUCCUUGAGCUGAGCCAAAAGGUCAGCCUUUGUCUUGUGCCUCAGCUCAUGUACCUUGAUUCUCGCUAUCACAGUUUACAAACAAUAAGAACAAAAUCAUCAGCAGAAAAGGAUAAUGUUUUGGGGAACCGAAAUCGCAGAGAGCAAGUGGAAGUACCCAUUGCUGCUGCUUGCGUGCGAGCGAGUUCGGCAACGGCGGCUCCUUCUCUUUAGCUUGACGGGAAAAUGAAACCCUAAAUUUUGAGUAGCGGUGGAUUUAGCGGGAUUUUAUAUGUAGCGUGGGUGUGUGGACUUUAGGUUGGGUAUGAUUGGGCUAUUGCUGAUUUGGGUUUUAGUUAUACAAAUGGAAGUGGGUCUUAGUGUGAUGACCCAAUUAGUCAAGGAGCCCACUUUGAAGCCCAUGUCUUGAGAAAGCUCAGCCCAAAUUGUGUAGCAUGUCUAUUCUUUUAGUACAAGCUUUUUAGCCAAAAUAGUCCAUGAGAUUUGCAUAACACAUCAUUUUGGUCCUUGAGAUUGAAAAUCAAUAGAAAUGGUCUCUGAGAUUGUCCACCAUCCAUUAUUUUGGUCCUUCCGUUAAAAACUCCGUUAAGUGUCCUGCAGUUCUUGGUCGGAAAUUUGGGCAAUUUUCAAAGUUUCGUAACUCAAUCGUUUCUCAACCAAAUUCAACUCAUAAUAUAUCAAAAUAAUAUAGGAAAGUGUAGAAUAAGAUCAUACCUAUUGGAAGCCCAAUGGUUAUCGGAGAUGGCCGGAAAAUAGCUUGAAAUGUGACUGGUCAAUGGGAAAAUUGGGAAACUUUAAACGUUCAUAACUUCUUCAAUACUCAACGAAAUUGAGUGAUUCAAAAAUAAAAAUCAUACUUCUCAAUGAGACAAAUAGAAUGGUGCCUUUGUUGACUGCUAAUUCACUAUAGUUUGGCUAGAAAACGGCUCGAAAGUGACUAACUAGAGACCAAGAUAACCACUUUCAAGCCAUUGUUCGGCCAAACCGCGCUGAUUUAGCCAUUGAAAAAGGUACGAUUCUCUUUAUCUCGUUGAGAAGUAUGAUUUUCGUUUUUGAAUCACUCGAUUUCGUUGAGUAUUGAAGAAGUUAUGAACGUUUAAAGUUUACCCAGUUUUCGGCAAGUUUUCCAGUUUUCCUGCGGACCAAUCACCUAUCAGGUUAUUUUCGGACUAUCUUUGGAAACCAUUGGGCUUCCAAAUAGGUAUAACCUUGUUCUACACUUUCCUAUCUUCAUUUUGAUAUAUUAUGGGUCAAAUUGGGUUAAGAAACGAUUGAGUUACGAAGCUUUGAAAAUUGCCCAAGCUUUCGGCCAAGAGCUCCAGGACACUUAACGGAGUUUUUAACGGAAUGACCAAAAUAAUGGAUGGUGGACAAUCUUAGGGACCAUUUCUAUUGAUUUUCAAUCUCAGGGGCCAAAGUAAUGUGUUAUGCAAAUCUGAGGAACCAUUUUGGAUAAAAAGUCUUUAGUAAAUAUUGAAGCCUAAAGAAAAUGGGUAACUAGGGUUCAGUAAUUCUCCUCCUUACAUCUAAUUGAAUGAUCUUUGGUUUGAUUCAUAGAAAUUUUGAUACCCAAGUGAGACUUAAGAUCAUAUCUUUGUGUCAAGAAAAGAGGAAAGGGACGAUUCCAGGCUUUGGAUGGAGAAGUAAUUAUCAAUCACCAUAAUUAAUAGAAUAAGAAGUAUUUGAUAUAAAUGUUUUUUUGAUAUAUUCAACCAUAAAGAGGUGGAUUAGGUUAGACCAAACACUGAGUCUGUAACUAACUAGGUAUAGAACUCAAUAAAAAUAUAAUACGUCUUCGUCAUUCAUAUGAGGCGAACUCAAUAUCUCUAACUUAUAAGUAAAAUCAAAAAUCAAUAAACUGUAGUACUACUUGGUAAAAAAAAUAUUUGAUUUUUUUAAAUAAUAAAACAUUGUUAUCAUUUUAAUAUAAGCACUCACGAAAAAGUGUUAAUUUCUUCACAACCAUUUCAAAACGAAAUUGGGAAUGAAGGUAGAGGGAGAAUUUCCUUCUUUUUUUUCCUUAUAUACGUAAAAGAGAGAGAAUUGGGACUAAGAACAAAAGGCUUCAUCCAGAAACUCAUUGACCAUCAGCAGUCAUGGCAUCCGAUCAUUAUAAGCCUAACCUGAUUACUUAAUUGGGCUUUUGCUUCACUAAUGGGUUGAACCCUUUUCUUAUUUGGUUUCAAGAAGGCAAAGUCAAGCAUAGUCCCAUUUAGUAGCAUGAGAUUUUGUUGUUGAUAUUGUUGUAUUGGAUUCAAGGAGGCAAAAGCCGAAAAGAAAAGAAACUACAAGAUAAUUAUUCUAGGCCGAGCAUUGCCCGUUUUAUCGUCUUGACUAACAAGUAGCAUGUGAGUAGAAGAGGGUCAUCCCAAACAGCGUCAAGUAGCAAAUUCUGAAGUUUCUUUGUAGUUGGUUCUCAUAACAGAACUGGAAAACAGAAAGGGAAUGGGAAAUAUAAAGGAAGAAGCAGAGAGAAAAUCAAAGGAAAAAUGAAUUGAGAAAGCUUGUAUUUCUGAAGGAAAAUGAUACACUUGAUUGAUUGAUUCUUACACCAGUACUUGGCUUAUAUAGCCUCUAUGUGCUAACUAACUCUAACAAUUUGAAUUAGUUACAACAAUAUUAACAUACUAAAUGCCAAGUCAUCAUCCAAGUCAUCAGUCUUUAAUUUCUAAUAUUGCCAUGUCAUUAGUUGAUUGCCAAGUCAUCAUCACCGUCAAUAUCCCCCCUCAAUCUCAACUAGGAUUUCCUAGUUGCAGAUUGUAACAAUGCUUAACAAACGCAGGAAUGUGCAAUCCCUUUGUGAGAAUGUCAGCUGCUUGAUCAUCUGUAGGAAUAUACACCACCUCCAGAUCACCUUGUUGUACUCUUUCUCGGACAAAAUGAUAAUCUGUGUCCAAAUGUUUGAUUCUCGAAUGAAAUACAGGAUUGGCACUCAAUGAUAUCGCAGACAUGUUAUCACAAUGGAUCACAUGUGGAUGAGGAAGAAAAACAUGUAAAUCUUUUAAAAUAUGUCUCACCCAUGUAAUAUCUGCAGCUGUAUGAGCUAAUGCUUUAUACUCAACUUCUGUGGAGCUUCGGGAAACUGAAGUUUGCUUCUUUGACUGCCAAGAAAUAGGAUUAUGUCCAAGGAAAACAACAUAACCUGUCACUGAUCGUCUGGUGUUAAGAUCUGCAACCCAAUCUGCAUCUGAAAAUGCAUUCAAACUUACUACUGCAGUUGCAGAAUAGAAAAUACCAGCUUGAAUUGUACCUUGCAAGUAUCGCAGAAUUCGUUUAACUGCUGUUAAAUGAACAUCAGUUGGUGAAGUCAUGAAUUGACAUACCGAAUUCACUGCAAAGGCUAUAUCUGGCCGUGUGAAUGUCAAAUAUUGAAGAGACCCCACAAUACUUCUGUAGAUACUAGGAUCAGCCAAUGGUUUACCUUCUGUCACAAGCAUCAAAUUAUGAGGCUUGCAGGGAGUUGUAGCAGGUUUACAGGACUUCAAACCUGUUUUGUGUAUAAGGUCCUUGAUAUACUUUGUUUAAUUCACAAAGAUAUCUCCAUUAUUCUUAUAGUGAAUCUGCAACCCGAGAAAGAAUGUGAGUCUGCCAAGAUCUUUCAAAUCAAAUACUUCAGACAAUUCUUGGAUUGCUGUAUUAAUCAUGGAAAUGUUGGAACCUGUGAGGAUAAUGUCAUCCACAUAGAGUAAUAACAUCACAAUAUCAUCACCAUCCUUCUUUGUGAAUAAACUGGUAUCUGAUAAUGAGGCAGUGAACCCCAUUGCAACUAGAUAAGUAGUGAAUUUUGAAUUCCAGGCUCUAGGGGCCUGUUUAAGCCCAUAUAGAGACUUGAGUAACCUGCAAACAUGAUUGGGAUGUGAAGGAUCAAUGAAUCCUUGUGGCUAUUUCAUAUAAACCUCCUCCUGUAAAUCACCAUGAAGGAAUGCAUUUUUUAUGUCCAAUUGUUUUAAUUCCCAAUGAUUCAUUGCAGCAAGAGACAAAAUAAUUCUCACUGUUGUAUGUCUGACAACAAGACUAAAGGUCUCUGAAUAAUCCACUCCAUGCUCCUGUGAAAACCCUUGGGCAACCAAUCUAGCCUUAUAUCUGGAUAUACUCCCAUCUGCAUUCUUUUUCAGUUUGUACACCCACUUACUCCCUACUAUGGAUCUGUCAUUAGGUGGAGAAACUAAGUCCCAAGUUCCUUAUGCUCUCAAAGAAUCAUAUUCUUCUUGCAUUGCUUGCUGCCAAUGUGGUAUACACGAAGCUUUCCUGAAACUUGAUGGUUCUGCAAUAACAGUGACCUAAGUAACAAAAGAGAACCCCCCAGAAAAUGGUUCAUCUUCUGUUAAUUGAAGUGUAUGUAGCUCAGGAAAUGUGGCCAAAUAUGCUGCAUAAUUUCUCCUUGGAAUUGUUCCACUUUUCAACCUUGUUACCAUAGGAUGCUGAGAAAUGGAAUUUAACAUAGAUGUAGAAUUCGCAGAAUUUGUAUUAUCAUGUGCUGAGAUAGGAAGAAUUACCUCCAAUUGUGAGCUGUGAUGGACAGUCAACAAGGGUGAUGUGGAAGAAAUUGGAAUAGAGUGAUGAUGAUGAGGAGUGUCCAAUGUUGCUGAAUGUGAUAAACUUGAAGAACUUGGAGUCCCAAUUUCAGAUAUAGACUGACUGCAUUAAUAUGCCCCAGACUCUAUUGACUGUCUUGAGCUGAGUUAGAAUGUGGCAAGAAUUCUGAAGUGUGAUCUUCCAUAACUGGAAGUUGGACCAAUAUUGGAACCUGUCUAGGCUUCUGUAAAUCUGAAACCUUUUCUUUAUGCUUUGCAAAUGACUUCUGAUAUGGAAAAACUGAUUCAUCAUGUAUAACAUGUCUUGAUAUAACCAGUUUGCUAGUUUGUAAAUUAUAACAAACUACGCCUUUGUAACCAUUUGAAUAACUCAGAAAAAGACAUUGAGAAGAUCUGAGCUGUAACUUAUUGUCAUUAAAUGGUCUAAGAUACGGAUAGACAGCAGUGCCAAACACUUUAAAAUGAGACAAUUCUGGUACUCUUCCAAACACACACUGAUAUGGAGAUUGCAUUUCAAGAACUCUGCAUGGCAUUCUAUUAAUUAACAUAGUAGAAUGUGAACAAGCAUGAUACCAAAACUUAGGUUCCAAAUUUGCUUCAGCCAUUAAUGUUAAUGCAGUUUCCACCACGUGUCGAUGCUUCCUUUCAGCAAGACCAUUCUGCUGAGGAGUAUAAGGACAUGAAACCAUGUGUUUGAUGCCUUUAUACCCCAAGAAAUCACUAAACAGUUUGCUCAUAUACUCCCCACCUCCGUCAGAUUGUAAACAUUUUAUAGUUAUCCCAAACUGAUUCAACACAAAGGCAUAAAACUUGGCAAAAAUAUUGAAAGCUUCUGAUUUAUUCACCAUGGGAAAAAUCCACAUGAAUCUUGAAUAUUCAUCUACAAAAUUCAUAUAGUAUCUAUACCCUUCUAUAGACUUUGUUGGAGAUGGACCCCAUACAUCAGUGUGGAUUUUAUUAAAAAGACUACUAGCUCUAGUUUGUCUUAUUGGAAAUGAUUGCCUACACAUUUUGCCUUGUAUACAAGAAAAACACAUGGAAAUACAAUCAUUAGACUUUGUAUUAACUGAUAUUUUUGAAUCUGUCAACAUUGCAUUUAAGAUCUCUUGAGAUGGAUGUCCAAGUCUCUGGUGCCAAACUGACUGUUGAACUGUCUUCCCCAAAAAAGCAGCACAAUUACUUAACUGCGCAGUAAAUGAUCUUGAAAAAGUGCUCACUGGAAUCUUGAAUAACUCCCCAUCAUCACUCUUUCCUUGGUAUAGAAUCACCCUUGUGGCCUUGUCCUGUAUAAAGAAGGUAAGAUCAUCACAUAUAAACCAACAAACAUUGUCUCUACAUAAUUUCUUAACUGAGAGCAAAUUGACAGUAAUCAUUGGAACAUGCAACACAUUAUGCAAUUUUAAUGAAUGAUUCGAUGAUAUAGGAAUAAUAGAAGACCCCAUAUGCUUUACAGCCAAACCUUCACCAUUUCCCACAACAAUCUUUUCAUUUCCAGUGUAAGGUGUAGCUUGAUUCAUUGCAUUCAUAUUGGCAGUCAUGUGAUGUGUGGCCCAUGUGUCCACAAUCCAAGUAUCAGCUGCUGAGAAAUCAUGAGCUGUUGAUUAUGCAGAUGCAUUUUGCUGACCAAUAUGUCCUUGUGCAGUCAUUGCAGUUAAUGAAGAUGAUGGUGGAGCACCCUGAUAGGAGAAAUUGUUUAUGUGAUAACACUCCAAUGCAAUGUGACCUCGUUUUCCACAUAUCUGACAGACUAUAAAACCACCAGGAGUUUGUGUAUUACUGUUGUCAGCUAUGUAGUAGUAAUUUGGAGCAGUAUGCCCCCUUCUUGAACAAAUCUGACAUUCUGGAGAAACCGAGGAUUUGUAAUUUGUAUUCCCAUUCCAAUAGUUAGUUCUUGUAUUCCAAGAAUUGCCAUUCUGAGAUUGCUUCCCAUUUCCAGAGUAAUUGCUACUUCCAUUACCAUCAUAUGAAUUCCCAUUCCUGUUGCCAUAACUUCCAGAGUAAGACUUUGAAUUAUUAUUCCCAUUAUUGAACCUUCUGUAGUAGUUAUUUUACACAUUAUUCCUCUGUUGAAAAGAUCUGUUUGCCGUACCAACAUAGCCAGAGCCUCCUGGAACAUUAGAUGGACUCCCAUGAUAAAAAUCCCUAUUAGAGUUAGAACUUUCACCAUGUUCAUAUCCUCCUUGGAAUCUCUGUGAAUUAGACCAUUCACCUUGCACCACCAUUGCAGCCAUAGAAGAACUCAGCGAGUGCAUUCGUGUCUCAAUACUUGCUUCAGCUCCAAGUAAUUGCGCCCUGAAAUCUUUUAAAGACAUAGAUGUUUCCCUAGCAAGAAUAACAGUCUUGAUCAUCUCAAACUCCACAGGCAAUCCAGAUAACACAGCAAUCAUAUAAUCAUUGUCUGUAAUUUUCUCUCCAGCGGAAAUCAGUUGAUCUUUUAUACCCUUCAAUUUCAGCAUAAACUUCUCAACAGAUUCCCCACCUUUCUGUGAAGAAUAAAACUCAGUUUUCAAUUGGUUAAUCCGUACCACAGAUAUGGAUGCAAACCUGUCGUGCAAACAAGUCCAAGCUUCAUGUGACGUUUUGCAUCCAAUGACAUAUUCCAUCGCAUCAUCCGAUAAUGUAGCAAUUAAUAAACUGAGCAACGCCAAAUCUUUCUUGACCCAAUUCUUGUAUGCUACCGUAAUUUCAUUUGUGACACCUGCCUCAAUAUCAAUCACAAAUCUUGGUGGACAUGGCGAUUCACCAGUAAAAUGAUCAAACAAAUCAUAACCCCUUAAUACGGAUUGAAAUUGAUAGCUCCAUUUGACAAAGUUGUCAUCUUGAAGUUUCACAAUCAACAUCCCUAACAACCCUUCAAUUUUCACAUAAUCAGACAUGAUUGACGAAUCAAGAAACACCCCAAAAAGAUUCAAGAGCAACCAAGAAUUCAACACUACAACAGAAAAGAAGAACUCAACAAUGCUUAUCAAUACUGCACCUCAGCUUCGACCUUAUAAAAUGCAGCAAAAUCCAGAAAUACGAAGAUCAACCCAAAACAAUUUGUAUACAAGAAAGAUUGGCUUCGGCCUUUGUAAUCUUUCAACUUCUAAUACUUUUCAUCCUCAUUCAACAAACAUGGCAUCGGCCUUGAAUAUCAUCAAUUUGCAACUAAAAUUCUUACUGAGACAAUUUAACAAACAGUUCAUCGACAUAAUUUCUGAAAGAGAAACUGAAAACCUGAGGUCGCCCAGAAAAUUGCACCAUUGAAGAAAACCGAUCACGAAUCACCAAACAAGCAGAUAGACACAGCGGAAGACACACCAUAGAUCGUUCCUUGGCGAUGAUACCAUCAUAACAGAACUGGAAAACAGAAAGGGAAUGGGAAAUAUAAAGGAAGAAGCAAAGAGAAAAUCAAAGGAAAAAUGAAUUGAGAAAGCUUGUAUUUCUGAAGGAAAAUGAUACACUUGAUUGAUUGAUUCUUACACCAGUACUUGGCUUAUAUAGCCUCUCUGUGCUAACUAACUCUAACAAUCAGUCCUAACAAUCUGAAUUAGUUACAACAAUAUUAACAGACUAAAUGCCAAGUCAUCAGUCUUUAAUUUCUAAUAUUGCCAUGUCAUUAGUUGAUUGCCAAGUCAUCAUCACCGUCAAUAGGUUCAACAUGCUAUUAUUUAUAAUUUAUAUCAAUAAUAGCAGCAAAGUUGCAUGCAAUGUUAACUCUAGAAAGUUGACGUAGUGAGAAAGUCAUGCAAUUUGAAACCCUAUAUAUGGCUCAUCCUAUAUCAAUCGAAUUAUAACUUGGUAUUGCAGCUGUAGCUGGUGCAUGGACAUCGCUCGUUUAACAACGAUAUAAACCAAACCCAUAACCUGUCUUAGAAAGUUGACGUAGUGAGAAAGUCAUGCAAAUUGAAACCCUAUAUAUGGGUCAUCCUAUAGCAAUCGAAUUAUAACUUGGUACUGCAGCUGUAGCUAGUGCAUGGACAUCGCUCGUUCGACAACGAUAUAAACCAAACCCAUAGCCUCUCCUAGAAAGUUGACAUAGUGAGAAAGUCAUGCAAUUUGAAACCCUAUAUAUGGCCUAUCCUAUAUCAAUCGAAUUAUAACUUGGUACGUAGUGCAAUUGUAGCUGGUGCAUGAACAUUGCUUAUUCGACAACGAUAUAAACCAAACCCAUAACCUCUCCAAAGCAUAAGGAUAGUGAUAUCAUGGAUAAUAAAAUACCCAAAACUGUUGAAUUUGGUAUUCUCACUUUCUCAUUGCAAAGCAUGACACAUGACACAUGCAUUGAUUGAUACAAUCAUGCUUCCCCCCAACUAGUUGCAAUAUAAACAAUGUAUAUGAAAGUGAUAUCUGUUGUGUUCCUUCCUAGUGCAAAAAUAUGGUUAAUAAAAUGGCACGAGUAAGGGUGUCGAACCACAGGGACUGAUUGGACCUCUAUAAAUUACUAACUUUGAAAGAACCCUAACUAAAGAAUGAAAGUAACCAAUUGAGAGUAGUUUUUGUGUUGUAAACUUAAUUAAAUUAAAAUGCAAGAAUUUAGUAGUGAAUAAUAUAUUAAUGUAGAAGCAAUGAAGAUGAGGCCAGAGAUUCGAAUUCACCAUUACAAAACCAAUUUCAUGUAUAUAAAGUUAUGUCAUAUUCAACUACCAACCUAUUUCUUGAGUUCGUUUUACAUAUAUAUAUGAUCAGCCAUAUGAUGUGUGGUUUUGAUCAAAUUCUUCUAAUCUACAACCUAAUUGGGAUGUUCAACUUCAGUUCCUCAUUAAGAGUUUUCAGCAUGCAAGAAAACGUUAAAGAACCAAAGAAAAUACAUGGCAGGGUGUUUGCAUAGCAUUCUCUUCAUUCAUUCACAUGUCUACCAAGAUUAAGCAUGAUGUUUACUCUAAUCUUGAUUAAAUGAUCUAUAGUUAACCCUAAUGGUGAUCAAACAUUAAAAUCAACAAACAAAUUUAACAAUAGGUUCAGUGAAUGAAAUAGGAAGCAGAUUGAUAAACUGAAUACUAUAACUUAAAAACAUGGAUCAAUUUUGCAAGGCUACAUCAAAAUCCCUAGUGAUGAACUUAGUUACACAUCAUGUUCACAAAAAUUAAAACGAAAAUACACAUCAUCAGUGAAAAGAAAUUCAGGAGAGGAAACCCUUGAAGCAAUUCUGAUGUAGAACUUCUCCAAGAACAGCCUUCUGCGAUGAGUCUUUAGUAGUGGUGAAACUAUAUGGAAUGGCUAGGGUUUUUUUAAGAGUGAAUGAAAAGAGAGGAAAAAUAGGUCAUCAGAAUUGUGUAAUUCACCUAGAAUAAAAAGGGUAUGUAAAAGUGGCUACAAGGCAAGUUUUUAUGGGGUAAAAAAGGCUGGAAGAUAUUCCAAAGUGAUCCCAAUAACUUAGCCCUUAUUUUGCACGUUUUUGCCUUAUUUGGCACCUUCAAAUCAAGCUAGAUAUCCCAAUUCCUUUCCCAUUUUGUUCCUGAUCUUCUAACAAGUUAAUAAUAUAUAAAAACAUAAGAAAAAAGUUCACCGAGGAAGCUAGUGUGAUAAGCAUUUUGGAAAAUCUCCUAUAGUGAAUGGCAAGAGCUAACAAUAAUAUGUAAGUAAUUUGACAAAAAAUAACUUAUCGCUCGAGCAGUUAAAAACAUUUAUUUCUUCCCUGUCCCAAAUCAUAACAUUGCUGUUUCUAUGUAACGACCCAUUGCUCUUUCCAGGGCCACAAAUUGCCGUCUCCAACUUUGUUAUUUCAUAAAAAAUGAUCCUUCUUAUGAAGGGACUCCUAUAAGGGAAAAUAGAUUUAUGUUCUGACAUAAUCAUUAAGCUAGGGAGAGUCCAAAUUGCCCACCCUUCAAAAUGUUUAUCAAAUUAAUAGAUGGCCAUUACUACUUGAAUUCAUUGGAAGAUGACGCUAAUUAUAUAAUUAAUUAGGGUGCCACUAUCUGACUAUAUCAUCAUCGUCCACCGAUCGAUUGCAAGCUUUGACUAAGUAACAGCUAACAACAACAAGAAGAUUUUUCCUUUUCUUCAUGUCUUCAUUGUAGGGUUUUGGAGUAAAAAGUCAAGAAAUCUUUGUACAUUCGAGCUAGGGUUUGCAAACAGUUCGAUAAUAUACAAAACCAACAAAAGAGAACAAGUAAUAUAGCUAUGGGCCUCUCCUAUGUAUAACCAGCGAAAAAGAACCAGUACUAUAGCUAGAUGCCUCCCCCUAUGCAGGCCCCAAGGCCAUAUGCAUAAUGCAUAUAUGCAACUUUUUUUGGCUUACGUAGAUGGAAACAAAGCUUAAAUCCAUCGGCCAACUACAACUUGUUGGUGUUAAUGUAGGAAAUAUGAAAGGCAACUUUGAAGUAUGACUUGAGUUGUUUCUUUAAAAUGUUAUUUAUCUUCGUUCAAAUGAGUUUGCUAAAGAAUUUUUGGUAAAUAAAUUACAGGAUACAAUAAAAUUUAAAAUCUGUAAAUAGCAAAAUUCAAAGUAUUCUUUUAGAAAUAAUUAGAAAGAAAUUGUAAGAUUAAGAUGAAAGACAGUAUGAAACUGUUCUGUGAACAAUUUCUAACUGUUAAUAAUCUGGCAGACAUCAUCGGGUAUGCAUCUAUGUCAUGACCAAGGAAGAAAAUAUCGGUAAUAUCGGAAAUAUCGGUAGUCCGAAAACACGGAAAUAUUGAUGGAAAUAUCGGAAUAAUAUCGAUAUCGAUAAAAAUUACAUGGAAACCACGGAAAUUGUAAGAAAAACUUGGAAAUUUUUAAUGAAACUUUGUAGGAUGUUUAUUUAGUCAAUUAUCUAUUAGUUUAUCACAAAAAAUUGGAAGGAAAUGCAUUGCAUGAUGGAUUUAACUGAUUUAAGUUGAUUAUAUAGCGAGCUGACAAACAUUGUGAGUGUAGAAAAUAUGUAGUUAUUAUUGAAAGAAGUUUAAACACACCAUAAUCAUUUAUAUAUAAUUAAUUAGUACAAUAUUUGGAGGUUUUAUUUAGGAUAUUAAAAAAAAAAGGGAAGUGAAUAAAAUGAUGAAGAAUAAUGUGCCGAAUUUGACACUUUAAAUUUCUUACACAUAAGCAUGCGUCUAGGCGUUGAAGUUCCAAAUUAUAGUAUAUCAAUUAACGAUUGAAAAUCAAUACAUUGAAUAAGACUAAACUUUAAUUUGGAUGCCGAUUAUGUUUUUUCAAGUUUAUAUAAAGUAAAAGAAUUGAAUUUUGGAAGCCAGGAGUGUGUCAAUUGAAUUUUGGCCAGUGUGCAAGGUAUCAAUCUCUUCGUCUCGUCGAUUAGUACAACUUUCCUUUUUGUUUCACUCAAUUUCGUUGAGUAUUGAAAAAGUUAUACUCAUUUGAAUCUUACCCAGUUUUCGGCGACCUCAGUGGCUUUCGAGGCAAUUUCCGGCCAAACCACAAUAAGUCAGAUGUCGUGUGGGGUACCAUUCUCUUCGUCUCUUCGAGGGCUACAACUUUCCUUUUUGUUUCACUCAAUUUAGUUGCGUAUUGAAAAAGUUAUACUCAUUUGAAUCUUACCCAGUUUCUGGCGACCUCAGUGGCUUUCGAGGAAUUUUACGGCCAAACCACGGCGAGUUGGCCGGCGUGCAAGGUAUCAAUCUCUUCUUCUCGUCGAGUAGUACAACUUUCCUUUUUGUUUCACUUAAUUUUGUUGAGUAUUGAAAACGUUAUACUCAUUUGAAACUUACCCAGUUUCCGGCGACCUCAGUGACUUUCGAGGCAUUUUCCAGCCAAACCAGGACGAUUAAGACGUCGUGUGAGGUACCAUUCUCUUCGUCUCUUCGAGGGCUACAACUUUCGUUUUUUUCUUGCUUGAUUUCGUUGCGUUUGGACAAAGUUAUGGCCGUUUAAAGUGGGUGUAAAUUUUCGGCCGAAAUUCUGAUUUUCUCUCCCAUUGGGCGAGUCCCACAUCUCCCAUGCGAGGGCAGUGAGCAAGCAAUUUGUCCUAUAAAACCCACAUUCUCCUACUGAAAAAAGCAUAGCUUGUUCGGUUUUCGAGUUAUGAUCAAGUGAAGUAUGUGUUGAGGUUUUUUAACAUAUUUAAGUAUUUUUUUAGUAUUAUGUCGUGAUACUAUCGAUAAUGUUGAAAAUAUUGCGAUAUUAUCGAUAAUAUCGUGAUAUUUUGACGAAAAUCAUUUGAAUAGUUAAAAAAAUAUCGGAUCUCUAAAAAAACGAUAAUAUCGGCGAUAUUUCGCUGAUAUUAUCGAUUUUUUAUUCUUUGGUCAUGACACCCAUUCAUAUCAAUUUGAAGUGUCCAAAUGGUCACAUCUGUUUACAAAACUACCGGUGCCUUCAAUUUGGCACUGUUUGGAUUUGACUGAAUCGUUGCCAGUACAAGAAAAACCUAAUAUUUAAAGGGACAAGGAUUGUCUGCCCUCCUGUUUGUGUGGUCACGGUUAAACCACGUCAAUAUUUUAUAUUACUAUUCAUUUUUAUAUUAUUAUCUCUAUAAAAAAAACAAUAUAAAAUAUUGAUGUGACUUAACUGUGACCACGUAAAACAGGAAGACAUGGGAGGGCACAGGAACAUGGAAGGCAGACAAUCCUUGUCCUAUUUAAAGGUGCAUGGCUCUUGGACAAAGUUAUGUCUGCGCCAUUUCAACUAAAAGACGUGUACUUUGGGACAAGGUUUGUAUGCCCUCUCACUUUCGAUGUCCUCUCAUGCUCUCCUGCUUUGUGUGGUCACGGUUAACCCACAUUAACAUUUUAUAUUGUUUUUUUAUAGAGAUAAUAAGACAAAAUUGAAUGGUAAUAUAAAAUGUUAACGUUACUUAACCGUGAUCACAUAAAUAGAAGGGCACGGGAGGACACCGAAAGUGGGAUGGCAUACAAUCCUUGCCCUGUACUUUGAGUAUUAUACUAUUCCCAACUAAGAACCAAUCUUACACACCAGUAUUCCACUUUAUAAUUAUACAUUGUAUAUAUUUUUAUGAAAUCUCCAACACAACUGUGUAAUUAGAAACCACCUUUCAAAUUUUGGUACCAACCACACUUUUUCAGAAGUUUUCCUUUUACGUUUUUACACAUGAUAAUUUUUUUCAGGUGUCAAUAAUAAUUUGUCAAAUUUGCUUCUUUUCUUUAUAUAUUUUGAUAUAAAUUGAUUAUUAUUAUUAUUUUUUUUUUUUUUUGUCAUUUAUUUGGUGGGAAUGGAAUAAAUGUCCAAGUCAUGUAGAUAAAAUGCAUCCUCACUACAAACCGCUUUGACAUUUUCUUCUCUUCAUGAUCUUUUCUAGUAUUUUUUUUUACUGAAAACAUAUAAAUAAUCGGCAUAGUACAACUGAUAAUUGAAAGAAGGGACUCGGAAGUUCGAGACUUCUUGUGUAAGAGAAUAUAUGCUCGUAACUGUUAACCAACUAAAUUACAAUCUUCUUACAAGACUAUUCUAUGGGCAGAGGAAAAAAAGAACUCAUAAUUAGAAGGGUUAAAGCCUCAAAUUAAGGUGCAUGGUUGCAUUUGCAUAUACAUUACAUAGUUGCACGUCGGCCCAAAAAUUAAAAUAAAUAAAUGAAAACUAAAAAUAGGAAACGCUCAUGCAACUCAUGAUCCUUGUGUCUAGUCAAAACCCCAAAGGCCGCAGUCAGGGACGAAGCCAAAAAUCUGUAUAGAUGGAGGCAUUGUUAAACAACAAAGUCACAAAAUAAAAAGGUAGAGAAUUUACUGAACAAAUACUUAUUUAUUAAUCCUUAACAUUUUUCAUACAAAAUAUUACAAUAUCCCUCAACGUGUGUUCAUGAUUUGAAAGCGUUGCAUGACAACUUCAUUACUAAUACCAUCAAAUAUCUCUUUAUAUAAAAAUAACCAUGUUAUCAUUUAUCUAUUUAUCUCCCAUCCGAUUUCUCAAUCGAUUAUUUGGAAAUUUCAUGGCCAAAAAUGCUCUUUCAACGUUGGCAAUUGCAAUUAAAAGAGUUAAUACUAAUGUCACAAGCAAGUAAACAAGUUAUACACCUUACUAAUGUUUCAAGCAUGUACAUUUUUUUGUUUACCAAUAAACUGAGUGGGGGCAUCCGCCCCCUCUGAGCCCAAGGUGGCUCCAUCCCUGGCCGCAGUCCAUUAUAUGAAUCAUACCCCCAAAUAAUUUUUUUUUUCUUUUUUCCCAAAUAUUUUGGAAAUUAGUUAUCGAUCUCCACAUGUUGUCCAAUAUUCUAGUGGACAUAGUGUUAGAUUUACAUCCAUACGUCUUAGGUUUGAAACUCUCUCCAACCCCAAAUUAUUAUAACAGUUUCGAACCCUAACACUCUCCUUAAUAAUAAUAAAUUUAAAAAAAAAAAAAAACUUCUCCAUUUCCAUGCCAACAUUUGUAAUAAAAAAAUAGAGUAGAAUUAUAUCCACUUGGCCAAUGGAUUGGAGUUUGGAGACUUAUCUGCCCACUCACCUUUCCUUCUUCUUAUCCGGUGUUCCUUAAUACAGAAGCCCUACGUUUCCAAUACGCACUUUAUUGACUUCCAUUCCCCUUGACCAAGGAAAUCAAAUAAAUCUAGAAGACGCGAUCAAGAUCGAAUAUAUAUAUGUGUGUGUGUGUGUAAGAAAGAAAAAGUGUUCAAGACAUUGCAAUGAACAAAACUGAUCUCCCCAUGUGAUCAAUUUUGGUUCAAAUCAAUAGUUGCGUAUACAAACACAUUAGUGUACCUUUUGGUUAGUUAUUUUUUGGCCAAGCACAAUUUAAUGUCUUUCGUUGACACAAUCGAUGACAGCAUAUAAAUUAUAUACUAUUUGAAAAAUUAUCGUUUAAGAGUGCAUUGCCCCUUCAGUGAAAAAAAGGGCUUUGCAUAUAAAUUAUCUACUGUUUGACAAAAUAUAAUUUUCUUGUAAUAAUAAUAUGUAUAUAUCAUAUGAAAGACUAACAACCCUAAAUAAACUACUUCUCACGUUGUUGGUAUGAACUAAUAGUUUAUUAGAUGCCUUUAAUAUUAUAUUACCAAUUGGCCUAAGUUUCAAAUUAAGGAUGCAGAUCCUUGGUUUAAGCAAAGCAGUUAAAAGUCUUCUUCCAAUUGGGUUGGAUCUAUAUGCUAUAUUAAAAUAACAGCUUUACAGUUGUAGCGUGUCUAUUAAGUUGAAACAGUUAAUUGAAAAUUAAAAAAAUAAUAUAUAUAUAUAUAUAUAUAUAUAUAUUUGAACACAUAAACUUGCCAUACUUAUUGAAGGGAUCCCCAUUUGUAAAAAAAAAUGAGGAUACCCUCUUGAUCAUUAGAUUAGAUUUUAAUGAAAUUUUGUGGUUGAGAUUAAAUCACAGAUCACAAAAUCUCAAUCAUAGAAUUUCAUUAAAGUCAAAUAUAACGGUCAAUAGGAAUGAGGAUCCCUCCCCUUAAAGGCUUCCCUUAUUGACAUACUAUUGUAUGCGAGUUUCAACUGUAUUAGUGGCUAAUUUUAUGCGUCUAAAUAGCAACAAAUAUUUGUACUUAUGUUAGUAGUCAAUUUUGUGUCUCUAGAUAGCAACAAGCAUUUGUACCUGUAUUAGUAGCCAAUUUUGUGUGUAUAACUAGCAACAUGCAUUCAUUAGUUUGCUAAUGUUAUUUCGGUUAUUUAUUUAUGAAUAAUGCUUGUGUCUCCUCACGGGGUACUUACUUGUCUCCCCAUUUAAACUAAUGAAAUUUUACCUUUCGAACAUCAUAAUCGGACCAUUCAUUCUUUUUAUCAUUAUAUGAGAUCAUAUCUGCAAAAAAAAAAAAAAAAAAAAAAAAAUCAUUCAAUUUGGAGAUCGUUUAAUCAUCCAUACGUGUGAAAUCAAUCAAUAGUCUUGGAAACAAGUAACAUCCGCAUGGUGAACCAUCUAUUUGUUUUAUACAUAUGAAUGGUGAAAAAAACUCCAAAUUGAAUAAUUUUUGCAUAUAUAAUCUUUAAAUGAUGAUAAAGAAAAUGAACAGUUCUGAUUAUGAUGUUCAGACUGUAAAUGUUCGUCAAUCAUAAGUAAAGAGAUAAGUAAGUUUCCAUAAAAAAAACACAAGUAUUAUCUUUUAUUUAUUUGUUUGUUUGAGCUAUAUCAGUCACGACUAACGUCCAUUCUUCUUCUUCUAUUUUCCACUUCAUAAUUUUUAUCUCAACCUUAUACAAAGUCCAAACAUAUGUAGGAUCCAAGUUGACCGCAUGUAUCACUCCAAGGCAGGCCUAUUUAUACACAUGUAUACAUUGGUUUCUACUUUUAUACAACCUCAACUCCCUUAUACUGUCCACUCUAACUUCUAAUUUGUUAAAUUCCAUCUGAUUUUUGCGUAUUUUUCUCUCACUGAUCAUACUAUUAUCAGUCUUCCAGAAAAUCCUCAGAUUCUUCCAAUAUUUGAAGCACUCUACACAUCAUGGUUCGUUUCUCUCUCUCUCCCCCUCCCCCUCUCCCUCUCCCUCUCUCUCAUCGUUCAUCUUCUUUGUGUAUUGGUUUUCUUAUAAUUGUUGGAUUUCUACAGGCAUCUGACAUGGAUGGUGUCAAAUAUGAAGAGGUCAGACCUAGUUCUAUAUUGGGUUUUGAUCUAAUUUUAGAAAAUACUUUUCUGUGUGUUUAGUUCUAAUUAAUUUUUAUAUAUUUGCAGGAGUACAUCUUAAAUUCUAGAGGCAUGAAGCUUUUCACAUGCAGAUGGCUCCCGAAUAACACCAAACCCAAAGCAUUAAUCUUUAUCUGCCAUGGAUACGGCAUGGAAUGCAGCAUCACCAUGAACAGUUAGUGUCAAAGUUUUUUCCCCAUCAAUUCAUAACUCUAAAAUUACCCAAAAGAAAACAUAUUUAUAUUAUAUAUGUACUCCUGAAAAUUAACAGGUUUUCAAAAUUGUCCACUUUGAUCAGGCACCGCAAUCAGGCUAGCCAAAGCACGCUUUGCCAUAUAUGGAAUAGACUAUGAAGGUCAUGGAAAAUCAGCAGGCCUACAAGGUUACGUGAAGAGUUUUGAUGAUGUGGUGGAUGACUGUACCAACCACUUCACAAACAUAUGUGGUUAGAUUUUUCGCACUCUGUCUCUCCAAUUCACAAUUCUUCGACAUUUUUUUUCAAUUAAAGCAUAGACUGAUGCCAAUAAAAUUAGUAGAUAACAUGUUGAAUGACAUCCUGUACAAAGAAUUUCGACUCCUUCUCGUGCCCUUUUUUAGUCUUUGGUUUUAAUUUGUGGUGACAAUUCAGAGAGCAAAGACAACAAGGGAAGGAUGAGGUAUCUAAUGGGGGAGUCAAUGGGAGGAGCUGUGGCUCUGCUGGUGCACAGGAAAAAGCCAGACUUUUGGGAUGGUGCGGUUUUGGUUGCGCCCAUGUGUAAGGUAUUUGCUUCUAAUUUGUUUCCACGUUCUUUUUGGACUUCUCUCAUUGGAGUUUUUUCAGCCCUGGUUUCUGGUGGGUUUUUCUUUUUAUAAUCUUUAUUUUAUUUCUAUGCAAAAAUUGAAUUUGGACACCAACAAAAAGAUUGCACCUUUUCUUAAAUUUUUUAUUAUUUUAAAAUUAAUUUGUUGACCGAAUCUCUGUUGUUUGAAGGCCUUUGAAUCAGUCGAGAAAAAUAAUGUUUAACCUUGAUUGUCUGCCCUCCACUUCCAGUGCCCCUUCAUGUCCUCUUGUUUUGUGUAGUCACCAUUAAAUCACGUCAAUAUUUUAUAUUAAUUUUUAAUAGAUAUAAUAAGACAAAAAUAAAUAGUAAUAUAAAAUGUUGACGUUGCUUAAUCGUGAUCACACAAACAGAAUGGGACGAAGAGGGCACCGGAAGUGGAGGGCAGACAAUCCUUGUCCGUUUAACCUUAUCAAUCUAGAUUAGCCUUCUUCUUUAUCGGGUGCCAUUUAGUAUAUGACAUUUCUGUUCAACAAUUUUUUUUUAAUUACAAAACACAAUUUUAACUGAGCUUACAUCCAACUAGUGUUUGAUAUGUAUGGUUUUUUAAUCCUCGACGGAUUUUCUCAUUGUAAUGUAUUCUCUUAUUAAAGUAAAAUAUUUUAGAUGAAAACUAUUUUGUUUUUUGUUGCAAGAAAGGCAAAGCGAAAAAUUAGUAUGAGCCUUUCCGACCUUAUUAUCCUAAAUAAUUAAAAACAUUAGUAGUGUUGUAAAAGUUGUGAGAAUGAAUACUCACAUAUUUUAGUCAAAGAUAAAAAGUGAGGAAAACUUAAGAAUAGUAGCAUUGUUGUUGUUGUAUGAUGUUUUUCAAAAUGCACUCAUUUCAUUUUUAUGAUUCUUCACGGAUAUGGCUCUAUAUAAGGAGCAUUCACAACACACACAAAAGAAAUGAGUGAAAACAAUAAUAUCAAUAUCCAUUUCUUCCUGUCUUUACCCGCAAUUCUUUUGUGUGAUAGUUACAAAAAUAAACAUUGUGAUACAUUACACCUGUUUUGCGCAUGUCUCUAGCAAAUGUAUCUCUCACCUUUGCCUAUUUAUAACAUCUAGGAGCAGCUCCACCUCAUCCCAAAUUUCGAAUCCACAAACCUUUCCAAACUACUUUUGUUUUUUUUUUUCCUUUGAAAUCAUUUAGAAAUUAAACCCUUUCCUUGAAAUGGAGAAAUAUGUGUUAUUCAAUUUUAUCUCCAUCCAUACAGAAAAAGUGUGGUGCUCUUUCACUUUCGAAAUUUCAUUAUUUUAAAACUAAAAAUUAAUACAAUUUAGUUAAUGGACUUUACAUUCAACUCCAAAUCAUGAAAGUUAAACCGACACGUUUUCUGGUUUUUUUUUAUAACCAUUUUACUUACAGAUUGCAGAUGAGCUGAGGCCAUCCCCAUUAGUGAUCAGUGCUUUGACAAAGCUCUGCAAGUUCAUUCCGACCUGGAAAAUAAUCCCCACAAAUGAUAUUAUUGAUGUUGCUUUCAAAAUGCCUGAAAUAAGAAAACAGGUAGUUAUAUAUAAUUUUGUAUAUAAUAUAUUUUCUAAAUAUAUAUCAACCAAAUUAAAAAUGCAGGCCAUUGCUGAUAAUGCUAACCUAAUCACAGGUUAGAGAAAACCCCUACUGCUACAAAGGCCGGCCUCGUCUCCAAACCGGCUACGAACUUUUGAGGGUCAGUUCGGACCUUGAACAGAGGCUCGACGAGGUACUGUACCAAAAUGUAAUCUCUUUGGCGUUACUGAUACAUGACCUUACGUCACGUAUAAUAAUUUGUUUUUUUGUUCUUGUCUACUUUGAUUAGGUCACGUUGCCGUUCAUAGUUCUCCAUGGUGAAGACGAUAAGGUUACCGACAACUCCGUCAGCAAACAACUCCAUGAGGUAGCCGCCUCCCAUGACAAGACGUUGAAGAUGUACCCGGAUAUGUGGCAUGGACUGCUAUAUGGAGAAACACCUGAAAACAUUGAGGUUGUUUUUUCUGAUAUAAUUAGUUGGUUGGAUGAGAGAAGUUGCUUUGGAAAUGCAAGGCUGGAGGGAGAAUUAAAACGUGAAAACGACGAUUUACCCAAGUAAAAAGUAAAUCAAGAAGGCAGAUGCAAGGCAGGAGAUGGGUGGAUAUUAUUAGUUAAUUGUCUGUUUCAGUUGUAAAAAUUCUUUAUACAGAAGAACAAACGUUUAUACAAUAAAAGUAGCUUCAAGCCUUCAACUCCGUACGCAUAGAAGUUUAACUUCAGAUAACAUAAAGGGUGACCGUUGGGUCUUGAGUUCAAAGCGUUUACUAAAUGGGUGGUGGCAUUUUAACAUUUCACACAUCUCUAUUAAUUUUCCGUCUUCAAACUAAAUGAAUUAAAAUAGAUCAAUUGACAAUAAUUAACUGAGUGUGUAGAAUGUAAAAAUGACUGGAAAAUAUAGGUAUGAGAAUCAUUUCACUUUUUUUUUCUUGUGUUUACUAACACAUCAUGUAGAAUUUAAAGGAGAAAAUUAGAAUUAGAUGCCUCAUUUUAGACUUUUGUAGACUAAACAUUUAUGCUUUUUGAGUUUUUUAUUAAGCUUUUGAAACAUUUGAUUAAGAUACUCAGACUUGAACUACUUCAGAUUAAUUGAAAUUAUUUAAUUAUGUACUAUAUAUUUUAAAUAAUUUCAACUAUAUUUAAGUCUAAAAAUUUAAACUUUUCAAAUCUAAAUGUACAUCCACGCCAAAUAGAAACAUACCAACAUUAAAUGAAAACGUACCAACGUCAAACGAAAACAUACCAAUCCCUAAUUAAAACGUACCCAAUUAUAAACUAUAUUAAAAUGAAUAUUCAUCUUUUUGGAAUGUUUAAAAAUAUGUUUGAUUCAUACACAAUGCUCUAGAUAGUCUUGUUUUUUGGUAGAUAAAUCGAACAACUUUAGUUGAUCAGAUAUAAAUCCUUAUUAUUGUAGAUAAUGCAAAAUAAUAACGAUAAAUCAUAUAGUUUUGAAUUAACAAAAAGGCUAUUGUCCGUUAAUUAAUGACUCUUUCUAUAAAAAAUAAAAAAAAUAAAAAUUAAUUAAAGUAAUUUAAACUUUUACAUUGUUAACGACUCUUUAUAUAAAAAUAAUAAUAAUUAAUUAAAGUAAUUCCUCAUUAUUAGGACAAAAAGUAAUAAAACUUAUGUUUUGAAAACAAACGUACCAAAAAUUCAAAUGUACCAAGAAGCCAAAUGGACCAAAAAUUCAAAUGUACCAGGUAACUAAUGUACCAUUAUAAUCAAACGUACCAAUAUAACCAAACGUACCUAACAACAAGUUUUGUUACAUUCUAUUUAAUUUACUAAAAGAAAUAUUUUAAUAAAAAAUAAAAAAAUCUUAAAUCAUCAUAAUAAGAGAUGCAUAAAAAUAGGAGGAAAAAAGGGAAUGCUAACGUGAAUUGACUUCUAAGGAAAUAAAAUUAAAGUACCAAAAUUGUAGGGAAAAUGUUUAAUCAAAUUUGCAAAAGGAGUAGAUAUUUAGUCCAUGACAUUUAAAAACCAGGCGUCUAUAUCAAAACGUCCAAUUAAAAAAGUGUAAGUUUUAUCUUAAAAUUCGUAAUUAAAUACCUAAACAUAAACAAUCAGAUCAAAUAUUCAAGACAGUUGACCUGAUUCCCCUUGUUCCUUGCCCUUAUUUCUAAGUUCUUUGAUUCUUUCCUUAAGUAUCACUUUCUAUUUCUACAUAUUUUUUUAAGAGUAAAUUGUAGCUAUGGUUCUUGAACUUUAAUCAAAUUGGAGCAAUGGUCCCUCAACUAAAAAUCCAUUACCAUUGGUCCUUCAACUUAUCAAAACGUGCAGCUAUGGUCCCUCAACUAAAAAUCCAUUACAUUUGGUCCCUCAACUUUAAUUCAACUGGAGAAGUGGUCCCUUAAUUUUAACCCAAUUGUAGCAAUGGUCCUUCCAAUAUAACUCGUUUUGACAAAAUUUUUUACGUAGUUGAUGAAAAGGACCAUAAUUACACACUUUGAUGAGUUGAGGGAUCCUAAUUAUAUAAAUGGUUAUUCCAACAUAACAUAUUUUGACAAAAUUUUGAAGAAAUUGAUGAAAAGGACUAUAGCUACACAUUUUGAUAAGUUGAGGGACCAAUGGUAAUGGAUUUUUAGUUGAGAGACCAUUGCUCCAAUUUGAUUAAAGUUCAAGGACCAUUGCUACAAUUUACUCUUUUUUUAAACCUCAGUACCAUAAAAUUUUAUUGAUACGAAAUACGAAAUUGAAAUAGUUACUGAAAUUAUCUCAACACUAAUGACUCUUGAAUUCUGAUUGCAUUUAGGUAAACAUGUCGUAAAAUUCGUAGAUAAUAAAUUAACUCAUUGAGUUGUUAAUAAGUAACCAUUACGACUCAUUUAGUAGUGGUGACGAUAUCAUAACACAUUAUUAUGGUGAAAUCAAACUAAAUAGAUUUUAAUGGUUCCAUCAAUAACUCAAUAGAUUAAAUUGCCACAUGAAAUACUUGAUUCGAAAUCUCAGCGAAGCAAAUAGACUCGAUGAAUUCAAAUACGAUAAACAUAUGGAGCCAUGAAAACCACCAUACAUAAUUCAGUGCAAGAUUUCAGAGAGGGUUACAGAGAAAAUACAUCAAUCUUGCUAACAUUGUUCAACAGAGGAUGAACCACAAAAGGGGAAAACAUCAAUCUAUUAUUACUAAUUACAACAACAGGUAAUGCAGUCUAAAAGGUGCGAAGAUGCAUGCUGCUUCUUCCCAUACAAAUCGAUUUUGUCUCAACCAUCUGCGUCUCCAUUUUAUCACAGAAACAUUCGCUCACUCCAGCAACAUCAGGAAAAGAAAAUCCUCAGGCAUGCUUGUCCCGUUAGCGUAACUACAGUCAUCAUCGAUCCCAGCAAAAUGACACUGCGAUAAACUACAGAUGAGCAAAAUUCUAAGUUGUAUCGUGUAUUCAUCCACUUCAACCUUUUGACCAACACAGUGAUGUUAUGAGAUGAAAGCAUGCUAAAACCAAAAGGUGUGGUAAAACCAGGAAUAAACUUUUGAGCUUGUUCUUAAAUGAUCUUGUUUCGAAUCUCCUCGAGUUUCUUCAGUAUCUCUCCAGGAGUUCUAUCCAACUCAUCCGCAAUUUUUCUCUGCAGAUCCAUGGGCAAUGUUGGGAACUGCUCACACAGAUCUCCAUCAAUCACAUCCUGAAAAAUUAGUAACAGAAAUUUUAAGCUUUCUAACCUGGUCAUAUUAAAACACAAAGAACAAUAAAAUAGAAAGAAGAAAUAAACCUAUAUUUUACAGCUGAAUUACCUUGACUGGGAAAUACGCUGAUCUAUAAGCCAUGUGAUCUCUACCACACAAAGGUGGAUGCUCCUGCCUCAUAUACAUCUCCAAGUGAGAAAAGAAGUCAACGUCAUCACGGGAGGUGAAUGCAAGUAAUGAACCCAAGCUACCCAUCACUGUUCCAUAGAUGAUGCACUCCCCACCACCUGGAAUUAGAGAUGCCUUCUGCAAGCAGCUGACGACAUCACCAACAUGAUACUGCACUAUCUCCUCUACUUUGUUGGGAGCACCAUUCAACCUUCCCUGCUCCCAUUUUAUCCUCCCACCCGUUGGAUCUUCUUCUAUCUCAUCUGAAACAUGUGGUAACCGCACAAAAUAGACAUUCCCAAACUUGUCCGCACCUGCCAUGGUGUCAAAAUCUAUAUGGAAGGAUGCUGUAAGCCAUCUUGGUACACAAUCAUCAGCAAAGAUGUACAACUGAUUCUCAUCCCGCCUAUACUUGCAGUAGUGGAAUGACUGUCAAAGAAAUUAACACCAUAGGAAAUAUAGUUAGUCCCUUAUAGUGAACAAAGAACGGCAAGCAAGAAGAACAAGAACAUGUACUUCAAACAGAAAUCCACAACACAAAAAAGCACCUCACAUCCAUCCAGUAUGCAGAAAGCUGAUAUUGGGAUAUAACUACAGAAUAAAUACUACGCAAUGGAUGCAUUACAUAUUACAGUAACUACAAGGGGUGUGAUAUCCACACACCCCUUUUUACUUCUCUCACACCUUUUUGGUUUUCGACCGUAGGAUCGGAUGAAUUGAAGAAGAUCAACGGACAUAAAUUAACAAGGGGUGUGUGAGAAGUAAAAAGGGGUGUGUGGAUAGCACACCCCUAACUACAAACCCAAUAUACAUCAGGACACCAUAUAUGACAUGUCAUUGCAAUUUGUACGAGGAGAUAUUCUAGUCUAAAUUUCAACUAUUUGACCCUUCCAGAAGAAUGCCUUAACCAAAAAAUAAAAAAACCAAGCCUGUAUCUACUUAUUUGGCCUAUAUAAUCCAAGGUAAAAAAACAUGGUAUUUUAAAUGAACAAUAUGAAAAAAACAUUAUGACACACAAUAGGAUAUCAGUGUACCAAAGAAAAACAUACAUGUAUAAAGAAAAUGUAAGCGUGGGAAGAUACCACACAACAGGAACCAGGAGGCCCAAUCAAAUAACAAAUAGAUGAACGAAGACAUACCUCUUGAAUGUCACCUACAUAAAUCCGAUCGCGAUAGGUCUGGAUUGAUACAAUUGUGUUGGGAAACAGCUUAUUCUCACACUUCCUGAGCAACCUUUUCUUCCCCAAAUCAUAGAGUCGGAGCACUGGUCCAAUCCCAGCUAGUAACCUUCCUUGAAACUGGCACAAGGCAAGAGGAACACCAUCCACUUGUGUCUUGUGCAAAAGUUCAAGGGACUUGCCAUCAUCUAUAAAUCUAUAUAUGUGAAUAUAGCCUGCUGUUACACUCUUUUUUGGCCAAAACUGCAGUCCCUUCGCUGUGCCAACAGCUAAAAGUGUACCAUACUCCUUGUCAUGGAAAUUCACUGUACAAAUACUAAAUGCAGCUUCGCUAUCCUGAAGCUCCAGCAGACAUGUUGUAGUUGCUGUCUUGGGGUCAAGAACUCUAAUGCAAGACACCCAUUUGUCAGACUCUGCCUUAGGAUACCCAUAGUGCUCAUCAGAUAAGGGAUCCUCCUCAUCGCCACCAUUUUCCAUCUGCUCUACAUUACCGUUUCCAUUUUCACCUAAACCCGCAGCCUCAAAACACUCCUUUUUUGCAGCUUCACGCUCUUCUGCUGUGAAUGCUCCUUGAUCACUUUCAAUAAUUACCAAAAGCUUUCGUUUGAGUUGAACGAUAAACUUUCUAGGGGUAUACCUCAGUGGAAUCACAGUUUCAUUAAAUGUUUCUCCCAAUCUUUCAAUAGUAAAUACCCUCAAAGCAUUUCCAGCAACAGAAACUACACCUUCCGAACAUUGAUCGGAUGAAAAUGAGGCAGCAUAUUCAAGGGUCUCAUACGAUAGUGGUGUUAAGAGAAAAUGUCCUUGAUGGAUAUAACCAAGCCAGGGCCGACUUGACAAGCAAAGCAUAGCAUGCUUGCCUCUCACACUAAUUGAAAAUAGCUUUGGUGCUCUUAGUCCCAAGAAUCGAGAACGGGAAUCAGAGAGCUGACCUGUGACCAUAUCCACCACAGUUCUGAAUAAAAUCCCGGAGCGUAAGCCAGCAUUAAGGAAAAGGUUAGCAGGAUGAUCAGCACCAUCCUCCCCACCAAUUGAGGCCUGAACCUCAAGAAAGAGGAGAGAUUCUGGAACUCCAGAAAGACUUUGCACACUAAGAAUUUGCAUACAGUCAUCAGGAUCCAAUGACAAAAUACGAAUGACGCUGUCAUAUGAACCAACUGCAAGGAAACGAGAUCUCUGUCUCCCUUCAGGUACCGGGGAAAUGUCUAGACAAGCUACAUCUCCAGACAUUUCAUGCUUCUCCACCUCCAUUAACUGACCAGUCAUAUCAACCUCAAAAUAUAUAAGUUCUCCUCCGCUCAGUGCAAUAACUACUUGAAGUCUAUUAGAGCCAACCUUUACAAUCGUCCUCUUUCCAGGAGUUCUCCAUUCAUUAAUACGUCCAUCUUCCCUAAUAUGCCUAAUUCCAUUUGGGUGCACUUGCAUCAGAGAAUCAUCACCUAUCAAAGAAACUGCAAGUGAUGGGGUAGUGUCUAGAAACCCACUGUCACUAACUUCUUCAACCGUCUCACCAAUUGAAAGCACAAGAGUAGCAUUUGCAAAUGACACCACGAUGUAUGCAUCAAAUUCAUCGGACACAUUCUUCUUCACAGUCCAGACCGCACUCGGUACACCAGGAAGCUCUGACACAGCCAUCUCACUGAUAGCUAAACCAGGUCUUAGUAUCCUGAGGGAUGAACGAGGACCCCGCCCACAAAGUGUAAAUAUUUGAGGUGUUUCUUCCUCAAAUAGAUUAUUGACCUUCAUAUCCAUUAUCGGCAUCAAGCUCUCAACUUGAUCAAUCCUAACAAGGUUCUUAAGUUUUCUGGGCUGGAAAAACAAAGGCUGGAAACCUUCUUCUGUUUCCAUCAAUGUAGCUGAUGAAGACUCCACAUCAGGCUCUUCUCCUAUUGCCUGGAACUGGUACAAAGAGUGAUUCCCAAACUCUGACGCAGCAAACAAAAACCCAGAUUUUAACACACACAUUGAAGUUGUAACUGGAAUUGUAUCAAAAUACUUGAUUUUUAAUUCUGAGACCUUAUCGUUAUCAUGAUCCAGAGUAACCUUAAAUAUAUCUCCAUACUCUGUCUGUAAAAGAAAAAAGAACAUUGACUUCUGCUUGUGCAUAGCUGCUGAAACUAUAAGAACCCCACGCUCUGCAGGCAAAUCCGCACGCCUAGGAAUCACAGCCCUGAGAUCUGGUUUAUCCUGGUUCUUAUAAAUCACAAAAUUUUCCGCACAGACCAAUACACCGCUUGGACCAUCCCCACCUCCAGGAACCGUGACCAGCAUAUUUGCACCAUUAUCAACCUGAUCCGACCACUUCCUCGAUACGUGAUUGAGCCCAAGAUCAAGCUCAUAGAAAGUCAAAUGCUUCUGCGCCUCGUUCGCCGCCUGCCCAGUAGAGUCCUGAUCAGCUUCCGCAUAAUCCAACUCAAUGGCAGCAAACAUGGGAUUAUCAAACCCGCAGUCAACCCCACAAAUCGAAUACACAAUAGUAUGUGACUUGUGCGCCUCCAAGGGCGACGAAAUUGUCAACCUAGCAGAAGUAUCCCUAUUCAAAACGUAAACAAGCUUCUGCUUCUCACAUGCCCCAACCAUAACAGCCCUACCCUUAGGAUCAAUAGCCAAAUACUGACCCGGAACUAUCCUCCGACAACCCGAUUUCCCGAAAGUCUCCUGGUGAAUCUUAUCAAACACAUUCUUCUCCUUAUUAUACUCAAGAAUCACAAUCCGACCCGAAUCGGACCCGACAACAAUAUAGUCCUUCUGAGACCCAGUGAGCCUAAACUGAGCUAACGACCUAAUUGCGCCGAAAAUUUCAACAGAGAGGAGAGUCUGGAUCUUACCAUUUUCGUCUGGGCGGAGAAGGUCGAGAACUUUGCCGCGGGCGACUACGAUCUCCUGGGCCUUGCCGCCGGAGAAGUUUCCGUUGAUGGCGCAGACUAUGCCGGUGGCGCGCUGGAGAGUGAGGCUGUAGAGGUACAUGGCAUGGAAAUUUGGAGCUGCCGGAAAAAGCUAGGGUUUUGGGAGGACGGUGAAGUGGGAAGUGUUGGGACCUCGCGAGGUUUAGGCCCGUUUAGGGUUUUGAAUACUCCAGUAAGAGAGAGGCUGAAACUUCGUCAGAAAUCGGGGAUGUGUUUAUAAUUAAAUAAGCCUAAUUGCACCUUUAGUCCCCUUAUUUAUUCAUAUUUUCACUUUCAUCAAAGUUAUUGUUUUGUUUCAGUUUUGUCCUUGUAGUUUCAUUUGGUUAGCAACUUUAGCCCAAUCUAUUAAUGUAAUUACUCUUCUUUUUUUUUUUGGCUUUUUAACAAAAAUGAUCAUUUAGAUUUGCAUAACUUCUCACUUUGGUUCUUGAGUUUGUCCACAAUCAACAAUUUUGGUCAUUCCUUGAAAAAUCUCCAUAAAAUAAGGGCAAAAAUAUUCUCAAUUUUUGUCAAAUCAUUUUAGCCUAUUGUUUAUUAAAUUGAGGUUACUUUUUUCAUUUUGAUCCUUAUUUAACAUAAUUUUUUACCUAAGUACUAAAAUGAUUGAUUGUAGACAAACUUAGGGAUCAAUUAUAUUGAUUUCAAAUCUCAAGGACCAGAGGAAUUAUGCAAAUCUUAAAAAUCAUUUUGACUGAAAAACCCUCUUUUUUUAGAAGUAAAAUUAAGGACAAUUGUGCACUCUUUCGUCGUAGGUAGCAUGUAAUAACUGACAUUUUGCUACAAUAUACUCGAAACAAACAUAUUUUACUUACAAAUUACCAAAUUUUGUACUCUCGUCGAUGAUAGCAUGUAAUAGUUUGUUUCGAUCAAGUGUCAUUUCCUACAAGAUACUCGCAAUAAACAGAUUUUACUUACAAAUUACCAUAUUGAUGCUAUGUAGGUCACUAAUUUUCUCGGAGUAUGAUUCUCUCUCAUUCAAAUCUCAUUCUUUUCAAUAGGGCUCUUUCACUUUCCUCAUUUUCUCUUUCUAUGAAGAAGUCAACGCUAAAUGUUGACGUGAUUUAAUCGUGACCGUAUUGGAUGAGGAGAAUUUGGAGAGGAGAAAAUCCUAUUCCAAUUUUCUCACUACACCUAUAGGUGAUUAUGAACUCGUGUACAAAUAACAAUUGCACUUAAAAGUUUAGUGAGCACAAAUGAUGGAUUGCUCUGGCCAUUAGAGCUUUUCUCUUUAAUCGAUUGUAUUUCGGUUCAAUUCCUCCCUUUAGUAUAGAUUAGUUUAGAAUAUAGCUUAAAAGAAGGUUAAAGUAAGAGCUUGUCUUAAUUGUCUGAAUAUAUUAAGAUCCACAACUAACCAUUACCAAUUCAACCACCCCAUGUAACCAAAUCCACUGAUCACCUCUUCGUCUUAUACAUGACAAAUAAACUACAAACAAAGUAGCUACACACAUAAUAUGUAGAAAGAAAAUGGCCAAGCACCUUUCCUUCCUAGCCAUGUCCUUAUUAGUCCUGCUACUCACCACCGCCACGAUCCACCCGUCCACCGCCGCUCGAAGCCUCGGCAGUUCAACCCCAACACACCCUCACAACCACCACAAAAUCACUUUCCUAAUGAGAAAUGUUCUCAAUGUAACCCACCCCUCAUCAUCCCUGUCCAAACCUUCAACCACUAAAGUGACUAGCCAGCUUCCCUUCUCAAAACCAAUAGGCCUGCUUCCUCCCAACGGAGGAGUCCCCCUCCCUGAAACAAUCCCCGCCACACAAACCCUAGAUUUAUCCGGUGUCGGACUAUUUUUUCCUGCUAGGGCUACACUCCAAGAACUGGAACUUGGGAUUGUAACCCUGAUUGACGAGGACAUCUUUGAAAGCUCAGGGUAUUAUGGUCCACAAAUCAUUGGAAAAGCACAAGGGAUUUUUGUUGCAAGUUCUGAAGAUGGGAGCAGUCACAUGAUGGCUAUGACUGCACAUUUCGCCGAUGGCAGAUUUAAGGACGGGUUAAGAUUUUUUGGGGUGCACCGGACGGACGUGGAUAAGCGGGACGGGUCUCAUGUUGCUGUCAUUGGUGGGAUUGGGAAGUAUGAGGGUGCAAAUGGCUAUGCAACUGUUAAUGCAGUAAAUAAUGCAGGGGCUAAUGCUAUUUGGGAAGAAGAAAACAAGCUUCUUAGGCUCAAUAUUUACCUCAGCUAGUAGCUUGAAACCUUGUUAUGUCGAAACGUCAAAAUUAUGUGUUUUCGGGCCACUAUCUCGUUGCCGCAUAUGCCCCAAAAAUUUUAGGACCGACCCUGCUUAUUAUGUAUAAGAUCCUGCUUGAGAGGCAGUUAAUUUUCAUUGUUCUUUUUUCAAAAGAACUAUAUAAUUGUAGAUUUCUGAUUUAUUAUGAUUUGAUAUUCCAAAUUACAAAGAGGAUGAUAAUAUACAACUAUUUUUCCAAUGAAUAAUUUAUAAACUUCAUUGUGGUGGAUGAAAAAGGUGGAGCAGAUUGAAACACAAAUCUGGAAUAAUGGCUAGAAACCAACACUACUGAACUUAUUUUUAAGUUUAAUUAUGUCGAAACGUCACACGAAAACAUGCUACCGAUGGAUUUCUGCAGUUUUGUGUUCAAGUAUGAUCAACCUGAGGACUAAAGGAAAACUAAUGAAAAUGAUUUGAAAACUUUGAGUUUUAACGAAAAUGACAAAAAAAAUGAUAAAAUGAAUGGUAUUAUGAUUGAUUUUUAGUGUAAAAAUGUGGUUUUUCGUUAAAAUGAACAGUACUAUGAGCUUUUUGUUAACGUUCCCAAUUUUCGAGUUUUCAAAUAGCUUUGUAGAAAUCGAAAGAACAGGGAACUGGCUUACUAUAACUCCACUUAACUUGAUGAAAACGUGCAAGUCUAUGUUUUUUUUCAUUUGGAGUAUAUAUUCUUUUAUUUAUUACUCAUCAAUCAUAAAAGAUAUAUAUCUCCGGUUGUAGGGUAGAUUCUCUUCAUGACACAUAUACAUUGUAACAUGAAAUUAUACACACGUACAUUGUGACAUGAAAUUAUACGUUAAGUGGUUACGGUAGUUAUUUAGUAAUUGGGUGUGAUGUGGUUAUACUUACUCAAAAUUGCCUCAGGUUAAAUCUCCUAAAGGUUAAGCCAAAAUUCCAGGCUGAGAUGGGCAGCACCUAAUAAGCACGUAUACCAGCACCAUCUUAACUACUAAAAAAUGGUACCAAUUCCAUUUUAUGGAGGGAGUUGGUUUUUCAACCAAAAACACCCUGCUAAGAAAAAAGGGUGCACCAACUCCAUCACUUGAUACAACUCCAAUACAAACUAUAAAUAACAGCACAAAUCUUUUCAUUUCUCAAACAGAACUCACUCAAAUCCAAUACAUUUCUCAAGAGUCAAAGAUUCAAUACAAAACCCUUCAUUUCUUCACAAUCUGACAACCCAAAAAUGGCAAAGUCCCACAAAUCGCUCAAGUCCACACUCUACAUCUUGCUCCUAGCCAUCACCCUUGGAUUUGCCGGCUCAGCUAGGAUCCUCGACGAGGCGCAACCCGUAGCAUCCAAUCCUCUUCAGACAACUGUCCCUACCACGAACCCUCUGCCAAGUGGCCAAAUCCCUAUCAUCGCCCCCGCCACCACAACUGUUGAUGACGAUGUCGACGACGCUGACUCACCAAUCCCUGAGACUGAUGCCCCGCCAGAAGCUGACGUGGUGCCUCCUGUAGUGCCUCCUGUAGUCCCUCCUGUCACAACCGUCCCACAAGCUAACUCACCACUACCAGAGACACACGACGAACCUGCCAUAGUGCCAACACCGGUUGCUAAUGUGGCACCCGUAGCAACACCUGCCGUUCCAGUCACCACACCCGUGGCAGGUCCUGUCACCACAUCGCCAACCGGGCCCGCCGCAACUGCCGCGGUCGCCAGAACGGAAACCCCGCAUUUGUCCUUUUUCAUGCACGACAUCCUAGGAGGAUCCCACCCAUCAGUCAGAGUGGUGACCGGCCUCAUCGCCAACACAGUCCUCAACCCCGCAUUCUCCAAACCCAACAACAACAUCUUCCCCGUCAGCGGUGGAACCCCACUAUCCAACAACAACAUCAAUGGCUUCCUCAACAACAACAACAUCCCCAACAUCGCCGGCCUCAGUGGCCUCACCAACUCCCAAUCCAGCACGGUCAUACAGAACAGCGGCAACAACAACAUCGUCAACGACGGCAGCAACCAGCCCUUCGUCACUGCCGGCCAGCUCCCCAACGGAGCCACCCUCCAGAAGCUCAUGUUCGGCUCGGUGACCGUGAUCGACGACGACCUGACCGAAGGACACGAGCUGGGGUCUGCCGUGCUCGGCAAGGCACAGGGCUUUUACCUGGCUAGCUCGCUGGACGGGAACAGCCACACCAUGGCUUUUACUAUGUUGCUGCACGCAGGUGAACAUGAUGUGGAGGACACCAUUAGCCUAUUUGGCGUCCACCGUACGGCGUCUCCGGUGUCCCACAUUGCUGUGAUUGGUGGGACUGGGAAGUACGAGAAUGCGAACGGGUACGCCGCCAUAGAGAGCCUGCACCAGGUGGACCAGCACACGACUGAUGGGGUGGAUACCAUUAUGCAGAUCAGCGUUUACCUUUCUGAAUAGAAAGUGGUGGUGUGUUUUUAUUUCCCAUUUAGGGUUGUGACAUACUUCACAAUUUCAAUGUGCAUUUGAUGUAUUUUCUAUGUGUGUCUUUUAAUUGAAUGAAAAAUGAAAACUUUGUUAUUAAAAUGUCUGAACAGACUCGUUUCUUUUUCUUUUAUUUGAGCGAUAUUCUACUUUAAUUUAGUCUAAACUAAUGAGAAAGCAUAUCCGCUCAAGCCAAAGCCACUACUCCAGAUACAGAUUUGUUUUUUGUUCAACCAAAGAAAAUAACCAAUGAUUAAGGCAGAGAAUCUAUGAUUCUAUAUCAUCACUUUUUCUCUGCUGUUUCUGUGUUCAAACUUCUAAGGUUGAAUCAAUAGACACCAUUAUUUUCUCUUUUGAUUGAUUCAAGUUCAUUUCGUAAUAUAUUCCUAGCCUAUUCCUUCAACUUGUAGGAGUCUCAUGUUUUUGACAGAUUUCGUAGAAUCUGUUGAGAGUUGUCCCACAUCAGUGAGAGACAAUGUUUGUUAUAUGCUUAUAUGAUCUUGGGCUACUCCUCAUAUUGCCAAUUGAUUUUAUGGUGGAACCUCAAUUUCAUGAUGGUAUUAUGAUUUUAUGGUGGAACCUCAAUUUGUGUGAAGCCAAACGGCCACACGCACUCCACGUCACCCAGUUGUUGUUCACAUGUAGGCUUGAAAAUCCGCCACACGUGCGGGAGCAUGUUGAGAGUUGUUCCACAUCGGUGAGGGACAAUGUUUGCUAUGGGCUUAUAUGAUCUUAGGCUACUUCUCAUAUUGUCAAUUGGUUUUAUGGUGGAACCCCAAUUUCAUCAGAAUCCAAUAUCUAAUCGAUUAGUUAACAUGUCAGUUACCCUUUUCUGAAACGCGGCUUAUCAGAUUAUCUAUCGAGCAAUGAAACAGGUUCAAGAUAUUCCAUAGUCCAUAUUACUACUUGCUAGACCUUUUAUACAGACUUGAGGGCAGUGAAAACUUGUCAAUAUGUAACAUUUGUUCCUUACCAAUAUUUGCACCAGUUGAAUUAAAAGUGAAAUGCCAAAAUUGUGCUGGUUUAGAAAGUAAAGUUUUAUGCAAUGACAACUUGUGAUUGCCUUAUAUGGAUCAGCUUUUCUGCAUUUUUCGACAAGAUAGCGAACGGGAGCAGACUUGUCCAUAGAAAUUACAUACAUCACUCAACCCAAUCAGGUACCUAACAGUAUCUAUGUAAGACUAGAGUUGUUUCUCAAUUCUUAUAUGGUAGUUAUAAUUUGUUUGACGGGAGAAAUUGAUCGGCAAUGAACUGAUCUUCUGUAAUUCAUUGCCGAUCAAUUUCUCCCAUAAUUGGAGAUUAUAACUUGUUUGAUGGGAGAAAUUGAUGGUAGUUAUAACUUGUUCUCUUUGCUGGAGGUUAUAAUUUUUUAUCUUUGUUGGGUUUUUCCACGUGAACUGAUUUUCCGUUCGAAAGUUCAGAAGUUUCAAUUUGCGCACUGUUACUGAAAAUAAAUUGUAACCAUUUCAUUUCUCUAAAAUGCUCUCAAUCACACAUACAAUCAGUAAGUGACAUAAACGGUGAACUCCAACAGUGUCUCCGCCCCAUCAGUUUGCUGAUUGGAAGCCAGGAAGGUCUUAACCAACGCGAAACCCUUAGCAUUGACAUACUUUCCGGUGCCACCCAUAAUGGCCAAAUGAGACUCUGACACAGCUGUACGGUGAACCCCAAAGAAGCUAAGACUGUCGGUGUAACUCCCACUUUGGAACAUAGCAGUGAAAGCCAUAGUCUGACUAGUACCGUCCUCAGAGCUCACUACAUAAAAACCUUGUGCCUUGCCAACCAAGCCAGAGCUAAGCUCAUGCCCUUCAGUGAACUCAUCAUCAAACACGCUCAUUGUUCCAAACAUGAGAUUUUGGAGCGCGGAGGAGCCUGGCAGGAGCUGCCCACCAUUUAUCGGAAAGUUUCCAAACCCGCCACCAUUUCUGUUGUUGUUUUGUCCAACGUUUGGUGUUGUUCCACUAAGCCCUGUGAGAAAUGGGAUGUUAUUGUUGUUUAUGAGACCGUUGUUGUUGUUGUUCUGGGGUACUCCGUUGUUGAAUGGUAGAACAGCCCCUUUGGGCUUGGCAAAUGGGACUUGACCGUUGGCUGCAGGGUUGUUGACUAUCCCUGUCAUGGCUCGGGCAGUGGGGUUUGAUCCUCCGAGGAUGUCGUGCAUAAAGAAGAUCAAGGCAGGGUGGUCAGCAGCAUUUGCGACUGUUGCAGUACUAGUAGCUGCUGCUGGUGUAGCUAGUGCGGCAUUUGUGACAGGUGUAUCAAACAUGUCAGACACCACUGGGGGAACUACCGGAACUUGUGGCUGCUCCUCGAGAUUUCGUGCUGAAGCAGCAGAGAAAAUGGUGAGAGUAAGAAAUAGGAGGUAGGCAGUGGCCUUGGCAGGGAUGGAGAAAAUUUUGUGAGCUUCCAUGUUAAUUUGAGAGGGGAACAAAAUAUGGGAGUCGAAAUUGUUUUCCUUUCGAGUUUCGAUUUAAGGAUUGAAGGGAUGUUUGUGUUUGUUUGGAUGCAUGAUGGUGUAUGUAUAGAUUGAGCUUCUGAAAGGAGUUGUUCAAAUGGAGUUAGUGCUAAUCUUUCCUAAUUAGUGUUUUGGUUAGGAUCCUAAAGUAAAGUUUGACUCCAAAAGAGGAAGGAUUUGUAUGAGGCCACAGAGGUUUAGGUCACCAAAUAAAAGAUCCUAGCUUUCACAAGGCUCGGAUCGUCGUUUGAUAUUUCAGGGAAACCGGCUUCUAAUGUCGAUUCUUAAAGGAAGAACAAGUAGUCCUCGGACUUUCAUGGAGUCGUCUAUAAUUAUAUAUAGAGCUAUCAGUAUGAUCAUCAAAUUCUUCCACACAAAAUCACAAUGUACUACGAAUUUGUUUGUGUGUCCUUACGCUUCCUUGGUUUUCGUUGGACGAUUCCAUCCUUCUAAAAACAAUUGCAAGUACUGAACUAGAGAGAAAAUAUCAAAUUCCAACACAUCUGAAUUUCAUUCAUCAUGUAUAAAAAUUGAGUCUAUACAUAUAUCAUUUGCAAACCCUAUCACUUGAUCAAAACUGUGGCCACAUCUACAUAAAAGUACCUUUGUCUAACUUGUUCACAAAAUUACUCUACCAAGACAACAAUCACUAGUUUCUUACAAACUCUCCAAGCUAACAAACUCCGCUACGAGCUUAUCGAACAAAAAUCUCUCAAUUUCUCUACCAAUACCAUCAAUAUCAUCUCCUAAAUCUAACUCAAUCUCCCUUCCUAGCACCUUUUUGGUGGAGUCCUUUCCUGUUUCCUUCUCUUGGCUAACAAGCAACAUCCACAGAUCUUCCUCUAUCAUCUCCUCGCUUGACGUGGAUCUAAUCCUUCUAGACACAGGCUUUGUCCACACGGGAACACCCAGACAAGGCUCGAAAAUCUCCAUCAGCCCUGCAUUUAUACGGUCAAACAAAAGCCUCCUGUCCGACCUUUUCCAUGAAGCCUGAUCGCCAAACUUCUUCUCCAGGGUCUCAAAGACAAAAAUGCUUACCGGCCAUUCUGGAGGGCACCAGGUAUCUAAGUCCAUUAUCGAGUUCCUAACAUAAAAACCUAUCUCCGAUAACACAUCAACAAGGUAGGAAUAGUCUCUGCUUUCUUCAACUCUGAAAAAUCUCAUUGAAUCUUCAUUUUCUCUGUAACUGCUUGCAGAUCCUUCAUUAAUAUCACAACCAUCAUCACUUGAAACAAUCAUUCCAUAUCCUUCCGAGUAUGCAUCAGAGUCGUCUGUUUCAAAAAUGCAAGUUGCAUACACAAAUUUAGCAUGAAUAAAUUGAAAAAUAAAUAAUCAAAAGCGUGAACAAAAAAUAAAAUUGGGUUAAUAUCUUCAAAAUUAUUAGUCAACUCACCGGUGAUGUCAACACUCAUACUUUGCAGGAAUUCUGGUGUAGCCGAUCGCUCUCCACUAUAUAGUGGUUCCAGAACUGAAACUGGGCUAGGCUGAUAAGCCUCCUCCAAGCUCGUCAUAGAAUCUGACUCUGUGGUGGAGCAGUGCAAAAGAAAUGGACUUUCUUUGUAGCAUUCAGUGGAUGUUUCCUGCAGUUUCACAACAAUUUAGAAAAGUGUCACAGAGUAACAGGGCAAUAGUAAAUCUUGAAACAACAUGAAUAACCAAGCAACAAUUAAUACGCGUUUUCACAGUAAACUGAUAUAAAAAUAAACAAACCAUACACAAAAAAACUACCUGUCUUCUAAAGAAAGAAACGACAAACCUGCUGAACUGAAGCAUCUGUUCCAUGACUGGAAGAAUCGUCAUUUUUGUCUACAAAGAUGCAGGUUCUGCGUCCAGAUUGCCACUUCUUGAAAUUCCCGGGAGUCUUUUCCAUGGUUUGAACACCUCCUAGGCUAGGAUAAGAUUGGAGUUUCUUGCGGUUGGAUCUCAACUUUACAGGGCCGAAACCAUCAUUCUGGUUGAAUUUGUACUCCAUUGACUUGUGCUGCCCCAAAUUAAUAGACCCUUUUGGCUUGAAACUCCAUUCAUUGCAAAGAGCUGCAUAUUUAUCUUGCUGUGUUCUAAACUUACUGAGGUCUAGGUCUUUCAGGUCAACCCUUACGAGCUGUCUUUUUGAUUGAUGAUGCCUAAAAAGCUUGUGACCCAAUGUUCUUGAGCCUGUUUCAUGGGCAGACAUGGCAAGCAAAUUCCCGAGGGUAGUGCCUUUACAAGCCAUUCCUACUUCUUCCAGCUUAUUAGUCAUCUUCCGUCGUUCUGAGAGUUGCUUUUUGGCUUCCUGGGAUCCAUAUGACCCAUCUGAAUAAGAAAAGGACAACCUCAUCGAUUCAGUUUUCAUUGCAACUGAGUCACCACCCCUGGAUCCUAACUGUGAUACCUUUGUAUCAAUGUUGGCUUUGUUGCAACUUGUAUUUUCAGUUAGCUUCCCCAAUAUAUCCCUCAAAACUGUAGACCUUAAGCUUACUGGUUCCAUGUCAAAUGCCAAGUUCUUUCUUUCUUUUACUUCAACAUGUAUUUUCCCACUACUAGGACUAGAAAACUCCACGCACCUUUGAUCACUGGAAUGAGAAACAUCAAGGGAACUCAAAGAAGGGAAACAUCUCGCAGAAUUCUCGGCCUUUCCAUGCUUUGGUUUCACAACAACAAUUCUACUACCGGGAAUGCGUCCUUCUUUGUUUGACCCCAAUUGCGAUCUUGAAAAAUCAUCUAAAUUUAUGAGUCCAACUUCUCCAAGGGAUUCUGUGACAAUUCCAUUCUCAAAUGUUUCAAGCAAAGUGGCAUUUUGUAGCUUGCAGGGGAAACUUGUUAAAGGGGAAACUUGCGGAUUAUGCAGAUGCUCGCCGAUCAAAAAACUUCCCCCAUAAUCCGUCACUUCAGGUACUCUCAACUUGAAUGAAUGGCGAGACUCUCUGGCACCAAUGGAAGCAACUCUGCGUAGGUAAUUCUCAGACAGCACUCUUCUUUGUUUUUGGACAGGCGCCUGAGGUGGCGAGUCAUCAAGACCCAUCAGUUUUGCUAUAACACUUGGUGUAGGUGUAGCUUCCAUUCCUGCCAGGUGUUCUUGAUAUAAUCUAUACAGGCACUGUGUACACUUUACUUUCUACAAAAUGCAGGAAUGUACCUGCAGAAAAUCGGAGAAUGCUUCAUGAACUAGCGAAAAGAAUACAACACGAAAAUCCAAAAAACAACAAACAGAAAAGGAUUCAAUGAACCCAUUCAAGCAUCCGAAUGAUCAUAAAUUUUUUUUGUUCCUAGAAACCUAGUAGAUACAGAACACUGAAGUUUGAAGUAGAGACCAAAUUAUCACCACAAUUUCUUUUGUUAAGCAAUCAAUAAAACAACAACAAAAGAAACAAGAAUUUAAGUAAAUUAAGCGCAACAUCACAUUACCAAAAGAAAAAAAAAACAAUUUCAGACCUGUAAACCUCAAAAAACCCACACUGCCAUCAUAUGAUAUGAUCAUCCUAACUACUACAAGAACAUCAACUUCAUUGAAACAAAAUCAUUGCAAAACCGGUCGUAGCCAAGUUGGUUAUAGCAACAUGCUUCCUCUUUCUGUACUCAGUUCGAAUCUCCCUCCCGAAAAUUUAGAUUAGAUUAAAAUAUCGCUCGAACAAAAAAUAAACAACAAAAAUCAUUUAGAAGCCAGCACUACGAAAUCCCCGUAAGAACAAAAACCAUCAUUAACAAAAGCACAAGCAAGAAUCAAAAGCCAAUAGAAUUAUGAAUCGCUCUAUGAACUAAAGAACAAAGAAAACCCAGAAAAUUAAAAUUCGUGGAUUAAUAAAAGGCUCAAAGAGUCAAAGGGUUACCUUUCUAAUAUUGGUCAGGCCACCAUAGUUUAAUCCCUCCACCAAAACCAACAAUCUUCACACAACUCUCCCUUCAUUUUUAGAUUACAAUUUAAUAAAUUAACAAUCUCAUCAAUCACACACUGGGUUUUAUAUAAAUCAACCCAAGAAAAUGACUCUCAAGAGUUAUACCCGCAAAUCUCAACAAAAAUUGAAAAAUAAAAUCGAAAAAUGAAACAGUUUUUGCUUAUUUGGGCACGGAAAUGGAUAAAAAAAAAUCUGAAAAAUGGGUUUUGGGUUUAAUAUCUGGGUUCUGAAGAAAAAAUUGGAUCCGAUGAGAAAAAAUGAAGAAAUGAUUGGGAAGUUGGGAAGAUAUACAGAAAACACAGAGGCAAUACAAAGGUGACGUUGCUUGGCGUUUUGGUGGGGGUCGUUUUGUUGUAUUUGUUCCGUCGUUUUUGGAAAUAUACCCCGAAUUUUUUAAUUGUCUUUGCUUGCGUAACUCCCGCCAGAAAGAUAUGGUCAUUGAAUGGGGGGAUUUGAUUGGAGCUUUCCAAUUUUUGAUUAGUACAGGCACGGAAGGUUCCGGCUAAGAGCAUUUUCCUCGAGUGAUCGUGAUCGUUCAUUAUAUAUCGUACGAUCAUUUUUUAUUAUGUGUUAUAUAUAUAUUUUUUUAAAUUUUAAAUUUAUAAUAAUUUCUAAUUAAACGAUAUACGAUAAACAAUCACGAUUAUGGAAUUUCUGAAUCUCCAAGAAAAUGAUCCGGUUGGGAGUGGAAAUAGAGGAAUGUUGGGGUGUGCAUUUGUUAUGUCCGAUUCAUAUGAUUGCAUUGGGAGAUUAUGAUUUGACUUUUUGACUUUUAAUAGGUCUAGGAUGUUUCCUGGGUUUUUGGAGCUUGAGAAAAGUGGGCUGGGUUUAUGAGGUUUAUGGUUUGGGCCUGCCUGCUGGAUUGUGGAACAAGAAUUGUUUUUUUUUUUUUUCCGAAGAUAGAGAUAGAUUAAAUAUGAAUAGGAAUGUAAGCAAACGAGUGAGCAGCAAGAUUGCUCUCCCUAGACACGUAAGCAAACGAAACCGACGUCAACCUGCGUGCUAGACUCUCAAUAUCACCAAGAAUACAUUCCAAGCUAAGGUCAAUAGGUGUUUCCUUCCUGAGCAUCUGAAUGAUCAUCUUGGCGUCGGAUUCAAAAAUAACUUUGCUGAAUCCGUGCAAGCCGUGGAACAAGAUUUUGUCCACAUAAUCUUUGCUCCUAUCAUACUGUUUGCAAGUCGGCUGUUGAUCCAAAAUAGCAAGAGAGACUUACAUGCAAAGGUGCAGUGAACGUCUAAAGGUGUGCUCAAGCAAGAUAAAAUAUAGAGAAGUAGACACAUAUAUAUCUGGUAUACCUAAAAUUGAGCUACACAUGUUACCGAAAUAUAAGAUUUAAUUCCACUCAAUAAAUUUUUCAAUUUUUUUUUUCUAAAAAGGGGACUAGCUAAUGAUGAAGCACAACAAUCUAUCUUUUUGAGGAUCAAGAAGACUCACAGAAGCAUUUUAGCAUUCCCUGACCAUCAUCAUGUGAUUUAACAGCGUCAAAAAUCAAUUUCAGAAUGAACCGUUUAAAACGCCAACAUAAAAUUUAUCUCACCCACUAAACCACCCCGUAGUGAUUCUCAACAAUUCAAUUGUAUUCAAUUGCACUGACUUAGUUGUCAGGUGAGUGGUGAGGCCAAACACUUUUUUUUUUCAUAAAAAAGGAAGGAAAAUGUGAGAGAUAGUGGACCGCCAUAUCAUUGCAUAUCAUUGAUCACCUCUCAUGGAAAGAGUUGGUUCCUUUAGCAAAAGCAGAGAACACCACAAAAACCAAGUCACGUUUUCCAUUUCCAUGAUGAUAUGCCUGCCUUUUGAUCUUGUUUGGAAAUGGAAGGGAAUAUGUUCUAUUGAAAAUAUUGACAACUAAGUGACUCCAAUGGCUUUGCUCUCAACAAUAUUUGUUCUACUGUUGCUCUUCUUUUGAUAUAUAUUCUGACAUAAAGCAAAUACAUCCUUCAAUGACUCCAAUGUCAAAUCCAUCCUUAUUUCAACUUUUUUCUUUUGCUAUUUUAUGUUUACAUCUUAAAUUUCUUUAUCGUUGAAGAAACUAUUCUAAGGGUUUUAAGAGACCAAGUGAUUUGUGUGGGGCAAAUUUGUUUGUCUAACUACGUGAUUGUGCGAAAUAACAUUUUUACUAUGAUUAGUGCGUAGAAUACUUUAAAAUAUUGACGUAAGAUUGGAGAAUCAUAUCAAUAGUCCAAUCCUGUGAACGUCCGAUUAAAACAAAAUAGUCAUUGGUCUUUCUGCAAGUGAUCGACAACGUCAGCAACAGAGUCCCACAACUAACUUUGGCUCAUUUUUUGGGCUAAAUUUAGCCAAAAUUAAGUUUUAACCAAAAACCCUUUUUUUGGCCAAAUAAGUUUUAGGUGAGUUUAAAACUUAACUUUUGAGUUUUAACCCAACCAUUGGAGUUGUCUAAGGGUUUUUUAUUUUUAUUUUAUUUUUUAUCAAAUGAUAGAUUUGUUAGAUUAGAUGUUAGGUUAAGGAGCCGACAGAACCCGCACCGUGGUGCAAGGGUAACACUUAUUUUCACCACUGUGGUAGAUGACCACUUGCGAGUUGGUCCAAGGGUUUAAGAGACUAUGAUUUGUGUGGGGAAAAUUUGUUUGUCUAACUAUGUGAUUGUGCGAAAUAAAAUUUUUACUUGAUUAGUGUUACAAUCUUCGAAAUAUUGACAUGAGAUUAGAGAAACAGACCAACAAACUAAAUUUCGACAUGAAUAAUGUUAUUUGAAUUUUCAGUAUUAAAUUUAGGCCGAAAAUACCUGUGCGAAGGAAAUAAAACGAUGAAGCGAUCCUAAGUUGCAGCUUUGACAAUAAAGAUGCUUUUUGCCAUUUUAUUAUCAUUUAAUAGGUUAAUUAAAGAUUGAUUUUGAGUUUUAAAGGGUUUUUCUUGGGAAUUUUAUAAUUUUUUGCUUUAUUUUUCAAAAAAAUGGGGAUAUCCUCUUGACCGUUAGAUUUGACUUUAAUGAAAUUCUGUGGUUGAGAUUCUGUGAUCUGUGAUUUAAUCACAACCACAAAAUUUCAUUAAAGCCAAAUCUAAUGAUUAAGAGGGUAUUCCCAUUUUUUUUGAAAAAUUAGGAUCACUUCCCUUAAAAGGCUUAUGUGUUUGAAUCAUCUUAUCAUAUUAUUUAAUAAAAAUUGAGAUUUUAAAAACAUUUUAACUUUUAAGAGUGGCCGUUCGUGAUACUCGAAUUAUAAGUUACAUCGUGGCAAGUAUACCGCAAAAUCUUUGUACGAAAUGCGUACCCUUUGCCUUAAUUCCAAUUGCAAUCAUGCUACAUAUGCAUUGUAUUUGUAUGUACUUAAUUUAUCUUUGUUGGUCAUGCAAGUAAGAUGCAUUAACAACAUUGCCCAAAAUACAAUGAAGUCGGCCACCGUCAGAUACACCGUUGCACCCAACCGUCGAUUAUCUGGUGGUAACUAUAUAAUCGGCAGUUGAAAUGAGGGUCACGUUGUAAUAUGUAUAUAGCCAACAUUCAUACCAUGUUCAUAGUGAUUUGUAACGUAGAAAAAGAGUAAUCAAUUUCUAUGUUACUAGCCAAGUACUUGCAGGAGGCAUUUUUUGAAUCACUGCGUGUUAUGCGCGAUUUACACGUUUUAAAUGUAUUUAUAUGCAUAAAUUGACAAAUGGAAAAUCAAAUAUUUGAAGUAAAUUAAUAAUCUUAUAUCAUACUAGAAGAAACUCUUCAUAAACCAAUUAAAGUAGUUGAAUUCACAUAAUAAAAUCGGUCUCUAUAUAAUUUACAUUAAGAAGAGAGAAAAUAAUAUUUAAUAAACAAUUGGUUGAAUUACAUUAUUGCUAGCUCAUUGUGAGUCUAAGCCCAGCCUUUUCCCCUUAGUGUAGAUAAUAUCGUUUGUUAAAAAAAAUAAUCAUUUGACAGCUAUUUUAAUCGCAUUAUUAUCCGUGUGCAAAGAACUUUUUUUAAAACCAGCAUUACCGCCUCUUAAGAUGUUUUGAACGUGUUUAAAAAUAGAGAAAAUAAUAUUUAAUAAACAACUUAUUGAAUCACAUUAUUGCUAGCUCAUUGUGAGGCUAAAAGCACCCCCUCCUCCUUAGUGUAGAUAAUAUCGUUUGUUAAAAAAAAUCAUAUGACAACUAAUUUAAUCACAUUAUUAUCUGUGUGCGAAUGACUUUUUUAUAACCGGCAUUACACGCAUCUUAAAAUGUUUUGAACGUGUUUAAAAUAGAUAAAUUGGAUCACAUUAUUGCUAGCCUAUUGUGAAGUACUAUUUUUUUUUUUUAAAAGGCCAAUUUUUUUUUUGUGGUCCCUGUGGCGACACGCCACUUUCAAUGUGACUCUCGUGGUGAGCCUUGUUAGCAAUUAAGGUCCAAAUCCAAACUUUUGUUAGUCUUUCGUUAAAUAAACUCAUGCGACUAUCACACGAAUCGAUCAAAUAUGUCAUUUCAAUCCAAAUUACAUCAUUUUCUAUGGACAUCUAAUAUUAGGGUUGGGCAUGGGCUGGGCCUAAAUUUGGAGAGACCAAACCGGACCUGUAUGAAAAUGCAACGAGGCGAGUCGGGGCAAGUAAUGAGAUUUCAAAUUUUGGAACUGGACCUAACCUAGCCCGUUUGAAAAAGGCCAAUUCGGGCAGGGUCCACUAGUCCUCGGCACAGAAAGGAACAAACUGAAGCCUAAAGGUUGUGUUCCUCAGCAAAUAAAAGAAAACCAUACAAAUACUUAGACCAAGAUCCAAAUUAUCAGAUAAAUCAACAACACAUAGAUUCCAAACAUCAUUCAACCAAAUUAUGUAUGGGUAAUCUAUGAAUUAUUGAAAAAAUGGGCGUUGAAUGUGGACAUAGGUAGUAGUAAUAGGUGAAACAAGAACCUUAAGCGCUUCUUUGAGGAUGGGUUCUUUGUUGGGAUUGAAGAAAAGCGCCUUAAUCCCAUUGUUGUUCCCCAAACGCAAUUUUCUACUGUAGCUACUUCUGGGAACCUGCUGCUUCGGUGAUGUCGGUGGUUUAAUAAACCCAAGGCCAGGCCACUGUUACCCAAUUGUCAAUUACUCAUCAAAAUUGAUUAGCAGAUGAGCAAAAAUAGGAAAAAGAAAAGCUCAGGCCGUCAGAUUAUUCGCUCACCAAUGCACACGAAGGAGAUUCACAAUAAACACAAACAUGUUGACCAACUUGAACUCUUGCUACUGUCUUCUCAUGUUGAUGAAUUCAAGAGUGAUGCAUAACUGACCGAGUCGGAUUAGAUUGGGUGGUCAGCAGCCGAGUUAAGCCCAUCGUCUUCUCCGAUUUAAAGCUUAUGUGAUGUCGACGCAAUCUAGGGGUGGGAGGGAGAAGAGAAUGAGAACAUAGAAAGAAACUGGGGGAAAUCUGGGAAUAGGGAAAAUGACUGAAAAAGUAAAGCAAUUGUUUUGUUAUGGUAGAACGAGAUGGUUCGGGGCCCUGGCAUUCUAAAAUUAUGGAACCGCCCCGCCCCUACAGAUACCCUUUCAUCGCUCCACCCCGACCUGCGGCUCCUGUACCCAUUUGCCCAGCCCUAUCUAGUAUGACUUAGGUAUUCACUUGUUCUUUCAGGGUGGGUUAUGACAUACACUUGUUUUUUUUUUUUUUUUGUGAGUUAAAAAGUUGGCAUCUGAUUCUAGUGCACAAAGCAAAUUGAAACAAGUGAAAAGGAGGGAUAAUUUACAAGAAUAACUUAAAGAAUUAAAGACAACGAGGGAAAGGCAUUGCAGUAUUUAUGCAUUUAGACGGGUGACAGGCAUUGCAUAAUUAAAGAAUUAAAGACAAUGGGUGAAAGGUAUUGCAGAAAAUUCAAUUUUCACGUCUGCCCUCCACAUAUGAACUUCAAGAGCGUAAGAAACUUAAAUAAUUAAAAUUCAAAGAAGAUUAAGAAAAAAAUUGAAAGGCUGAUACUGGCUGACUACGGCGCGCAUCAAACCACACUACCACUUAAAGACAAAAUUGAAAGGCAUAUAUGCAUUCGGACUGGUACAAAUUGAUACAAGUAUGAAAAUUUAAGACAGACCAAGACUCUAACUCAUGAUCAAAGACAUGUUGGCAUUGAAAAAAAAAACAAUGGUUUAUUAUAAGUAUUAUGAUUUCCAAACGAAAUUAAAUCAUACCUGAGAAAUUAUGCGCGACUUCACUUUCAUCUCUUCUCAUAGCCAUUGACGUGGUUUUACUGGUUUUGUUUCACUCUUUGCAUUCAAGCUUAUUUUAUGUGAAAUCUUAUUUCCGUUAAACACUAACUCAUACUAGAUGUCCAUGGAAUAGGAUGUAAUUUGAAUUACAAUGAUGAAUUUGACUUUCCAUGUGAUAGUCAUGUGAGUUUAUUUAACGGAAGUUUGGAUUUGGCCCUCAAUUGCUAACAAAGCUCACCACAAGAGUUUAAUUAAAUGUUUUUUCACCACAAGAGUCACAUUGAAAAUGCCAUGUCACCACAGGGACCACGAACAAAUUUUGGCCAAAAAAAAACCCACAAAAAAAUUAAUUAUUACAAAAAUACUGUUAAAAUGACGAAAAUGCUCCUGCCUUAUUUGAUGCAUUAUUUUGGGAUGCCUUUGAAGUUUUUUGUCUUGGGAACAUUUUUGUCCAAUUAGUUUUGUUGAAGCUUGGGGACACCAAAAUCACUAUUCACCUUUUCCAUUGGCUUUAUGUUUGAUAGUUUGAUGCAUUAUUUUGGGAUGCUUUUGAAGUUUUUUGUCUUGGGGGCAUUUUUGUCCAAAUAUUUUUGUCGAAGCUUGAUAACAUCAAAAUCACUAAUCAUCUUUUCCAUUUGCUUUAUAUAUAGAUAAAUAUUAAUUUCGAAUUCCGGUAUGCAGAAAUGUGAAUAGAAUGUAAAGAUAUGGACAGGUGAAUUGGCUUUCAAGCUCCACUAUCUGUGGUUUAGUGCUUCACACAUAACGACCUAAAUGGAUUUUGCCAAAAAAAAAAAAGAAAAAAAAAAGACCUAAAUGGACAAAUCAAAUGUCAUUGCCAAGAUAAAGUGCAGUUUUUGUUUGAAAGGAACAACUUAUUCAAUAGUUAGGCUUAUAAUUAAAAUGUCUCUUGAAAUUGUCAUUUAGUCUCAAAUUAUCCUAUAAAAUUGGUUUUGUCUUACUUUAUUCCUGAAAUUAACAUUUUCAACUUUUUUGGUUUCACUUGACCCAUUCAGUUAAAGAACGGUUAAGUUCAAGGGUAUUGUAGACUUUUUAUUUUUUACAUAUCAAAUUACUUCGAGCCUACACAUUAAACCAAUCUCAAUUCCAUUUUUGACACUUUAAUUCAAACCCCAUAAGUUUGGGUCUUUUUUAAGAUAACUUAUUCAAUAGAAAAAUUUUGAGCAAUAAUGUGAAACUUUUGGUUAUUGCAAACUAUCACAUUUGCUUUAGAUGAUAUUUUUUUUUUGGGGGAAGUAUUUUGGAUAUGAUAGCUUAACUGUUUUUUUUAGGUUGUAUUUUGUGCAAUUGAUCUGAAAUCAUUUUUUAUGGGUGAAACUUAUGGUUAGACUAAUUUCGAUUAAAAAGAUAUAUUGAAAUAGGCUAAUCAUAUUUCAUUUCUCUUGUAAUGUGUAUUUUUCAAGUGAAAAGUUUCGAGCCAAUAUAUGAUACUUUGCAAGUGAAAUAACUCUAAGAACAAAAAUGUAAUCCUUAUUUGGUUGAUAUAAUGAUUUUGUUGCUAGAAAUUUUUUAUUAAUUGAAUAAUUAUAUUUUUUUCUUCUAACAAACGAUAUUAUCGACACCAAGGGAGGCGGUAAACUUAGUCUUAUAACGGGUUAGCAAUAAUGUGGUUCAAAUUCGCUUUUGACAAGAAUUGAACCUAAGACCUUUCAUUUACAAGUGAAGAGGAAUAUCACUAGACCAUAGUACUAAGUAACAAUAAUUAAUUUUUUCUUAAAAACCCAAAAAACUCAUGGAUUUGAAUUAGAGUAAAAAAAAAUUGAGAUUGUUUUAUUUCGUAUGCUAGAGGUAAAUAGAUGCGUAAUAACAAAAAUCUAAAAUACAGUUGAAUUUUACAAUUCUUUAACGGAAUGGAGUGAAAUGAGAUCAAAAUAGUUGAAAAUGUCUUAAACAAAACCAGUUUUAAAAGGUAAAUUCAAACAUUCAAAUAAAUCAAAAUACUAAUAUUUCCAACACCAAUGACACUUCCCUUUUCUAAUCCCAUAAAUUAUUUCUGACAGAUGAUGUACCAAUUUUUAAUGUAAAGUGUAUUAAAGCUCAGAUGGGACCUGGAUUGUCUGCCCUUCCCAUCCUAUACUCUUCCUAUUCCCUUCUAAUUAUAUGGUCACAGUUAAACCACGUCAAUAUUUUAUAUUGAUUUUUUAUUAUAAAAAUAAUAAAAUAAAAAGCAAUGAAAAUAUAAAAUAUUAACGUGAUUUAAUCGUGAUCACAAAAAUAGAAACGAAUAGAAUGGAAAGAGCAUACAAUCCAGGUCCCAGCCUAGUACCGGCCUACGCGUUAAUAUAUUAAAUAACCCUCGAAGCUCAUCAACUUUCACUCCAUAACCGUUACGACCCAUUACGCCAUUACCUUUCAGUUUCAUCUUGUACUCUUUCUCACUCUCUCGCUCUCCUCUGCUCUCAGAUGGCUCUCGAGGUCGCUGUCAAGGCAGCCUUCGGCGCCCCUCAUCUUCUCGGCGACUGUACGUUCACAUUUCUCUCUAUUUCCCUCGAUUUCCUUUCUGGGGUUUGAUCAAAAUUUGCUAAUUUGGUAAAAUUUUCCAUCUUUCGUUUCUGACAGGCCCUUUCAGCCAAAGGGUUCUUCUGACCUUGGAGGAGAAGAAAGUACCCUACAAAUUGCACUUAAUCAAUCUCAGCGACAAACCCCAGUGGUAUUUUUCUUUGUUUUGAAUUUUUGAGCCCGAAAAUACAUGCAGGCAUGGAUGGAAAUGUGUGCUUUUGUAUUUUUAAUGGAUUUUAAUGUGUUUUUUCUUUUUGGUUGUGUUUGAGGAAUCGGGUUUGUGGUUUUUGUUGGUGAUUUGUAGGUUUACGGAAGUGAAUCCAGAGGGGAAGGUGCCUGUGGUGAAGUUUGAUGACAAAUGGGUGGCUGAUUCUGAUGUCAUUGUUGGGAUCAUUGAGGAAAAAUACCCUGAGCCUUCUCUCAAAACUCCUCCUGAAUUUGCUUCUGUGUAGGAUCUCUCUCUCUCUCUCUCUCUCUCUCUCUCUCUCUCUCUCUCACACACACACACACACACACAUUGUUGUUUGGAGUCCGUUUGGGAAACUGUUUAUGUAGGAACACUUUUGCUAGAAGUGCUUUUAUUAUGAACAAGUUGAGAUACACUUGGAAGUGCUUCCCAAAGUUCUCCAUAACCCAGAAGCACUUUCAAGUUGUUUCUGCAAAACAUUGUCAACAGCGCUUUUACUCCUUGAAACAGUCCCAAGCAGGCCUUUAUUUGUUCUUUUGUUACUGUAGGCUUCUUGAUCCUUUUGUCUUAAUUUGAUUUGAUUAAUGUUUAUUGACCUGGUAAACAUCAGAGCUCUAACCUUGUAGAUGCUUUAUAUUUGAAUUUCUUUCAGUUGUCAAGCUAAUAACUUUAAUUGAUAUGUCCUGUUGGAUGGAUGGUUUGCUAAACUUGUCUUUGUGAGGAUGUCUUUAUUGCCGAAAAUUUCGGGAUCUUUUUGUUGUGAAUUUGCAGGGGAUCAAAGAUAUUCGGAUCAUUUGUGACAUUUCUGAAGAGCAAGGAUCCCAAUGACGGAUCAGAACAGGCUUUGCUUACUGAACUGAAGGCAUUCGAUGAACAUCUUAAGGCACAUGUAUGUCAGUUUAAGUCAUAAAGAAGAAAGAGUUAUGUUUUCUUUUAAAAAGUUGUGUUCUUUGUAUUUUCUUUGAAACAUGUUGUAACUUGUAAUAUGUUUCGAAUGAAACCAGGGUCCUUACAUUGCUGGGGAGAAGGUCACUGCUGCGGAUCUGAGCUUGGCACCAAAACUGUACCAUCUCAAGGUGGCUCUCGGUCAUUUCAAGAAGUGGACUGUUCCAGCAGACUUGACCCAUUACCAUAAGUACACUGAGGUAUGAGAUUUUUAUGCAUGAUGCUGCAUACUGGAGCUUUAUAUUUUGUGUCCUCCAGUAAACAAUUGUUCAGUGUACAUGUUUUUAAGUAGGAGAUAAUUUUUGUUCUAGUAAGUUUUUAGAGUGCGCUGAACGGUUGAAGUUCUGGAGCUCCUUUUACUUCUGUUCGUUAUCUAUCGUGAUUCGUGAUGCAACAAAUCAGAUGUGGUUAUGCAUAGUGAGUUUUGUUGACUAUUCUGUGGAAUUUAACCCCCGUGCGAUUAGGCGAUUGCAAUUCUCCUCUCCCUUCAAAACACCCCCCUGUGUGUGUUGUUCCUCUCUCUCCCUUUCUCCCCCAAGUUUUGGGAAAGUUGGUUGAUUUCCAUGUGCAUGUGCUUGUGCACUUUGAUGCAUUGAAUCAUUUUCAAUGCAAUUCUUCAAUGUGUAAGAACUAGAGCGUACAUUCCUCGUAAGGGAUUGCUUAUGAUCAGCAUUGUUGGUAUGCAAUCAGUCCCUUUUUCCUUUGUUCUGAUAUGUAAAACUCAACAUGGUAAAAUUUCGGAUUCAUCACAAGUCCUAAAUCCAAACAGUGAGGGUUACCUUUGUUGAGACGGAAACAGUAUCCAGUAUAACGGACCCAGAAAAUCUGUCUCGCUCGAUGAUCUUGUUCUUCACUGUUGGUUUCUCUCAUUAAAAUUACUGUUUUUGCAGCUGCUUUUUUCAAGGGAAUCUUUCGCGAAGACCGCUCCUGCCGAAGAGAAGUAUGUGAUUGCAGGAUGGAAGCCGAAGGUGAAUCCAUGAAAUGGUCCUAGAUUAUGAGCUCAUCUGUUGAAGUUUAGUUGUGUAAGGUUACGACUUAUGCAUGUCAGACGUGGAAUCUAAACUUGACUCGAUCGGUUUAUUCCCAUGUCUAAUAAAUGUGUUUAUCUAAGUCGUCAAUUAUUAAUUAGUAUUAAGCCUCUAUUACUGAAUGAUGAAUCCUCUAAUCCUGUCCGUUCAUCGUACAUCGUGUAGUUAGAAAUUAUUUUAAAUUUUUUAUUUCAAAUUGAACACAAAUGGUACUUGACGAAAAUUGAUUGUACAAUUAACGAUGAACUGAUACGAUUAAAGAAUUCUUUAAAUCCUUACAAAGACGAAUGAUCCUUAUUCAUCACUAGGUAACAUCCAUGCAGAGUAUGUUGACUAACUACAAUUUUUUCAUCCUUGGUAAUGAUUUUCACAUUUUCGUUUCUUCCUUCACACUCAUUUCAUUGCAGAACCACCUUCCACGUGCUUCUCUGAUAAUCACUUCUGGAAAGAAGCAUGCUUCUCUAUAUAAUCACUUAAAAGUGAUUUUUAUUUUUUUUUGUCUAACUUAAAAGUGAUUUUAGGGGAGAAACAUAUGGGAGUAGUGAUUAUGGUCAUUUAUUAUUCUCUUCCAAACGAGCCCUUUAUGGUAAAACAGAAGCUGUUAUUAGAUGCAGUUUUCAGUAGUGCAACACUAAGUCUUGAGGUAAAUGCCUAUUAGGCACGUGCUUUUCGAGAUAGAGAGGAGACCCAUAUUAAGGCCAGUUUGGUAAUUUUCUUUCAACAAGAACUAAUUCAACUUUUAAGUUAAGCACUAAAAAAAUAUUUGGUAAAAUUAAAAUAUUUGCAUAUUUUAAGAAUGAGCUCCACACAGUCGUUUUUUAUUAACACUAAAAAUUGUUUUAAUAAAAGGCGAAGUUCAGCAUUUAAAGAUUUUUUAUUUAUUUGUCAAAUGGUAGAUUAUGUUAAAUUAGUUGUUAGAUUAGUUGUUAGAUUAGUAAACGACAAAGUUUAAACUUACGCCGUCAUGCAAUGGCUUUACACAUUUUAAUCAUUGUAACAAAAGGUCACUUGCAUAUUUUUAAUUCUUAUAAUACGCGUGUUAUUUAAAAUAAAAUGACAUCAUUUAUCUUUGACAAAGUUUAAAAAAAUAAUAAGCGCUAAUUGGGCGGGCAGAGAAAGCAAACAAUCACAGGCAGGCACCCAAGAGAAAGCAAACAAUCAGAGGCGCAACCAUAUUUGCAGAGCAAUUAGAUUCCUUUCCAUAAAAAACCAUAGCAAAAAAUGGAGGUAGGUAAAAUUUCAGUUCUCACAUAUCACAUCCCUUUUCAUACCCCACCAAUCUCUGAUCUCUGAAAAUGGUGGAGUGGAAACCUGGGAGAGGGAAUGAAAAAAGAAUUUGAGAGAAUAGCGGGGUAGUUGCGGGAGGUUGUUGGGAAAUUGAUAAACACCACGUCUCCUUUUACACAAAAACUCCUUGGACCACAAUAGGAAAAAUACCAUACCAAAAAAUUACAAAAACCCACAAAAUGAGGCGCUGCAAUACCUAUGCCAAUGAAAAAUACAGAAAAUGCAGACUAAAUGAACACAAUUGAAAUGCAGAAUAUGGGCAAAAUAGAUAAAAAUAAAAAAUGCAUAAGUAAUUUAAAAAGUGCACAUAAAAAUAAAACUUUACCUGCUGCCUGCUGCUGCUGCUAGGUAUUCCUCCCAUUUGUUGUGGAGGAUAUCAAAGUGCUUAUUCCGUCAAUCACUGAAGUUCCAUUUACCCAUAUUCGUCGUCAAGCCAACGGGCCGGCUCAUCGUCUUGCUCGGUUAGGUCUAUCUGUGAGUCAGUGUUGUGAGUGGUUAGGGUCUCCUCCUAUCCUAGUAUCCUACUGGAUUGUUCUUUGCCCUGAGUGAACUUUUGUACUGACUUUUCAAAUGAAUAUUACUACCGUUUCCUUAAAAAAAGAAAAAAAAGGUAUUCCUCCCAUUUGCAGAUCCGAUUGAGCUAUUUUUCCGGAGCUUCAACCACGGACCCAAUCAUGAAAUCCUAAAUUUACCCAAUCUUAACAACAUGAAGAAUUUAGUACAAAUAUUUAACCGAGCAGGAAACUUCGAAAGCAAAAAGAGUUACAAAAAAAAAUGAUUAAGUUUCGGUGACUGCCUGUUGAAGUGUUGAAGUGUUGAAGUAUAUUUUGGCCUCUAGAGUCAACUACCAUGUUCUCUAGGGAUAGCUCAAGACACUAGAGUAAUUAGUCUUCUUUCCUUGAUUUAAGGGAUGUGAUUGAUUGGUGAGCUACCAUGUUCUCUAGGGAUAACUCUAGGCACUAGAGUAAUUAGUCUUCUUUCCUUAAUUUAAGAGAUGUGAUUGAUUAGUGCAAGUUGUUUUUUGUAAGGUGUAGAUUAGGCUAACUUUUCUUUCUUCCCCCUCUUUCUUCCCAUAUAUAUCAGGACCCCUUGUACAUUAAACUCAUGAAAUACAUUACAAAUUAAAGCCAUAAUUUCUAUAUGAUAUCAGAGCAGGUUCUUUUGUAACCUGUCUCUGUCAUUCUUGCUGCUGCGAAUUUUUUCUUUCAAAGUCUAAGUCAUGGCUAAAGAAAGUUCUGUGAACCAUGAUGAGGAAACCCAACAUAGUCUCUCUCCAAACUUCUCAGACGUUAAGGUUAACACCAAUCAACGUUUAUGUUUAGUUCUCUUAAACGAGUUCAAUUAUUUUCUUUGGUCCCGAGCUGUUUCACUAGCUCUUGGAGGCAAAGGGAAGUUAGGGUUUGUAAAUGGAAGCAUGGAAGCUCCAGACCGUUCUUCCUCUACAUACGAUGCAUGGCUCUGCAAAGAUCAACUUGUCAUGUCCUUGCCGCUCAACACCAUGGAGAAACAUGUUGCUGAAAUUUUUAGCUACUCCAAUUCCGCACAUGAUCUUUGGAAAGCUUUGCAGGAUAUGUAUGGAAAUCAAAACAACUAUGCGCGGGUCUUCCAAUUAAAGAAGGACAUUGCCAGUGCUUAACAAGAAGGGAAAGCGUUUGUUCAACACCUUGGGAGUCUCAAAGCCAUGUGGAAUGAGUUGGAUGUAUAUCUCCCACAUACCACAUAUCCUACCAUUCUCUUAAAACGAGCUGAGGAAGACAAAAUUUAUCAGCUGUUAGGGAGUUUGAGCUCUAAGUACAAGGACCUAAGGAGUCACAUCUUGAUGAGUCAAGACCUACCUACCUUCAACAAUGUUUGUGCAAUUCUUAGGGUAUCAUACAUCAAACCAGCUGUGUAAGGACUCCUCAACAAAAUGGAGUAGCCGAGAGGAAAAAUAGAGAUCUCUUGGAGAAGACUCGUGCUCUCAUGAUUCACAUGCAUGUUCCAAAGAAAUUUUGGUCAUUUGUCAUCCUUACUGCCACUUAUCUCAUCAAUCGACUUCCAUGUCGUGUGCUAGGGUUUAAAUCUCCCUAUGAAGUUCUCAAGGGGAGGAAAAUAGAUUUGACACACCUCAAGGUGUUUGGUUGUGUUUGUUUUGUUCACAUCCAAACCUUGAACCGUGACAAACUAGAUACUAGGGCAACCAAGUGUGUGUUUAUGGGAUACUCGGCCACCCAAAAAGGAUACAUGUGCUUCAAUCGAGUCACUAAGAAGUGCACAAUUUCAAGAGAUGUGAAGUUCGAAAAAGACUGUCCCUAUUUUACAAGUCAAGGGGAGGAUUUAGUUGACAUGUUCCCACUCCAUCAAAACUUUAAUCAUCCAAUGUUGGAAGAAAGAUCAGUCACUGUGAGUCCAGAUUGUGAAGAGGUACAAACUGACCAAAUUAUUACCAGUGAGAGUGAAGAAUAGCCCUACUCUUAUCAUUCUCAGUCCAGUACAGAGUCUCAGGUGAUUAAAAGAAACCCUCCUCGAAUCAGAAAACCUCCAGCUAGGUUGCAAGACUAUGUUACAUAUGCCUCACGUUAUCCUAUCACUGAAUGUAUCAGCUUUAGUAAGUUCUCAACAUUUCAUGCUGCAUUUCUUAGUGAAAUUGAUAAGCACUGUGAACCAAGAAGCUUCUCUUCUCCCACAAUGGAAACAAGCCAUGACAGAAGAGUUUCGUGCACUGGAAGAGAAUCACACCUGGAGUCUAGUUCAACUACCACUAGGAAAAAAGGCUGUUGGAAGUCGUUGGAUCUACAAGACAAAAUUCAAAGCUGAUGGAUCUAUUGAGAGACACAAGGCUAGACUUGUUGCUCGAGGUUUCACCCAAACCUUUGGAGUAGAUUAUAAGGAAACAUUUACACUGGUGGCCAAGAUGAACUCAGUCAGGGUUUUACGUUCAGUUGCAAUCAAUUGUGGGUGGUCACUCUACCAAAUGGACGUGAAUAAUGCUUUCCUUCACGGAGAGUUACAGGAAGAAGUGUAAAUGCAACCUUAUCCAGGCUAUGAUGGUAUCAAAGGCAACAUGGUUUGCAAAUUGCACAAGGCAAUAUACGGAUUGAAACAAUCACCAAGAGCUUGGUAUGCCAAGCUCAGUUCUGUUCUGGAAAAGGCUGUAUACGUGUGAAGUAAUGCUGAUUCUUCGUUAUUUGUGAGAAUUGGCACCAGUGGGAAGUUGGUGGUCUUUAUCUACGUUGAUGAUCUUAUCAUCACUGGAGAUAGUACCGUGGAGAUUGAAGCACUAAAACUCUCACUACAUCAAACUUUCACUAUCAAAGAUUUGGGGAGGUUAAAGUAUUUUUUGGGGAUCGCAAUGGCAACAUCUUCAAAAGGACUGUUUCUACAUCAACGGAAAUAUGUAUUGGACCUUCUUCAAGAAGCAAAAAUGCUUGACUGCAAGCCUGCUGUCACUCCCGUUGAUUGUAAACUGAACCUCAGCAUAGAUGGAGAAGCCAUGCAUGAUGUAACUUACUAUCAACGAUUAGUAGGCAAGCUCAUAUACCUCACUAUCACUCGUCCAGAUAUCACUUAUGCAGUGAGCUUGGCUAGUUAGUUUAUACACUCUCCCACUGUUGAUCACCUUAACAUUGUUAAGAGAAUCCUUUGUUAUCUCAAGGGUUCAAUAGGGCAAGGAAUUACAAUGCACAACAAUCAAUCCAUUGUCAUUAGUGGCUACAUAAAUGCAGACUGGGCAUGUAAUGCAAUUGAUAGGAAAUCAACCACAGGCUAUUAUACAUUUGUUGGUGGAAACCUUGUCACAUGGACGAGCAAGAAGCAACAGGUAAUUGCUUGUUCUAGCGCAGAGGUUGCGUAUCGAGCCAUGGCAGCCACUGCUUGUGAACUCAUUUGGCUUAAAAGGCUUCUUUCAGACUUAGGGUUUUCUAGUUCUACUCCUAUGUCACUUAUGUGUGAUAAUCAGGCAGCCAUGCAUAUUGCUGCCAACCCUGUGUUCCAUGAAAGAACCAAACAUAUUGAAGUGGAUUGUCAUUUCAUCAAAGCUCAAGUUCAAACUCAAAUCAUCCAGACCAUGUUCACACAAAGCCAUGAUCAAUUGGCAGAUCUCUUUACAAAGGCAUUGGCAUCCACUCAGUUCCAUCGAUUAUUAGGCAAGUUUGUCUCAGUUAACCUCCUCGAUCCAGCUUGAGGGGGAGUGUUGAAGUGUAUUUUGGCCUCUAGAGUCAGCUACCAUGUUCUCUAGGGAUAGCUCUAGGCACUAGAGUAAUUAGGCUUCUUUCCUUGAUUUAAGGGAUGUGAUUGAUUAGUGAGCUACCAUGUUCUCUAGGGAUAGCUUUAGGCACUAGAGUAAUUAGUCUUAUUUCCUUGAUUUAAAGGAUGUGAUUGAUUGGUGCAAGUUGUUUUUUGUAAGGUGUAGAUUAGGCUAGCUUCUCUUUCUUCCCCCUCUUUCUUCUCAUAUAUAUCUGGACCCCUUGUACAUUAAACUUGUGAAAUACAUUACAAAUUAAAGCCAUAAUUUCUAUACUGCCAAAUCAAAAGGACAGAAAACCACUCAUGUAUGAGAAGUGCCUGAAGGAAUAAGUAAGUAGAUUGCAGAAUGUAACCAUGAACAUAGUAGGCGAAGCAAAAAUGGGAAGAGGCCAUGAGGUUUUCUUAGUAAAAAAAAAGGGAGAACUUGCAAAACAAAGUUGGAUUCUCAAAAGUCAUGAAAUGGCUUUCUUCAAAAGUGCUUGAUAGAAUCCAAUCAGUAUGUAUAUAGAUGCAGAAUUUGUGUUUGUGUUGGAGUCUAGUAACUGUUGGCAACGUCGUAGCAUGAAUUGAAAACAAAAAUUUACUCAAACCAUUCGAAGUAGCAGGAACGACCAAUGUUCUUCCCUCAUUCUUUAAUGCUGGAUUUGUGAGUUCUUGGGAGUUUUAUUUAUCUUCUUCGUUAGUUUGCGGCAGGUUACUCUCGAGUCCUCCACGAUCAGGUUUCCUUUUUGCACGUACGGUCAAUUUUUUUUUCUUUCUAUUUUAUCUUAGUUUGUGGCAAUUUAGUUCGAGUCCCUCAACAAUCAGGUUUUUUUUUUUCAGGUUUAAUUUUUUUUUUCUUCUGUUUUUCUCUUUUAAUUGUUAUUUUUUCUUGCCACUUAGUACUGCAGCCUAAUGAUAUUCCUCUUCAUUGGUUAGUAAAAAAUCUUAGGUUCGAUUCUUGCUCAAGACGAAUUUGAACCACAUUAUUUUGGUCUAAUAAUUAGUGUGAAGCUAAGCCCAUUGUUAAAAAAAAAUUGUUAUUUUUUCUUACAAAACCACCCUUAGUAAUAAUUUUUGUAUUUCUUUUCAGUUAAUGCGUUUUUUUGUUCUAGGGUUAUUUUGGUCUAAUUAUUUUUGGAGAAGUCUUGAGACACCAAAAUUGAUUGCUGGCUUUCUAAUAUUAGAGAUAUCAACUCUUAAGUGAAUGUCAUGUAAUAAAAUUUGAAGGUAGAUAAAAGUUUCAACUGAUACGUUAAUUCUAUGUCGAUUGCAUAUAGAUUGUGUGCUGCCAAUUUUCACAUAUGAGAAAAUUUUAUGUCAAAUUAUUUUUAAAUUUUUUGUUAUGCGGGUCCUAAUAAUACACCAAUCAUAAAUCUUGAAAAUUAGUUUUGAUUUAUUUGUUUUGAAGAGUGGUUUUACAAAUAUUAAUUGAAUAAGAAAAAGCAUAAAGGUUGGAGCAAAUAAAAUUUAACGUUGCCACGUAAGCCUUCAAAUUUGUUUUUGACAUUUUUCUUUAGAAAGUCAUACUCAAGAAGUGACAAUGAACUAGGAAGACUAAAUUUAUAAAUUAAAUGACAUGGAAGUUAAUGAUUAGAUUAUUACUUAACCGUUGAUUAAUGUGCUUAUUUUCUAUUAAUAACACAUGAUUUAAUUUGUAUAUUUAAUCUCCCUAAUAUUACCUUUUUUUCAACCAAUGUUUGCAUUAACCAAUGACUAUGAAGGAUUUAUUCUUAUUCUUCUAAAACCACGUGGGGCAGGCGAGAUUUUUUCACAAAAAACUAAGAUGGUGAAAAAACAAAGAAACAAACAAAACGAAAAGAAUGGAAGUUAUGUGAUUACGACGGCACCCAAUGUUGGAGUCCCCGCAUUAUUUGCUUCACUAUUAUAGAAUGAGGAUCCUCUCCAGAUCAUUGUGAAGAUUACAGGGAUUUUCAAAUUACGUUCGUUCAUUGUAUAUCGUGUGACUAAUUUUCAUUAGGUACUGUUUAUAUUCAAUUUUAAAUAUAAAAAAUUACAAUAAUUUCUAACUGCACGAUGUAUGAUGUACGAACGUGAUUGGAGGAUCCUCAGAAUUCUCACAAAUGAGGAUCCGGUUCAUUAUUAUACACCCUCCUCUAAACAAUUAACAUCAAUAAUAAGGUUCAUCCAACUUCUUUUUGUGACACUUCAAUUAAUAUUUAGUUUUUGUUCAGCAUACGUAUUUGGUGCUUGUGGUAAUGCUAAGACUAUCACAUUGUAUUAUUUCUCUAAUAAAGUAGUAUCUAUUGAUAUACAAGUAGGUUAUGCUUGAAUUAGAGAGGUGGUACAAUGUGAUCUCUCCUUUUGCAUUGUAAAUUGCAUUAAUUGGAAAAUCAUUGCACGUUUGAUAAUCAUUUGAUUUUUUUCAGAUUCAGUUUUUAUUUUUUAGUUAGAAAUAAAGAAAGAGUAGUGUUAUUCACACACCUAUUUUUAUUUGCAACACUUCCUUGUUAAUUUUUGUCUAUUGAUCUUCUUUAAUUCAUUCGAUUCGAUGGUCAGAAUUGAGAGAGGUGUGUGAGAGGUAAAAAUGAGUGUGUGGAUGGCAUCACCCAUAAAGAAUACAAGAAAGAAAUGAAGGAUUAAUAAGGACAAAAAAGAUUGAAAGUAAAGUUGUGGAAGAAAUCCACAUUAAUUCCAGGUUCAUUUUCUCCCUCCUUCCUUCUACCACACUUAUUUCUAAAGGCGUAGGGACAAUCAAUCCGUAGUGACGGGAAUCUAAGAAUGAAUGGGGAUCCCUAUCAAUAUAAAAAUGAGGAAUAUAAGAGUUAUGUCAUUAAAUCUCUUAUUGCAAGAAAUCUAAGAAUUUCUGGGGGCACUAGCACGAGCAAAAAAUGGUUGAAAAGUCUACUAUUUGAAAGACAGUAAAAUGGCCCAUACAACUUUCAAUUUCCUGAAAAAGUAGGACAUUGUAUUGAUGCUAAAAAAACAAUAAUUUAAAACAAAACAAAUUUUAAGACUCAUUGAUUAUAAGUUUACAAAUGCCAUCAAAUAAUAAGUAAAAAUAGCUACAAAUAUAACAUUCACUAAAUAAUCAAAAACAGUUCAGCCUUAAACAACCAUAAGAAGAAAAAAAACUUCAAAAACCUCUGACUUUAAAACUUUACUUAAUAUAUAACAUUAUUAUAUAAUAAAAUAAAAAUAUAAAAAGGUUGUUAUCGACACUUCAAAUUUUUAUAUUUAGAAAAGACAAAUUUACAAUUAUGAGGAUUGCACAACGAGAUUUGCCACCAACAAUUAUGAGGAUUGCACAACUAGAUCUACCACCAACCUCCCCACCCCCCACCCACCCCCGGCCCUGUAAUGUCUUGAGUAAUUUUAUAAAUUUCGGACUGAACCUCCGAAAUCUCAGAGAUAACCCUGCUUAUUCCUCAUUCUUGAUUCAUAUGUUCUUCCAUCUACAUUUUCUCUAUAUCUAGUGAGAAAAAUAAAAUUAAAAAUAGUUAUCAAAACGAGCCCUAAUUAAACGUGGUUUUAUUAUUUAUUUUCAUACAGAGAAUAAUACCAUACAUAAAUAUAUGUAACUGUGCAUGGGGUCGGAUAAUAAGACGAUCGUUCGAUCUUAUUGGCCAUUGUAGUUUGGCUGCAUAUAUCUGAGGCUACCAACCAAAAAGCAGAAGCCAAGGUGAGAUCGCUUUCGAUCGACAAAUUGAUGGCAUGAGUGCGUAAAUAACUAGUCGUCGGAAUCUUUGGAAUCCGAUAGCAUCUUUUGGAUCAAUUGGCUUGUCUCUUCCUCUGACAUUCGAUCUCCUUUGUUCUGAGACUCUUCAUACGCCUCGAAGAACUCCUUGUUCACUUUCUCCAGUUCAUUCCAAACUGCACCACAAUCAUUCAUAUAUCAAUAGAUAUGAUCUUCUACUUUAUGAUCAGUACUAUAACUAAGAUUUACGUCAAACAAUCUAUCAACUAGGUUAAGAUCGUAUAUUUAAUCACUGUUAGCUAUCUACAUAUAUACAACUUACCGUUUGGGAGACAGUUGAAGAUGCAUGGUACCAUACUCGAGUUUGGUUCAAUUUAUUUUUGAACAAAAGAUAUAGAGGGUGAGAAUUUCGAUUAAUAAUCUCUGUCAUACUGGGGUUAAUUAGUACACUCUUAACCACUAGAGUAAUUGCAAGCCUCCGACGGAUUAAUCUUAUUUUAAAGCUGCCCGUAUAAUACGUUUAAGCCAAAGUUGUGCAGAUGCCUUACUGGGGAUGUCACAGUUUUACUAGAAGAAUCAUUAGCUUUUGUCUUUGUCAAUUUCAGAACAAUAAUUUUGACUCACGGGUGAUGAUCAGCCUACAAACAGGCAUCCCUUGGUUACUCGCAGCCUCAAGAACUUAUGUGGUGCACAGGUUUGGUGUUCGUUUGCUUGCAUGCAUGUUAUGACAGUAUGACUAUAUUGCACAGAGAGAGAGAGAGAGAGAGAGAGAGUUAUAACCAGUAGAAGUGAUGACAGGUUGGAUGUUUGCAUGUUUAGAGAGAGCUUCCAUGCACUCCUCUUUGGUCAUGUGGUAGAUCAAACACUUCUCUAUCAGGUGCUGCACCUACAGUAUUUCAAAUUAGGGCACAACCAUCAUCUCCUAUAUCAUAACCAAUUAAGCAAAACAUAAAAUGAACACAUGUAGCUUUUAUAUAUGUAUGUAUUUAUACUCGAAGUUGAAUAAGUUACCAUGUGUAUGUAUGAUGCUGAUGAAGAAUCUCCCAUGAUCUCUAUUUCUAUGAUCUCAAGUAGGUCGAACUCGAUCUAUCUGCAACUUAACCACACAAACAAUAGAGAGAGUAUAAUAUGAUUGGGACUGAGGGAGUUGCUUAUGUAAGAUAUAUAUAUAUACACAUACAAAGCUUAGUUAGCAGGCUAGAGAUCGCAGGGAGCUGAGAGACUGAGAGUCAUAUGAUUGGGAAAGAGAUGCAAAAAACAUUGUUAUUAAGAAAAAUAAAAAGGGCAAAGGGGCCAGACUGCAAAGCCGUAGUGGGUUGGGGAAUGGAGGAGUCCCACGUGGGAGAUAGAUUAUAAUUGGUGGAGAGGGGAUUAGAGGAGAUUUGUAAAUGACCAUUUCUUUGUCUUCUAACCCUCUCUCCUGCAGUAUUCUGUACCAAGUCGCAUUUAGGCAGCCCCUCCACCACGUGAUCAAUGGGUCCCAACCCUAGUCAAAUCUCUUCCAAACAAACAAACCAUAAGGCAUAUUGGCAACUUUUUAGCACAUAUCAGUGAUGAAGAUGGCAAUAAUCUCUAUCGACCUUCGUUGGCUUGGCUUUGGCACCCCUAAACUGCAAAAGAAAAUUUCUCAAAUUCUUUCAAGAGAUCAUGUAUAUGCAUGAGGGUAAUUGGUUUGCCUUGUGAAUGUGGUGGUUGUUGAAGAGCACCCUAUCUAAAACCUGACGCAACAAAAAACUUUUUUGCAGUUUUUUUGUGAUGGAACUUCACACUUACUUGACUAGUAACUAAUUCAGCUUAAGUCGACAAUAUGUCGCUUGACUCAUUAAUAAUAAAUCAAUGGACUCUCUAUCUCUGAGAUUUUGACAAUUGUAUAUGCGUCCAGCUCUCAUGAUUUUUCUCUGCUUGCUAUGCUACAAACUUUGCCCAUACCAAGACCUGGCAUCCGCUGAUUGGUGGACAUAUAGCACCAUAAUAAUAUUAAUGAUUUGGUAUUUGAAACUCCCAAUUUUUAAGUUUCAUUUUAAAUUGGUCUCAACUUUUUUAAACAUUCCAAUUAACUAUCCAACCUAUUAAAAAUGUCACAUUCGAUAAGUCCCAGUUAAUUUUUCCGUUAAAUGUGGAUGUGGCAACAAUGCGUUCCACUUAUUUGCUUAUUUGGACACUAAAAUAAUAAUAAACGUAACUUCAAAAUAGACAUGAAGAUGAAAAAAGAAUUCACAAAUAAAAUGGAAAACAAAAAUGAAGAUUUGGAAAUCUCCUAACAAAUAAUAGGGUUAAAAAUUCAAAUAUGAUUUCAAGGAGCUUGUUUAUGCUCGUGAUUUCCUCAUUUGCUAAUUUUCGCCUAGUAAUGAUUCCAGUUCGUUUUUGUGGGCGGUGAAGGUGGUGGCCGCAUCAUGGCAGGCCAUACCAUUUCAACAACCUUCAAAACCUUCUUCUCAAUGUUGACAACUUAAGUUGUAGGGUGAAGUUUGUGGUUGUGCGUUGGGUUUUGGGGUGAUGGCCUGAAGGGGGUGGUUGUACAUUACUUGGUGAAGGCCAUACUUCCAUGACCUUUUAUUGAUGUUGGAGACAAAUUAAGCUCUAGUUAAUUUAACAAAAAAUGAAAUGGGGCUUAACGGUGUGACAUUUUCAACAGGUUUGGUACUUGUUUGGAAUGUUUAAAAAGGUUAAGAUCAAUUUGGAAUGACACUAAAAGAUUAGGGAGUAACUUAGGUACAUAAUCCUAAAAUCAACACAGUAUGAUCCUAUAUAAUAUCCCAAGUGCUGAUAUGCCCACCAAGCAAUUGUUCUAUGGAGAUAUCCAUGAGUGCUUCAGUACAGGUUUUGCAGAGGCAGAGGCAGAGGCAGAGGCAGAGGCAAUACUGAAAGAGUGGGGGCAAAUAGAUGACGGCGACGAGAGGCAGAACUGGAUUGUGUGCUUAAUAUGAAGGCCAUUUGGGAACGGGUGGGAAAACGAUGUUUUCACUUUUUAAUUUGUAAUAGUGGGUGAAAAAAAAAAGUGGACGGGUAAAUAGAAAAUGUAGGUGUGUCUAGUAGUUCUUCUAAUUUAGUGAGUGGUAUUUUAAUUUCGGACGAAAGAUUUACCUUGCAACCGCACUAGCCAGCUAAAUGCAAAUAAUGAUGAACAUGCAGUAAUCAGCUCACUGUCUUGUCUUGCUUAAUCUACAGAGAAAGAGCACAAAAUUUGUGGGGGGUCACCAAAACAGUUUUAGAAUCUUAACUUUUGAGGGCUGUUUUGUUUUUCUAAUUUGACGAUGCAAAUCUUAUGGUUCACUAUAUCAUUUUGUUCUUUUGCAAAUAUCUAUUAUAUAUUAUAUUGUAUUAUAUUUAUAUUAUAUUAUAUUAUAUUUUUUAUAUAUAAAGCCAAUGGAAAAGUGAAUAGUGAUUUUGGUAUUACCAAAUUUUAACAAAAAUACUUGGACAAAAAUGCCCUCAAGACAAAAAUUCAAAGGCAUCCCAAAAUAAUGCAUCAAAUAAGGCAGGGGCAUUUUUGUCAUUUUCAACAGUAUUUUUAUAAUUAAAUUUUUUUUGCGCUUUUGUUUUAAUUAGUGCAUCACAACUAGACUAAAAAUAUUUGUAUUAUAUUAUAUUAUAUCUUUUAUAGAUAAAGACAAUGGAAAAGUGAAUAGUGAUUUUGGUGUCACCAAGCUUCAACAAAAAUAUUUGGACAAAAAUGCCCCCAAGACAAAAAAUUCAAAGGCAUCCCAAAAUAAUGCAUCAAAUAAGAUAGGGGCAUUUUUGUCAUUUUAACAAUAUUUUUUUAUAAUUAAUUUUUUUUGUGCUUUUUUUUAAUUAGUGCAUCAUAAAUAGAUUAGCAAUAAUGUGAUUCAAUUUCUCUAUUUUUAAACACGUUCAAAACAUUUUUAAUAAAAAAAGGUCUUUCACGGAUAAUAAUGUGAUUAAGUACCAGUUUGGUAUUGCUUAAAUUUUUUUAAAAGUAGGGAUGAAAAAAAGUUGAGCUCAAUAUUGUGUUUGGUAACUUAGCAACAAAGCACUUAUUUUCAAAAUUGCUGCGAGAAACAACUGAAAAAUGGAAGCAGUUAUUUGCUGUUUUCAAAAACCAGCUUUUUAUCUUAGAAACACAGGUGAACACUAAUGUUUAAUGAAAGUUUGCAAAUGCUGAUCCUACCCUCACCUCUUGCGUCGUCAUCUUCCUUGCUCGGCCAUCUCACUGGUUCUCUCCUUCCCGCCUCACUCGUUCGCUCCCAACUCAUUGCCCCAAACCCAAUCCCUAACCUGAAACUUCAUUCUCAGCUCAAGCCUCCACCUCCUGCCACAUCAAAACUCUUAUAUAAUUUGAUUCCAACCUUUUUUUGAACCCCCACCACAGCUUCCAAUCCCAAUUGACGUUCUGAACUUUCGAGAUUUGAAUUGGCUUCAUCUGGGUCGCUGAGCUUCGAUUCCACUAAAGCAAAGAUUCAAUAUUUUCUCAAUUUCGACAUAAGCAAGCUGGUGUUUUCUUACUGGAGGCAGCAGCUUGAGCUGGAGGAUUUGAUGUGGGCAUUGGCAAAGAUGUCAAGGAAAGAGGGCUUGGGGGCGGUGUACGAGGCGGUGCUGAACGACGGGAACACCAUGGCGAUGAAGCGACUCAAGGAUGCUGUAGUGGUGGUGAUGGCCAAUGAUGGCAACGAAGAUGACGCCUGGGCAAUGAUCUCUCUCGUAAUGGAGUCGAAUGGAGAUAGAAAUGCAGAAUUGCAGAUACACAUUGAAGGGGUAGGCCCAUUUAACAUUAAAAAAUUACAUAUUUUUUCAUAUUGAUUUGUUUUAUAAUUUUCUUUAUCCAUGUGAAAAAUUUAAUUGCCACAUCAUCAAUUAACUAUAAACUUCACAUAAUUUUUAACGGAAGUAUGAAAUUGUAAUGAAAAUGUAAGUAAAUGUAUGAGAUUGAAAUGUUUUAAAGAUGUUAUAUGAGGUUGCAAUGGCAGUCAAACUUGAGGGUGCAAAAUGUAAUUUACCCAUAAAAAAUUGUGAUAUUGUUGUAGGCAUAAUUUACUUAACAAUUAUAGAUGCCUUAGAGAGAGGGAUGCAGCAAUAGUAAAGAGAAAGAGAUAUGUGUAAUUGUAAGGUGUGUUCUAUUACAUCUUGUUUGUACCAUACUUGACCAAUCCCGAAACUACCGAGCACCGGUCAACGUUAUACCGUCAAGGACCUAGAAGAGUUUCCUUCAAACCAGGAGGCCAAUCAUAGCGCAACACGUGUCGACAUCAGAAGCCAAUCAUAGCGCGACACGUGUCAACAUCAGAAGCUAAUCACAACACAACAUGACAAAUGUCAAUGUUAGAAUAAAGCUAGAAACUCUCUUCUAUAAAAGGAGAUCAUUCUCCCACAAUAUUUCCGAAUGUCAUUUGUACUAAAUCAUUCACUAGUACUCACUAAAGGAGAGCUUGAACCUAUGUACUUGUGUAAACCUUUCAUAAUUAAUGAGAAUUCCUCUACUCCGUGGACGUAGCCAAUCUAAGUGAACCAUGUACAUCCUGUGUUUGCUUCCCUGUCUCUAUCCAUUUACAUACUUAUCCACACUAGUGACCGGAGCAAUCUAGCGAAGGUCACAAACUUAACAUUUUCUGUUGUACCAAAGUCCUCAUUGAUUUUGUGCAUCAACAUUUGGCGCCGUCUGUGGGAAUCGCACUUAUUCAUACUCUCUUCAACUUUAUUAAGCUGGUUUUCACCAUUCGUACACUCUAUUUUGACCAUGCAUCCCUCUCCAAUAUGGGGAGCGAAGGAAGCCACAGCACGCAGAACGACACCCCCCCCGCACCUGGUGCGAAGGAACAAAAGAAGUUUGCUUUUCAGGCUAAAGUCGAUGAGCUAGAGGCUCAGAACAACAAGAUAGCGAUAGAGAAUGAGAUACUCCAAGAGCAGUAUGAGAAGGUCUUCGAGAUGCUCCACGAGGCUAGAUAUACUAAAACACACGAGCUUAUCACCCCUGUAGAAGUCAACCAUCAAUUGGAUGCCCCCCAACACGAAGGGUCAUUUGCCAUCGACAUGGGUAUUCCUAUUAAGAGGCGAGCUACUCAUCGAAAUGGCAACCAACAUGAGAUUUUUCUCAACCCAGCUGCUUCAACCAGAAGCAGGAGCAGUGGAGGAAGACGCAUUCUUACAGAGGGAGUGGAAGGAUCGAAAGCCGUCUUUCGCGACUAUCGAGACUUCCUAAAGCAACGUCGAGACAAUCUUGUCCAUGUAAGCUCGAAGAUCAAUGACCUAAUGGUCUCUAAAGACUUGGUCCCCUCCCAUGUCCCAGGCCGGCUACCAAUUUGGCGAAUAGGCAACAAGUUUUAGAGAAACACGAAGGUAUAGGGGACUCAGAGAUGUUCCGACAGACAUACCUUGGAAAUCAGUACGACGAGUCCAGGGAAACAUCACAUGCUCUCGAUCAAACCUUCCUACUUCCAAGAGGAGAUGGAGAUUUACGAACGAAAGAUCCAGUGGUACAUGACUCCACUCAAGACCCUCUUGUCCUACAGCUCCUUAAGGAAGUAAACAAGUUGAAGGCCGAAUGACAAGCUGAGAUACCUGAUUGGAAACAACCUAGGCCUGGCCCUCUUACAAAGAGGAUCCUCGACACCCCAUUCAAGAAGAGACAAAACAAAAGCUUGGUUUACAACUCUAUACUGGAAGGGAUGACCCGAUUGAACACAUUAACCUCUUUGAGCCCACCAUGCCAUAUCGAUGCACGUCGACGAAUAGCGAUGUCUUCUCUUCCUUUCCACCCUCUCUGGCAAAGCUCUAAACUGGUAUUGUCGUCUUCCACCCGAGACAGUAGACUCAUUUAAGGAACUAAGGAAACUGUUUGUUUCUCAACACAUCUUCCAGAACGAUAGCACAUUCUGCAGAUAACUUGUACACUAUUCUCCAUAAGCCAGACGAGUCAUUACGAGAGUAUGCUGGUUGCUUUAGCCAUGAGUAUUCUCGCUGCACUGAGGCAGAUGACAAGACCGCCCUCAAAGCCUUCACGGCAGGCCUACGUGAUUGUUUCUUCAAGUACAUGAUCAAUGCCAACACUUCGAAGACUUACUCUGAGGUGAUGGCACAUGCUUACAACCACGCAUCCGCCGAAGUAAGGACAGACCAAGGGAAUCCCCAUAUGGUUAACCCCUAUCAACAAGUGGGAAGUGGAAGUUAAGUUUUACCAAGUAAGGAGAUCUUGGCCAUUCAGACACCCAUUGCAUCAUCUCCUGCCUCAUUUAGCUACUCGCUAAGUCACCAAACGUAUUUGUCUAUUGGUAAGAGGAAUGAUUUUUACUCUCAGCAAGCCUAUUACAAUAAGAGGGAUAAAAGUUCGUAUCAAGACAACCAGGGGUGAACGUACCGUCGACUAUUAUGACUAUGGGGCCAAGCCUCACUCUUUCAAAGUGGAGGACUAAAUACUGAAGGAAAUGCUAUUAUAAGAAGGCAUACACAUUGCAAAUGUUUUGACCCUCAACCACUUGAGAUCUUUUGUCACACAAGUCAUUCAACAAAUAUUUAAAAAAGAGAGAAUUCAGACAAUUUCUUCUGAGUCUUUUGCAUUCCUAGCACUAGAACACUUGGUCUACACUGACCUACCUCUAUACUCCAACUCAGAGCUUCAACAUGCGUACUUUGACACAAAGUAUGUGAUACUAAGUGUUACAACCAACAUGGUUCACAUAUCGAAAGCAUAGAUCCCUUCAUGCAUAGCAAAACAUUCAUAAGCAUCACUCAUGUCAAUCAACAUAAACAUCAUACAUUCCAACAUAUUCAUAAAUAAACAUCAUACAUUCCAACACAUUCAUAAAUAAACAUCAUACAUUCCAACACAUCCAUACAUAAGUCAACUGUGCUUCGAAAGGGUUCAACACACUUUGUGUCAUUCGACACUUGCUACAAUGUGCCUCGACACCUUGCCCUUAUUCUCACCAACUAGGUGAUGAAGGAACUCACAUUCGUGCCACCAACUAGGCGAUGAAAUGUAUAACUCGUACUCUCAUUCAUGCCACCAACCAGGUGAUGAAAUGUACAACUGUACUCUAAUAUUAUUUGGCAACUUGCCACUCUUAUCACCAGCCAGGUGAAGAAUGAACUUACCUUCGUGCCACCAACUAGGUGAUGAAAUGUGAAGAAUGAACUCAUCUUCAUGUCACCAAUCAGGUGAUGAAAUGUACAACCCGUACCCUUCUUCAUGCCACUAACCAGGUGAUAAAAUGUGAAGAAGGAACUCAUCUUCGUGCCACCAACCAGGAAAUAUGAUGAAAGGUGAUGAAGAAACUCUCUUUCGCACCAACCAAGUGAUGAAAGCAACCCACCAUUCAUUCCACCAACCAGAAGACGAGUGGUACAACUUGUACAUGUGAACUCCUAGCAUUCACAAAUAAUCAAAAACCCUCAAGCUUUACAACUCAACUAGGGGAACACUUAUGCCUAACAAGAGUUAUAGUCACCAACAAAGUCUUAUUACAAGCCAACAACGGCUUCAGUGCAUGGUAUACGAAGAUCAAGCUCUUCAGCCCUCUUGCAUCUGCUUCAGACAUUUCUCCUCUGUAACAAUGCAAACACUACAACUCAUAGAAAGCUUCACACACUCUUAAUCAAGACUGUUCGAAGCAAAUUUAAUUUAUAUGGUUCAUCCAAACCUUCGACUACUACAAGGUCUGGCUUGCAUCACAAUCUCUUUCUUAACAGUGUGGAAGCAAAAUUUGUAUACGUUGUCUCUCCCACAUUUUCAAAUUUCUAGUUUCCUAAAAAAAAAAAUUGGGAAAUUUAACAAAGCUUCAUCAAUGGAGGACAACUACAAAUUCUCAAAAGCUUCACACACUCCUGAUCAAGAUAGUGUGAAGCAAAACCAAUUUAUGGUGAAAAUCAAAAGCUUCAUCAAUGAAGGACAACUACAAUUCUCAAAAGCUUCACACACUCUUGAUCAAGACAAUGUGAAGCAAAACCAAUUUAAGGUGCCAACAAGAGCUUCAUCAAAGGAGUUCAACCACAAUUCUCAAAAACUUUACACACUCUUGAUCAAGACAGUGUGAAGCAAAACCAAUUUAUGGUGCCAACAAGAGCUUCAUCAAUGGAAGGCAACCACAAUUCUCAAAAGUUUCACACACUCUUGAUCAAGACAGUGUGAAGCAAAACCAAUUUAUGGUGCCAACAAGAUCUUCAUCAAUGGAGGGCAACUACAAUUCUCAAAAGCUUUACACACUCUUGAUCAAGACAGUGUGAAGCAAAACCAAUUUAUGGUGCCAACAAAAGCUUCAUCUAUAAAGCUUCACCUAUAAAGCUUCAACAUAAAAGCUUCACCACCAAAGUUUCACCUACAAAGCUUCAACUCCAAAGCUUCACCUACAAAGCUUCAACUCCAAAGCUUCACUUACAAAAGCUUCAACUCCAAAGCUUCACCUACAAAGCUUCAACACAAAAGCUUAACCUACAAAUCUUUAACUCCAAAGCUUCACAUACAAAGCUUCAACUCCAAAGCUUCACCUACAAAGCUUCAACACAAAAGCUUCACCUACAAAGCUUCAAUACAAAAGCUUCACUUACAAAGCUUCAAAUCCAAAGCUUCACCUACAAAAGUUUCAACUCCAAAGCUUUACCUACAAAACUUCAACACAAAAGCUUCACCUACAAAGCUUCAACUCUAAAGCUUCACCUACAAAGCUUCAACUCCAAAGCUUCACCUACAAAGCUUCAACACAAAAGCUUCACCUACAAAGCUUCAACUCCAAAGCUUCACCUACAAAAGUUUCAACUCUAAAGCUUCACCUACAAAGCUUCAACACAAAAGCUUCACCUACAAAGCUUCAACACCAAAGCUUCAGCUACAAAUGCCAAAAGCUUCACAUACUCUUGAUCAAGAUAGUGUGAAGCAAAAUCAAUUCAUGGUACCCAACAAAGCUUCAACCUCAAAGCUUCACCUCCAAAGCUUCACCUAUAAAGCUUAAUAUAUAUAUAUAUAUAUAUAUGUAUAUGUAUAUGUAUAUGUAUAUAUUUUUUAGAAAAUUCAGAAAUUCAGAAAUUUGGAAGAAAAAAAAGGCCUAAUGCCUCAUCUUAUUUAGGCCUAACAACUUUCAUAACAAAUAUAUAUGAAAGAGAAGUUUUGGGCUACUAUUAGAAAAGAAAAUGGUGAAGUUUUGUUACUUUGGAAACUUGGCUACUAGCAAGACACCUCCUUCGUCAACUCCCUCGACCGGAGACUUGGAGGACUCCUACCAUAUGCUACUACACCUCGGUACUUGGAAGGUUCACGACUACUUAGUAACUUGGAUCUUUCAAGUCUCCAACUGAGAAGUUUUCCUCACUGGGGAAAUUAAGGGAGCACUACCUCAACCUACAUGCUUCAUUCACAAAGUUUCAACAUACAAGCUUCAACAAAAGAAAAAAUUCGAAAAACUUAGUGAAGAAGGGCUUUGGUGUAUUUAACAUAAUAUGUUGAAAUGAAGCAAAGCUUAUUUAUUGAUAUCUCCGAUAAGUUACAAAUAUGUAUAUAUACAUGAAUCAAAAUAAACAAACAAGAGGGAGCCUUCACAAAGGUUGCUCAGUAGAAGUUUCAAUAAUUGGCAGUGUCCCAGAAAGAGAAGGCACCGGAGGGUGAUCAUUCGGAGCCUCAACAUUGGUAGAACCCCAUAAGGAGGAGGCACCAGAGGUUGAUCAUUUAGAGUUUCAUUACGCGGUACAGCCCCAAAAGACGAAGGUAAUAAAUGCCUUUGGAACAAACCCACAAACCUCUGAUGAUCAAGUAAAAUCUGAUCAUCAGAUUCCUGCAGCUGGUCAAGCUUCCUCUUCAUGUUUGUAGUAUAGUCAUGUGCGAGCCUGUGCAACUGUUUAUUCUCAUGCUUAAGCCCUCUAAUCUCCUAUUUGAGACUUAUCACUUCAGCCGCCAAUGAUUUAACUUAACGGGUUCGAGCAAAUAGGCGUUGGGCCAUAUUAGACACAGAACCUGCACACUGAACACUGAGAGCCAGAGAAUCCUUAACAGCCAACUCAUCAGACCGUUUGGAAAGUAGUUUGUUAUCUUUGGGAGUGAGAAGGUUCCUAACUACCACCACAACAGUCAUAUCAUUCUUAGUCAUAGAGUCCCAAACGGUAAGAGGAUCAGUAUGGGAUAAGAAUGAUGGGUGCCAUAUGUUGUCUUGAGGAGGCAUGGAUGCCUCUUCACCAAAGUUUAAGUCAAAACGACGGUCGGAUGGGCCAGACAUUUUCAGAAAUGAUGAAGGAGAAAUAAGAUCCAAUAAAUCUCUAAAGUACAAAAACAAAAGGAAAAUUCAUACAAGCAAUAACUCUCUGAACGUACUUCUUGCACACAAUUUGUGCCCCCAUAAAAGAAAUGGCAGCAGGGCCGUUUGUUCAAAAAUCGAAGAGGCACCACUAUUCGGAUUUCGAGAAGCAUAUUUUCCUGAGUAAAAUAUGUCGACAAUCCCUACACGCAACAUCAGUUCAUCGGGUACCACAAUAACUUUGCCAAAGAUCUCUAACCAAGUUUAAACACAUAAAUUUGAAGGUCCAACUACCCCUACUAUUACCCACAAGGGUAAAUGAACAACACCACUACUUGAUAACUGGAAAGUCCUUAUGUGUGUCAACCUCCGUGCUCUAUGGCAAAGCAGACUGGCAAAAAGCCCAACAUUUACUCACAUCAAGAAAACACUCCCAACAAGAUUGCUUUCUCAAAAAUCGAAGAGGCACCGCGAUCCGAAUCUCGAGAGCCAGACUCCCACCAGGAUUGCUUUCUCAAAAAUCAAAGAGGCACCGCUCUCCGAAUCUCGAGAGCCAGACUCCCACCAGAAUUGCUUUCUCAAAAAUCGAAGAGGCACUGCUAUCUGAAUCUCGAAAGCCAUACUCAAAACAGGAUUGCUUUCUCAAAAUCUAAAAGGCACCGUUCUCUAAAUCUCAAGAGCCAGAUCCUCAACAAGAUUGCUUGUUCGAAAACCGAAGAGGCAUCGCUCUCCGAACUUCGAGAGCUAGAUUUCCUUGGAUAAAAUUUGUCUACAAUCUUCACACGCAACAUCAGCUUUCCAGAUACCACAUACCAUUUUUUCAAAGUGCUUUGACAAAGUUAAAACACGUGAAUCUUGCAACUCCCAUUACACUACUAUGACCGAGAAGGGUAAAGGAACAACGUUACCACUCGCUAUUGGGACAAUUCCUAUAUAUGUCGAACUCCAUCCUCCACAGCCAGGAAGACCAGUAAAUAAAAAAAAUGCUCAACUUUUAUUCACAUCCGAGAGGGCACUCCCAGCAGAAUCUCUCGAAAUACUCAGCUUCUUUUCCCCCCAAUAAUACAUCUGCAAACAAGCCACACCAGAGCAAGAGUAUCUCAUAUCAUCAGGGUUAAAAGCAAGGGUAUCCUAUAUCAUGUUUUUUCCCUGUCUUUUCCUUUGCCCUUGCUCUUACUUCCAGGAUAAGGAGAAAAAACGCAAUCAGUCGGAUCCUGAAAUCAAACUUUCGAUUUGGAACUGAUUGCCCGAAAUUUUUGCAUGGUUGCUUGCCUAACAUUGCUCUCGAGUACUCAUCCUCAACUGUUGUCAAGGUCACGAAGUCCUUCGGUAAAUACCUUAGAACAGUUUAUGCGAUAUUGACGUUUUACACUGAAGCUGCUACGCAUGGAAGAGUCGAUGAAAAGUAGUGCUCUUAAUGACCAUUUAAAUGCAAAGGUUGCGCACCACUUCUACGAUGCAAAAGAUUGAAGUAGAAGGUUCAACGAUGAGCUGCAAUAGAUCACUACAGCACGACGCCCUCCUUGCAAAACCACAUAAUCCAGAAAGAUGAGUCUAAAUCAAAUCCAAGCUCAACAUCACUGCCAUAUCCGAAGAGCUCAAGAAACUUCAACAACUUUUUGCUGGCACCGUCGCCAAAGAGCAAAGCCUCGCCAUACCACAUUCACUACUUUGUCAACAACAAAAGUAUCUCAUAUCAUCAAGGUCGAACGAACUCUUGAUUUGAUGGACUUGUUUUGACCCUCAAAUUCUUGAGUCGACCUUAUACUCUGGAGGAAACCAGAAAACCCUCCAGUCCAGUUCAAGAAUAAGCAUGUGGAAAGUUACUUCUUCAAAAGAAAAAGUAUCUCAUAUCAUCUCUUCUCCUUUUUCUUCUCUUUAUCAUUCUUGCUGCCUGCAAGAUAGAGAGAAUGAGAACAAUCAGCCGGAACUCGAAAUCAAACUUCUGAUCUGGGACUGAUUGCUAAGAACUCUGAUUGCUUACCUUGUCGGUCACCUCUUUCGGCAAAUCUCUUAGCUCGGCAACUUGGGGGACUCCUACUACAUGGUUUGUAUCACGCUUGACCAAGCCUAAAACUACAAGUAAACUUCAAGUGAAAUUGAUACAUUACCUUGUGCAUCUCCACCGGUUAAAUAUACCACCCAUGAAUUUCGGAAAAGUACUUCCAGAGAAGAUGUCACAUCUACCUAUGAGACAAAUAAAGCAAGUGAAAACAACACCACACUUCGGUACUUAGAAGUUUCGUGAUUACUCAACGGCUUGGAUCUUGCAAGUCCCCAACCGAGGAGCUUCUAUCACUCGGGAACUUAGGGGAGCACUGUUUGUACCAUACUUGACCAAUCCCGAAACUACCGAGCACCGUUCAACGUUAUACCAUCAAUGACCUAGAAGAGUUUCCCUUCAAUCAGAAGGCCAAUCACAGCGCGACACGUGUCAACAUCAAAAGCCAAUCAUAGCGCGACAUGUGUCAACAUCAGAAGCCAAUCACAACACGACACGUGUUAAUAUCAGAACAAAGCUAGAAACUCUCUUCUAUAAAAGGAGAUCAUUCUCCCACAAUAUUUAUGAAUGUUAUUUGUACUAAAUCAUUCACUAGUACUCACUAAAUGAGAGUUUGAACCUAUUUACUUGUGCAAACCCUUCACAAUUAAUGAGAACUCCUCUACUCCAUGGACAUAGCCAAUCUGGGUGAACCACGUACAUCCUGUGUUUGCUUCCCUGUCUCUAUCCAUUUACAUACUUAUCCACACCAGUGACUGGAGCAAAGUCCUCACUGUUGUACCAAAGUCCUCACUGAUUUUGUGCAUCAAUACAUCUUAUUGUGCCUUUAUUUAUAGUAGUAGGAUAGGUAAAAUCCUUACCCUUUUAGGAUUACAACUUUUAAUAGGUAAUCAACUCCUAAUAGGAAUAUAAGAGAUAUUUCUAAAUCUACUAGGAUUUACACAAUUACAUUUCUAAUCUAAUAUGAUUGCAACACUCGCCCUGAGUAUGUAAAUAUUUCAAUUGAAGUAGUUUGUCAUAUUAAUUAAUAUUUAUGAUAAAGUUUAUAAAUAUUUUCUUUUAAAAAUAAAGUAUAUUUAGUAAUUCACCUUUAUUUGUUAAGAAAAUUAAAUUAAUGGCACAUCUAGUAUUAUACCAUUUUUUGUCAUUUCACACAAUCACAGCUGUUUUACAUAAAAGUUUACCAAACACUAUAAUAAUGUUUUUUUUUUCAAAAGCACUUUACAAAAAAGUUUACCCAACACUCUACUGCUUUAUUUCAUAGUUGCUUAUUCUCACAGUACAGCAGAAACAAUUUUUUUUUCAAAACAUCUUAAAAGGCGUGUAAUGCCGGUUAUAAAAAAUAUUUUUCACACGCGGAUAAUAAUGUGAUUAAAUUAGUUGUUAAAUGAUUGUUUUUUUUUUUUUGCAAACGAUAUUAUCUACACUAAGGUGGAGGGGGUGGAUUUAGCCUCACAAUAGGCUAGCAAUAAUGUGAUUCAAUUAGUUGUUUAUUAAAUGUCAGUUAUAAAAAAGGUUUUUUCCACGCAGAUAAUAAUGUGAUUAAAUUAGUUGUCAAAUGAUUUUUUUUUAACAAACGAUAUUAUCUACACUAAGGGAGAGGGGAUGAGCUUAGCCUCAUAAUGGAUUAGCAAUAAUGUGAUUUCAUCAAUUGUUUAUUAAAUAUUAUUUUCUUUAUUCUUAAUGUAAAUUCUAUAAAGACCGAUUUUAUUAUGUGAAUUCAACUGCUUUAAUUAGUUUAUGAAGGGUUUCUUCUAGCAUGAUCUAAGAUUAUUCAUUUACUUCAAAUAUUUGACAUUCCUUUGUCAAUUUACACAUACAAAUACAUUUAAAACGUGCAAAUCGCGCUUAGUAUGCUGUAAUUCAAAAAAUGUCACGCACGUGCAUGAAGGCUAGUAUAAAUAAAAUCAAAUGAGUCAAUGGGUGUGUGUGUGUAUAUACACACACCCAUUGACAGAAUGUAGAAUUUUUAAUAGCCAUGCGUCUUUCUUUUGCAUGUGUAUCUAUAUAUGUAAUAGCACCAAUAAUUGAAACAGUGAGUAUAAUGUUGUAGACUGCUGAUUUUUGGGCUGCAGAAAGUUCCUCGUUCCCUGCAGAUCGAGAUAUGAGACAAAUAUUCAUCAUGUCUAUGUGAGAAUAGUACUGAACUCGAAAUUUGGAUGCUUUUAGGCAGUAAAAAUUCAUGAUUCGAACUUCGAACGGUUUUUCCUCUAUUUUUUUUUUUUUUUUUUUAUAAAAACACAUAAGAAAACCCUCAAUUUAGAAUCCAAAUUCUUGUCAGAUUCUUUUUGUGAUGAUUUUAGAGAUCCGUUAAUCAUAUCCAUUUAUCUUACAUUGUAUAGUUAAAAAUUAUUUUAAAUAUUUUUAUUUAAAAUUAAAUAAAAACAGUACUUGACAAAAACUGACAACAUGAUGUACAAUUAACAAACACGAUUCACGAAUCUUCAAGAUGUUGAGAGAAUCCUGUUGGGUCAAUUUAUUUAGUGGCUGGGCCCUACCCUCUCUCAAUUAUCCGAUAACUGUUACCUUCAGCCUUAUCACUGCCUUCCCAUUCAAAGAAUUGGGCAUUGUGAUCAUAAACUUCUGGCUAUGAACUAUCCAGUAUCUACCACAAGACUCUAUAAGCCCUAGCUAUACGAUCAACGGAUUUAUCCUUAUCUUCUUGCCAUCGUACAAGAAAUCAGUUGCUUGCUACUAGAUUGAAUUUUGGCGUUUAAAUGACGUUUAGUAUAAUAGGUAAAAACGUUUUUAAGUUCUUAGGAUAUUUUCGACCAUAAAUAGACAUCGAAAACUCUUUAAGUAUAUUCACAAUAGAAACCCCGCCUAGCGCCACAUGGCUUGCCUGGGGUAAUGACUAGGGGUUUGAAAAUCAAGAAAUGACGUCUAAACUUUCUUAGGCGUCCGCCUAUCCCACCUAGACCCGCUAGGUCUCGAUUUCCACUUAGACAGAAAAUCAGUAACUUUCAUUUUAUUUUUAUUUUUGUUCAGUAAAUUGUAAGAGUCUUGUUGAAUACUUGGAUGAACACUCAUUAUAUGUUUGUUCUCCAUAUUUUCAAUAUAUUAUAAUACUUUAAUUUAUAUGUUAUUUAUUUUCCAAUGUAUGUAUCUCAAUAUAAUUAUUAUUUUUUAAAUAUAAGUAGACACUUAUUUAUACGAUAUAUAAUAAAUUUACUGAAAUCCAAGUCCGCCUAGAAUGUGAUUGUUGAUGAUUGGAUUAUUACUAAAGUGUUGAUUAAUGUGCUUAUUUCAUAUUGGUGGCACGUCAUUAGGUUUGCAAAUUUUGUUCUCGUAUUACUCUUUGUUGAAGGUUAGACUUGAAUUGGAAUGAAUUUCCAAAAAAACGCAACUCACAUUGCUACUAGGUAGUAAUUUUAAAAUAAAAAAAAAUUAACAACCAAACAUAAAUUCGUAAAAAUUGGAAAGAAUAAAAAUGGACAUAUAUAGCAUUUCAAACUCAAGAUUUCUCGUUAAUUUUAAACAACAGAAACCUGUUUCUAAUUAAAGUUCAUGAUCAUUUAACCAAAUUUUACAAAUUUAUACUCUUAUGAAAAUAAAUUCAUAAGAAUUGGAAAGUAUAAAAACAGAUAGCGUUUUGAACCCAAGACCUUUUGGUUAAUUUUAAACAGCAUAAAUCACCAUUUCUGGUUAAACUUCUUGAUCAUUUGACCAAAUUUUAUAAAUUUACUUUUAUGACUAGAAAUUCGUAAAAAUUGAAAAGUAAAUAAACGCACAUAGCGUUUUGAACCCAGGAUCUCCUUGUUAAUUUAAUUAAAGAGCAAAAACCAUCAGUUCUAGUUAAACGUCUUGGUCAUCUAACCAAAUUUUAUAAAUUUAUAGUGUCACAUCUCGGCCCAGGCCCCCACCACAUCUCGGUCUCAACUCCACCGUAGCACGAUAUUGUCCGUUUUGGGCCCCAACCACACCCUCAUGGUUUUGUUUCUGGGAACUUACACGAGAACUUCCCAAUGGGUUACCCAUCCUGAUAUUGCUCUCGCGCAAACUCGCUUAACUUCAGAGUUCCUACGGAACCCGAAGCCAGUGAGCUCCCAAAAUGUCUCAUGCUAGGUAGAGAUGGGAAUAUACAUAUAAGGCUUAUGAUCCACUCCCUUGGGCGAUGUGGGAUGUUACAAUCCACCCCCCUUAGGGGCCCGAUGUCCUCGUCGACACACUUCCGGCCAGAGAUUGGCUCUGAUACCAAAUUAUCACAUCCCAACCUGGGCCCCCACCACAUCCCGGGCUCGACGCCACCGUAGCACGAUAUUGUCCGAUUUGGGCCCCGACCACACCCUCAUGGUUUUGUUUCUAGGAACUCACACGAUAACUUCACAAUGGAUCACCCAUCUUGAGAUUGCUCUUGCGCGAACUCGCUUAACUUCAGAGUUCCUACAGAACCCGAAGCCAAUGUGCUCCCAAAAGGCCUCAUGCUAGGUAGAGAUGAGAAUAUACAUAUAAAGCUUAUAGGAUCCACUCUCAUGGGUGAUGUGUAAUGUUACAUAUACUCUUAUGAAAACAUAUAUAAAUAGACCACCCUAAUAAUUUUGGUACCUCCAAUUUUUUUGGCCCCGAACAGUCGCCAGCCCUCACCGGACAAGAGCCGAACCUGCCCUUCUGUUUACAAUACUAAUCACAUGAACACUCGUUAUAAGUAACACUUGCAUGACAGUGACAAGACCAAAAAAUACGGAUAUAAAACUAUGCAUGCCAAAAUCCGUUACAAAUUUGCAACAAAAUUGCAUCUUGCUUAAUGGAUUAGUUAUAUCAUCUCGAAGAGAAGUUCUAAAUUUUUGUUAAACUAGUAAGUAAACAAUGUUAAAAAAAUAUUUGAAGUAUUCAGUUUAACUUUUCAUCUUCAACAAUUCUCUCUAUUUUAUAAAACUUUAAAUAUUCUAUUAUUAACAAUUCAAACUCAACUCACUCAUUUUCUAAUAAUACUUUUUCUCUUUUCCAUUUCUCCUUGCUUUGUAAAUUUAAAGAGUAACUGUUCAUCUCCUAUAAUAGAGAAUAUAGGAGAAUUUUUACGAAUUUUAUGAAGUUCUAAAUGGAGAAAAUUCAAAAGACUAGAACAAAUUUCACACAGUCACACCUUUCACCCAUCUCAAAGAUUCAAAGAACCAUAUCUCCAAGUGUAUCUGCUAUCUGGGAUUCAUGUGUACGGAUUUUAAUGAGUAGGGACACACUAGUGGGAGUGGCAGUCCUAACACAUCAGAGCUUUUGAUUUUUUCCUAUCUACACCUUUAACUGAGAAUAACUUUAACAUAGUAACUACAGUAUUACUUUGAAGCUUGUGGUGUGGACAAAUGUCGUAUAAAUUGUCAUUGUUUUUAAUUUGUUUGGCUUGUUCAUGUUAAUCAUCGGUCGUAAUUGAUAUAAUCAAAAUACUAUUAUAUUUGCUUUAUAAUAGAAAAUGACGUGCGAAAUGAAUAAUCAAAAUGGAAUGUAUAAUCAAAGUACUACGUGCGAAAUGAAUAAUUAAAAAGGGAAUGUAUAAGAAAAAAAAGACGUGCGAAAUGAAUGGGAACUGAGAAAAUCUGGGUGAUGCAGUGCACACGUAGUACUUUGGACUCUCGGAUUUGUUUACAACAUUUUUUGUAUAAUCAAAAUAUUUCACUGAAUCAAGAAGAUAUUAUACCAGACAAAAUGGAAGAAAAUAAUCAUACAAAAGAGUUCUUCAAUCCAAGUUGAAAACUCAGAACAAAUGAGAGUAUAUGUUGUAUAUUAGCAUGACCUAGCCCAUUGCCACCUAAAUAAUUAGUAACACAAAUGUUCUCUUCACAUAUAACAUAUCCACCAUCAAUCGUGAAUCGCCAAAUCCCGCUUGACGGAACGUUAAUCAUCACCAGAAUGUUCGGAGGAAUAUUCCGGUAUCAUGUUUUUUAUCAGUUGGCUCGUCUCUUGCUUAGACAUUAUAUAUCUAGUUUGUUUUGUGAUUGUGCGUAAUAAGUCUCGGAAAUUGUAAUAUAUUUCAUUAUCAUUUAUUUACAAAAGAGAAGUCAUCUCUUAUAGAGGGUCAAAAACUACACAACUAGUCUUAACAAGUGGACAAGUCAAAUGAUGAUUACAUGAGGAAAACACCAAAGAGGAAAAUAAGGAGAAAAUGAAAGCAAAGCAAAGUAAUGAUGACUAGCUAUAAAGUAAAGUAAUGAUGGCUAGCUAUAAUGUAAAGUAAUGAUGGCUAGCUAGAGGAAUAAUUACAAGUCUAUUGUCUAUACCAAUAAUGUCUAGCAGCUAUUGUUGACCAUCCCCCUCAAGUUGGUGCAUAGAUGUCAUGAAUGCCCAACUUGCUUAGUGAGUUGUGAAAUAAUGAACUUGUGACUGCUUUGGUGAGCAUGUUUGCUAAUUGAUCUUCAGAUGUAACGAAUGGAACUUCAAUAAGUCUUGCCUCAAUUUUUUCUUUAAUAAAAUGUAUAUCCAUCUCCACAUGUUUGGUUCGAUCAUGUUGCACUGGAUUGUGAGCAAUGUCAAUUGCAGCCUUGUUGUCACAAUGUAGACGCAUAGCAUGCUUGGGCCUAAAUCCCAAAUCUCUCAGUAAAUUCUUCAUCCAAAGCAGUUCACAUACUCCAUAUGCCAUACUCCAAUAUUCUGCUUCAGCACUUGAUCUAGCAACAACCUUUUGUUUCUUACUACGCCAAGAGACUAGAUUUCCUCCAACAAUAACAAAGUAUCCUGAUGUUGAUCGCCAGUUAGUUACAUCACCAGCCCAAUCAGCAUCAGUGUAGCCUUUAACGUCUAGAUGACCAUGUUUUGAAAACAUUAAUCCUUUCCCAAAAGCUUACUUUAAAUACCUCAAGAUACGGUUUACAGCAUCCAUGUGUGUUUCACUUGGUGCAUGCAUAAACUAGCUUACCAUGCUGACUGCAUAUACUAUAUCUAGUCUAGUAUGUGCAAGAUAUAUUAGCUUACCAACAAUUUGUUAAUAUCUCUCUUUGUUGGUAGGUAUCUGAUCAGAAUAUUCGCCAAGUUUGUGAUUCAGCUCAAUUGGGGUAUCUGCUGGUUUGCAUGCUAGCAUCCCAGUUUCUGUCAAAAUAUCAAGAACAUAUUUUCGUUGUGAUAGAAAUAUUCCUUGUUGUGAGCGAGCCACCUCAAUGCCCAAGAAAUACUUUACAGCACCGAGAUCUUUCAUCUCAAAUUCACUUGCUAGAUACUUUUGCGGUGCUGCCUUCUCUUCUGGAUCAUUUCCUAUAACCACCAUGUCAUCCACAUAUACAAUAAGAGCAGUUAUUUUACCUUUUUUAUGCUUUAAGAAAAGAGUAUGAUCCGAGUUGCUUUACUUGUAUCCAAAAAAUUUCAUCGAUUUGGUAAAUCUCCCAAACCAAGCUCUCGAUGAUUGCUUUAAGCCAUACAAUGACUUUUUUAGUUUACAAACAUUGUUGGUCUGAUUGGGAUCCAACUUGCAUCUUGGGGGAAGCUCCAUAUAAACUUCUUCUUCUAAAUCUCCAUGCAGGAAAGCAUUUUUGACAUCGAAUUGUUGCAAAGGCCAGUCAAGGUUUGCUGCUAGGGAUAAGAGUACACGAAUAGUGCUUAUCUUAGCUACGGAGGCAAAAGUCUAUCCGUAGUCAAUGCCAUAUGUCUGCGUGUAGCCUUUUGCCACUAAUAUUGCUUUGUAUUGCUCAAUAGUGCCAUCUGCAUUGAAUUUACUAUGUAUAUCCACUUGCCACCAACUGAUUUCUUCCCCUUGGGUAGGUUAGCUAACUCCCAAGUGGAAUUUUUUUAGAAUGCCUCCAUUUCUUCAUUCAUUACACGAGUCCACCUAGGAUCUUUCAUAGCAUCCUCUACACUACAAGGAAUAGAUACAGUGGAUAAUUGAUUUACAAAUGCCUCACAUUAUGUAGAUAACCUAUGAAGGGACACAUGGUUAGCAAUUGGGUAUUUAAUCUUAACUCUAGGAUCAGGAUCAUAUAACUGUUUAGGAAUCCCUCGAGAUUUUCGAGGGGGAAGUUGAUAAUUAGUGGACUCAAUUUGACUUGACUCAGGUACGAUCUUAAUAGAAUUAGAUUGAUCAGUUACCUGUUGAUUGUGUUCAGGGGUUGAUUGAUCAUGUGGUACUAUCGAAGAAUGCAAUCCCAAGCCAUCUGGACUUAACGUUGCUGGAUGUACUUUUGUGUCUGAUGUUGGAGUUAAUGAUUAUGUUUCUGCAUGUAUUGUUUGAUUACAGUCGUCUGCCGACUUAUCAACAUUUAUCUCAGUUUCUGAAAUUUCUGCAACAAUUUUAAUGUUGCUAAUGUCUUGGGUAUCCUCUUCAAACAUAUUAUUCUCCUCCUAAAGGGGAUACUCAAUGUCUCCCUUUGAAAAAUAUGUUUCUCCUUCUUGAAACCGGACAUCUGCAAUGAUGUAUAGAGUUUGGGUAGAAGGAUGAAAACAUUUGUAUCCCUUUUUUGUAUCAGAAUAACCCAAGAAUACAUAUCGGAGGGCAUAUGGAUCAAACUUCUCCCGUUGAUGUGGAUAAACCUGUACAUAAGCCACACACCCAAAGACACGUGGUUCUAAGUUUGGGAUAGAUGGAAUGGUGAGAAGGUGGUUAAGUGUUUGGAAUGGUGUUUGAUAUUGGAGAGUACUGGAUGGUGUUCGAUUUAUGAGAUAUGUUGCAGAACACAGUGCCUCCCCCCAAAACUUAUGAUGCAUGUUGGCACCAUAUAAAGAUACACGAACCACUUCUAAGAGAUGUCGAUUCUUCCUCUCUGCUACACCGUUUUGUUAAGGUGUAUAGGCACAUGUGGUUUGAUGAACAAUAUCAUGCUCUUGCAAAUAGUUAUGCAGAGCAUGAUUGACAUAUUCUCCUCCAUUAUCAGACCUGAGUAUCUGAAUUUUCUUGUCAAACUCAGUUGUAACAUAUUGAUGAAAAAUAUUGAACUUGGUAGGAACUUCACUCUUGUGCUUCAUUGGAAACACCCAGGUCAUUCUAGUACAAUCAUCUAUAAAUGUCACAAACCAUCUAAAUCCAGAAGUUGUAAGAAUUCUGGCAGGACCCCAAACGUCAGAAUGAACGACCAUGAAUUACACAGAACUUUUAUUUAAUCUUAACGGAUAGGAAACACGAUGACUUUUGGCCAAAAUACAAAUUUCACAAUGGAAAUCGGAUUCUUUGAAUUGGGGAAAAAGUUCAAGGAAUAAAAGUUUAAGAUAACCAAAUGAGGGAUGUCCUAAUCGCUUGCACCAUAACCAAAUCUUCUUCAUUCGGGUUGAUUCGUCUCUACUUAUAUGAUGCACUUGACUCAAUCUAUUGUUGCAUUCUUCUGUUAAGUCCAAAUAAUAUAGUUUGCCCCUUCUAGUACCACAAACAAUCAUGGCCCUGGUGAGCAGAUCCUAGAAAAGACAAUAUAGUGGCAAAAAAGAAACAGAACAAUUAAGGGAGUCAAUAAUUUGAGAAACAGAUAAAAUAUCGUAAUCUAGGGAUGGUACAACUAAAACAUGAUCAAGAUUAAGUGAUGAAGUUAGUGAAAGGGAGCCUUCUCCAGUAACCGGAAAGAUUGAACCAUUGGCACUGGUAAUGAAUGUCUGGUUGGCUGUUUUUAGUGAGUGAAGAAUGUUAGCAUCAGAUGUCAUGUGAUCUGUGGCACCUGUAUCAAUAAUCCACGAUUUAUUACAAGUAUUACCGGAUGUAGAAUUAGAUAUACCUGAUGUGUUCAAGGCUUUUGGGACAUGGUCAGAUGAGCUAACAUCUUGAGAAGACUUAGAGGUGGUGAAUGAUACUCUGCUGGAUUCCUUCUUUCGUCCUUUGUGAACCCAUCCUUUUGGAUAACCAAUAAUCUCAUAACAAUCUUGAAUAGUAUGAUUUUUCAAUCCGCAUUUGGUGCACUGCAUAGGUGGUCGAUUACAAAAUCGAUCAGCUGUUGAGGAGUUUAUGUUUUGAAGUUGAUAUCCUUAUGGAGAUCGAGAAUUUGUGGUAAAAAACACAGUAGUUUCAGGCAUGGUGGCACUUUCUGACAUGGUUCCUUGUCGAUUGCUUUCACAUUUGACAUGAGAGUAUGCUUAUUCAAGACCAGGUUUAGGCUCCAUCCUCAAAAUCUCACCACGAAUUUGAUCAAACUUGUUGUCUAAUCCGGCAAGAAAAAUAUAGACUCGAAGUCGCUCAAUUUCUUACUGCCUUGAUAAGAUAUCAUAUGGGUCCUUCCUGUUAGUAGGACUAAGUUGAUCAAGUUCUUGAAAAAUCUCGAUGAGAUUGCUGUAAUAGUUAGCAAUAGGAGCUCCAUUUUGUUUCAUGGUAAAUGACCUUUUAUGAAGAUCAUAAAUUUUUGCUUCAUUAAAGCCAUCUAAGUAAGUCUUUUUUAUGGCAUCCCAUACCUGCAUGACUAUGUCGUAACAGAUGAACCGUUUCAUCUGAUUAGGUGUCAUAGCAUCAAAUAACCAACUUUUGACUUGGCAAUUUUCAGCUCGCCACUUGUUAUACAAUGGGUCUGUGAUUGCAGGUUGCUUGGUAUCACCGGAAAGAUGCCCAUGUUUUUCUCGACCAGCAAUUUUCAUCUCUAUGACUUGUUGCCAUAGAGAAUAGUUGUUCUCAUCAAGUUUAAUUCCUGCAAAGAAAUUGGAAUUAUCAUUUUGAAUGGUGACCACUUGUGUGGUAGAGUUUGAUUCACCUGGUGUGAAGGACUGAAUUGGUGGGUCUGAUACUUCAUCAUCACUAGCUAUUGUAUAGGCUUAAGAUCAAUGAAGUUGAAAUAAAAAUAAAACUGAUAUGAUAAUUGAGAUAUGAUAUGGCAGAAGCUUUUUUCUGUUUUUGAGGUUCAAGAGUCAGUCAUGAUCGAUUGCUCUGAUACCAUAUCAGAAAUUGUAAUAUACUUCAUUAUCAUUUGUUUACAAGAGGGAAGUCCUCUCUUAUAGAGGACCAAAAACUACACAACUAGUCCUAACAAGUGGACAAGCCAAAUGAUGAUUACAUGAGGAAAACACUGAAGAGGAAAAUAAGGAGAAAAGGAAAGCAAAGUAAAGUAAUGAUGACUAGCUAUAAAGUAAAGUAAUGAUGACUAGUUAUAAAGUAAAGUAGUGAUGACUAGCUAGAGGAAUAAUUACAAGUCUAUUGUAUAUACCAAUAAUGUCUAGCAGCUAUUGUUGACAAUAAGCCUUGAGGAAUUCCUUGUUCUCUUUCUAUUAUUCAUUCCAUGCUGCAGCAAAAAGAAAUCGUUGAAUUUGGAUAUUUAUGGGGACUAAUAAUUAAGCUACGCACUUGCGUGCAUGGUAUUGGAUCGUUGUAUUUGCAUGCAUGCGACGGGCUUUAAGAAACAAUAAGAAAAAAAAUUAAUUAAAAAGGGAUCGAUCGUAUAUACGUACCAGUGGAGGUGAUGACAUGUUUGAUAUUUGCAUGUUUAGAAAGGGCUUCCAUGCACUCUUCCUUAGUCAUGUGGAAGAUACACACUUCGGUAUCAAGUGGAACACCUAUUCAAUUAGGUAUAGUAUAGUCACCAAUAUAUCAAUAUCAAAAGUAGAAAACUAUGAAUAAUAUUAUAAUUAACUAAAUGCUUUCUAGCUAAAAUGGUCUAUGAGAUUUGCAUAACACAUCAUUUUGGUCCCUAAGAUUGCAAAUAAAUAGAAAUGGUCCUGAGAUUGUCCACCAUCCAUUAUUUUGGUCCUUCCGUUAAAAACUCCGUUAAGUGUCCCGGAGCUCUUGGCUGAAAGUUUGGGCAAUUUUCAAAGCUUCGUAACUCAAUCGUUUCUUAACCAAAGUCGACCCAUAAUAUAUCAAAAUAAAGAUAGGAAAGUGUAGAACAAGAUUAUAUGGCCGGAAAAUAGACUGAAAGGUGACUGGUCCGCAGGAAAACUGGAAAACUCACCGGAAACUAGCUUUUAAAUGUUCAUAACUACUUCAAUACUCAACGAAAUCGAGUGAUUCAAAAAUGAAAAUCAUACUGCUCGACAAAAAGAAGAGAAUGGUAACUUCUCGACGGCUAAAUCUUGAUGGUUUUGCCUAAAAAUGGCUAGACAGUGGCUAUCUUGGUCUCGAGUUAGCCACUUUCGAGCCAUUUUCAGGCCAAACCACGGUAAAUUAGUCAUUGGGAAAGGUACCAUUCUCUUCGUCUCAUUGAGAAGUAUGAUUUUGGUUUUUAAUCACUUAAUUUGGUUGAGUAUUGAAGAAGUUAUGAACGUUUAAAUUUUACCUAGUUUCCAGCAAGUUUUCCAGUUUUUCCUGCGGACCAAUCACCUUUCAGACCGUUUUCUGGUCAUAUCCGGCAACCAUUGGGCUUCCAAAGGUAUAAUCUUAUUAUACACUUUCCUAUCUUCAUUUUUGAUAUAUUAUGGAUCGAAUUUGGUUAAGAAACGAUUGAGUUACGAAGCUUUGAAAAUUGCCUAAACUUUCGGCCAAGAACUUCAGGACACUUAACAGAGUUUUUAACGGAAUGACCAAAAUAAUAGAUGGUGGACAAUCUCAAGGAUAAUUUCUCUUGAUUUUCAAUCUCAGAGACCAAAGUAAUGUGUUAUGCAAAUCUCAGGGACCAUUUUGACUAAAAAGCCUUAAAUAAAUAAUUAAACAAUAUAUAUAUAUAUAUUAAAAUAUAAGAAUUUCAAGGGGCUACAGGAGAGAAGGAUUUACAAAGGUAAUUAUCGAGUCAGAUGCUCAGGAGCUUCGUAUGACUAAUCGAAGAAUGGUUAUUGAUGCGCAACUGGAAGGUAUUUUGCACAAGCACAAUAUAUGGCACCUUGCAAGUGGUAUGGAAUCUGUGGAGUUCGUGUUUUCUCAUCGAGAAACCAACAAAGCAUCACACGUUGUUGCAGCUUUCAUGCAAAUUGUAGGGGAAAACUUUUAUUUGGGAUUGUAUUGGUCCGAUUUUCUUUUUAAUAUUCUUACUGAGGAUGUGAACUUAUGAAUUAAACUUGAUUGAAUAAAAUCUAUCGUUUAACGAAAAAAAAUAUAAGAAUUUCAAGGUUCUAUAAAUAUAUUAUCUCAGUUACCAUGUGUAUGUAUGAUGCAGAAGAAUCUCCCAUCUCUCUCUCUCUCUCUCUCUCUCCUCUCUCUCUUACUUACCUAUUUCAGUUAUGUAUGAGAUAGUUGCUACAUCAGGAUGGAGAAUGUAUAAACAUUGAUGUGCAAAACAAAACAAAAAAACCGACGUACCGCAAUUUUUCAUCAUCAUAUAUAUUCCUAUUAAUUAACAAUGUCACGCCAGAAAAUGAGCUAAUAGGAUCGACUUUUCAAGAAAGGGAUUUCAUCCAGAUCUCUUUCUUCUAAUCCAUCAAAUUAAGGGAUUUAUACUGUUGAAAAUUGAUCAAACGACUAAAGUUAUUAUAACUUUUAAAAUGAAUCUCUGUUUAUAGCUGUUAAAUCAAAUUUUAACAGUACAUAUCUUUUGAUUUGAUAGAUUAGAAAGAAGAGAGACAGAUAGAAUCCAUUUCCGACCUUUCACACUUAAUUUCCGUGUUAAAUUAGGGCAAAGGGUCAGCGGACAGUAGUGGUAUAGGGGGGAUGAGUCCACGUGGGAGCGAUGGAGAUGGUUUGUUGAGAGCAUUCUUAAGGGAAAGGAAGGUUAAAGUAAUAUAAGAGAUUUAUACAUGACCACAUAAUCAUAUUCCAAAUUUGUACGACUUUUCUAAAUAAGGUUGGUUUCUUCUUUGCGUACAUGAUGAGACGGAGGGACCAUAGAACUGAGAAAUUUUUGUACGUAACAAGCUAGUGACAUCUUUGUCUGAAACCACCUUAGCCAUACAACUAAUAAAAUACCACCCAAAGUAUAUCUCAAAAUAAAGACAUUUUCAAUGUUUAGUCUCAUAUUCUUUAAGAAAAACUUAUAAGAGACGGUCAAGGACGGAGCCAGAAAUUUUUUUUAUAGGUGGGCUAGCUAAAAAAAUUACCCUAAAAUCAAAUGAUUUUUUUUUUUGCUACAUACAUAUUGUAUGCACAAACUUAAAUUUAACUUUUGUAUUUGCAUACUUAAAAUUUGAUUGGCAUGAACUAAAUAAGCUUUGCAUUUGCAUACCACAAAAAUUACAAUGAAUCGUCAAAUUUACAUAUAUUUAGAUGCAAACACAAGAAGAAGAUAAAAUACUUGACAUCUCAAUUACAAUCACACAACUAGCACAAAGCAAAACGAUGUAAAGGCAAUCUUGAAAAGAAAAAAAAUUGAUUGAAACUAAUAUAAAGCCCACUGAAUCAAAGCAGAAUAAUCUUGAACAAAAUGGUAUCACAAUUUCCAUGAUAAUUUUUAUAUUUCUAGUUGCGGUAAUAUUCGCUAGGCUAGUUUCAUUAAAAAAUCAUUCUUCUUGAUGUUUUUUUUCUGUCUAUUUUAUUAGACUAUGCAGUAAAAUACAUAUACAUAUUGCCACAAACUUUCCCUGGGCUACAGCCCACCGUAGCCUUUGGUGUGGCUAUGCGAUUGAAGACAGUUCUUGUCACAUGACAUGCAACGCAUUGUGACAGAAUAAUCUGAUUAAAAGUUGACAUCGUAUGUUUAAAAUUAGUCUUGCUUAACUUGCGGGGAAGGAGUGACCAACCAACAUCUUAGAAUGUUGACUUAUGUUUGGUUGAUCUUUCUCAAUUUAAUGGUGUACAUUAAAUGUCCAGCCAACUGUUUUUCAAUGUAUUUAUAUGAUGCAUUCGUUCGCUGUUCAAAAUAUACGGAGCAGAUGAUUCAAAGCAUUCAGUAGCAUUCACAUGUAUUGUGUUUGUAUCAUACUCGACCAAUCCCGAAAUUACUAAGCACCAGUCAAUUUCAUACAUCCAAGGAUCCACUAAGGGGCUCAUGUUGAGGCACCCUUGCCGAAGCACAAGAGUUUCUCUCCAAUCGGGAGGCCAAUCACAGCACGACACAUGUCAACGUCAGAAUAAAGUUCAUAGAGUCCCAUAUCGACCGCAGACAAAAGCUGGAGACUCUUCUCAACUAUAAAAGAAGACCAUUCUCCUACAGUUAAUUCCUAAUGUCACUAUUGUACUUAAACUAGUCAUUAGUACUCACUAAUGAUGAUUAUGCUUGAACCUAUAUAUUGUGUAAACCCUUCACUAUUAAUGAGAACUCAUCUACUCAGUGGACGUAGCCAAACUUAGGGUGAACCACGUACAUCUUGUGUUUGCUUCUCUAUCUCUAUCUCUUUACAUAUUAUCCUCACUAGUGAUUGAAGUGAUGUGAAAAUUAUGUUGACACACAAAUUAAACCUAUUGAUGACAAUUGUAGUAAUGAUGCAAGUAGGGAUCGUUCUAGACCGGGGAUUAACUAGGGAUGCUAAUCAACACAAAUAAGACUCAAAAACACUAAACUAGACUCUAUAGACUCAAAACUAACUCAAAACACUCAAAACAACAAAUAACAACCAAAAAGACUCAAUUCUAGACCUAACAAGUGACUUGGACGAAAAUAGGACUUCAAAGACUCAAAAGACUUAAAAGAAACAAGUUUUGACUCUAAAAACAAGACUUAAAAGUAAGGGGUUUGGUUAUGACGAAAAUUGAAAUUUAAAACAUAAACUUUGAAAACAAACUUUAACAAAAACGAUUUUGAUGAAAUAGAAGGGUGAAAGGCUAGUUAGAGGGUUUCUUCUCCACACAUGAAACACAUGCAUACGACUCGAUUUCCAGUUACUCUUUCAACAAACCAUGAAUGACAAUGUCCCAAAUUAACUAGAUUGCACCAAUUAAUUCUCAGAUUUCCCUAGAUUCAUUGAAUUGAAUGGAAUACGCAUUACAACCAAAUUAUUCUUAUCAAGGACCCUAACUAUGGAAUACGCAUGAUAGAGACACAUAUCAAAGAUCAUUAAGUUCAAUGGAAAUCAUAAACAUUGACGAGACAUUCAUAACUAUGGAAUACGCAUGUUACUCUUGCCAAGGAUUUACUUAACACAAUCGUGACUAGCGACUUUUACUACUUAUGAAUAUAAGUUAAUAACGAUUAGGUGAAAUUCCCUUAUACUCUAGCGUCAAAUUCAUGCAUGAGAACUAAGUAUGCAUCCUUAAUUAACAUACAUAAACAUGUUAUCAAUCAAAUAGAUAAGUAAACCACAUUCACGAUUCAUGAAAUCAUAACUGGAGGAAAUCAAAUCAUAUAAAACAUAUGAUCAUGGCUUUGAAUUCCCCUCUAACUAUAAAGAAAUUAGUUCCUCAUGUUCGCAAAUAAACAAAGAUAAAUAAAUCUAAACAUUGACAUAAAGAUAGAAAACACCUAGAAACGCUCCAACAAUCCAAGCUCCUUGAAUGGCAUGCACGGCUCCAAAUUUCUUCCUUCUCCUCCUUGCAAAACUCACGGCACAAGAGGAGUUUUUGGGUGAAUGGUGUAGUGAAAAUAUGGUAGAGAGUGGUGAAUGAAUGGUGCGGCAUAAGGUGGUAUUUAUAGGCUGAAAAUCACAACUCCUAGGUAGCAAAGGACAAGGUUUUAAAGGUCUAAUCUGCAUAGGACAAUAACAUACAAUCCUAUAAGGAAAACAAGUCAGAAAUCCAAAAAGGAAUGGGAGAUAAGGUGCGGCACAAAGCUAGGAGAUGAUAAGGCUUCUAGAAAUCUGAAAUCCCAAGGGAAAUAGGACAUAGGGUGCGGCACAAAGGGUUGUUUCUAGAAAGAAAUACAAGGCAGAUUUUUAGGCUUCUAGAAAGGUUCUAGGUGCCAUCUUUGUAAGACAAGAUUAGGUCUUCUAGAAAUCUGAUUUUAAGCCUCCUAAUCUAGUUAGAAACCCUCCCUUGCAGCUGAAAUAUGGGUAGUUUAGGAUUAGGAUAAGAUAGGAUAGGAUAAAGUUUGUUUGGAUAAGAUAAGCUAAGAUAAGGUUAUGGAUGAGGUUUUGGAUAAGAUUCCUUCACUUGAGCUGAUUCUUUGGCUUUAACCCUUCUUCUUCACGUAGGAAUACUUGCUUGAGUAGGAAACUUCAUACGUCUAGGAAUCCAUCUUCAAUUAGGACUCCUACAUUGAUUAGGAAUCCUUCUUCAUUUAGGAAUCCUACAUUUAAGCCCUUUCCUACUUCAACUAGGAAACUUUGUAUCUUCAAUUCUUCAACUUCAAAAAGACAUUCCUAGCUUCUUCAAUCCCUCAAAUUCGUCCAUCCUUUGUGCUUCACAUGCAUGAACUUCAUUCUAGCCCAGUUUUGCUCCAAAUUGCAUCUUUUUGCUUACUUUGUCCUUAAAACCUGAAAACACAUGAAAAUAGCUUAAAAGACUAACUUAACUAAGAAAACACAACAUAAAUGCAUAAGAACUAACUAACUAAGGCGCAUAAAUAUGCUCCUAUCAUGAAGCAAUCAAGUGAAUCUCACAAACUUGACAUUUUACGUUGUUCCAAAAUCUUUAUUGAUUUUGUGCCUCAAUAUAUUGCAAUAAGGACCAAUAAGUGAGCCAAUUAAUAAGUACUUUACUCAUUUGAGCCAAGUUCUUCUUCCUUGCUUAGAAUUGUGAAGUGAAUCUGGAGAGAACUUUUGCUGGUGUUUGGAGAGACCUUUGGGUGCCUGUAGAAUUAUCCACAUUAGAAUUGUGAAGUGAAUCUGUGACUUGACACAAAGAUAUACCCUAAGCCCAAACCAACAGAGUAACUGAAGAAGUCUCUUUCUCCAGGCAAAUAAUAAAACCCUACACAAAAUAAAUGACAAAUUAAAGAAAAAUUCUUAGAGAAAAUGAGUCAUUUCUUCUUUGUAGACAAAUCACAACUUAACAUGCAUGCAAUAAUUUUUAAUUUUGUAACAUUCAUGAGUAUUACUUUUGCAUUUGUAUUAAACUAUGAUGUGCAAGUAAAUAGAAAUGUGUCGCCUUACAUGCAAGGACCAAGUAAACUAAGUAGUGCUCAUCAAUAAGGGUGUUUCUUCAGCAGACUACAAACAUGUUUCCUCCCCACUGUCCUGAGCAACUUUACAUCCAAGAGCUAAAACCCAAAGACAUUAAUCAUUAGAGAUCGUGUGACCAAAUGAUUUCCGCAUAUCUUUCUUCCUUCUACACAUACUUGUUAUUUUCUGUCUUCCGAUUCUCCUUUAAUUAUCAAAAGACAAAUAAACAAAGGGAGAAAGUAAAUAAGAAUGGUGAAAUCACUUUUCACCGUUCAAAAAGGGAAGGACCAAGGUACUAGUUUUAGCUAGGACCAAAAGAAAAGGACCAUAAUUCCUUUACUGCAUGCUCUAAUCACAGAGGGUGAAAGCUAGUUCACAAAGAGCAUGCAUGACUAUCAAUUUUCAACAUUGCCAAGUACGUACGUAGUAGAUUGCUCCAAGAUUCACUCUUCUUGCCAAAUGUGGACGCAUUCUUCACUUGAGAGCUCACCUGCCGAUCGAUCAAGUCAGUUGCCUCUCUAAGUUUCGUCUCAAAUAACAAAUAACAACUCAGCAGACUUCUGAUGACGAAACAAAAUCACUCUGCAGUUUAGCAGGAUGCAUGAUUGGAUGUUCCAUCUUUGAUCUCUAACGGCACAUGAUUUCUCUGCCAUCUGAAUUUCCAUCCAUGUGCGUUUUAUGUUUAAGUAGGGUUAGCUACUAGUAUCACCGACUCCAAUAACAUGACUGACAGAAUCCCAUGAAUUAUAAGAGAAGCUACUCGCUACUCAGGAUGUGGGGUUGAAAGCUUUGGCUGUUGCAAGACAUUUGGACGAACAACAACAACAACAACAACAAAGCCUUUUCCCACUAAGUGGGGUCGGCUAUAUGAAUCCUAGAACGCCAUUGCGCUCGGUUUUGUGUCAUGUCCUCCGUUAGAUCCAAGUACUCUAAGCCUUUUCUUAGAGUCUCUUCCAAAGUUUUCCUAGGUCUUCCUCUACCCCUUCGGCCCUGAACCUCUGUCCCGUAGUCACAUCUUCGAACCGGAGCGUCAGUCGGCCUUCUUUGCACAUGUCCAAAUCACCGGAACCGAUUUUCUCUCAUCUUUCCUUCAAUUUCGGCUACUCCUACUUUACCUCGGAUAUCCUCAUUCUCAAUCUUAUCCUUUCUCGUGUGCCCACACAUCCCACGAAGCAUCCUCAUCUCUGCUACACCCAUUUUGUGUACGUGUUGAUGUUUCACCGCCCAACAUUCUGUGCCAUACAACACAUCGCUGGCCUUAUUGCCGUCUUAUAAAAAUUUUCCCUUGAGCUUCAGUGGCCUACGACGGUCACACAACAUGCUGGAUGCACUCUUACACUUCAUCCAUCCAGCUCGUAUUCUAUGGUUGAGAUCUCCAUCUAAUUCUCUGUUCUCUUGUAAGAUAGAUCCUAGGUAGCGAAAACGGUCGCUUUUUGUAAUCUUCGCUAAAUUGCUCCGGUCAUUAGUGUGGAUAAGUAUAUAAAUGGAUAGAGAUAGGAAAGCAAACACAAGAUGUACGUGGUUCACCCAGAUUGGCUACGUCCACGGAAUAGAAGAGUUCUCAUUAAUUGUGAAGGGUUUACACAAGUACAUAGGUUCAAGCUCUCCUUUAGUGAGUACAAGUGAAUGAUUUAGUACAAAUGACAUUAGAGUACAAAUGACAUUGGGAAAUAUUGUGGGAGAAUGAUCUCGUAAUCACGAAACUUCUAAGUAUUGGAGUGUGGUAUCCUCUUGACUUGCCUUAUCUGUCUCAUUGGUAGAUGUGGCAGCUUCUCUGGAAGUACUCUUCCUCCAUCCAGGGGUGGUAUCUUUAACUGGUGGAGAUGCACAAGGUAAUGUAUCAAUUUCACUUGAAGCUUACUUGUAGUUUCAGGCUUGGUCAAGCGCGAUACAAACCAUGUAGUAGGAGUCCCCCAAGUCGCCGAGCUAGGGGAUUUGCUGAAAGAGGUGACAGACAAGGUAAGCAAUCAGAGCUCCGGCUGAUUGUUCACCUUCUCCCCAUCUUGCGCAGCAGCAUGAAGGAUAAAGAGAAGAAAAAUGAGAAGAGAUGAUAUGGGAUACUUUUGCUUUUGAAGAAGUAACUUUCCACAGGCUUAUUCUUGAACUGAGCUGGAGGGUUUUCUGGUUUCCUCCAGAGUACAAGGCCGACUGAAGAAUUUGAGGGUCAAAACAAGUCCAUCAAAUCUAGAGUACGUUCGACCCUGCUGAUAUGGGAUACUUUUGCUUUUGACAGAGUAAUGGAUGGAUCGGCAUGUGUGCUGUUACGCUUGUCUCCACAUGCUUCCUUGUAUCCUUCGCACUUGCCCUAUCUGUUCCUCAAGCAGAUGCGGUAUCUUCCCUGGCAACAUAAGAUGUUGAAGAUGAGUACUCGAGAGCAAUGCCAGGUAAGUAAUCAGGUAAGGGGUUCCAGGCUGUCAGUUCCUGGCUGGGAGCUUGAUUUCAAGUGCUGACUGAUUGCUCUCUUUUCUCCUUGUCUUGCAGGUAAAAACAAGGCCAAAGGAAAAGACAGGGAAAAAGCAUGAUAUGGGAUACUCUUGCUUUUAACCCUGAUGAUAUGAGAUAUUCUUGCUCUAGUAUAGCUUGUUUGCAGAGGUAUUAUCGGGGGGAAAGAAAGCUGAAUAUUUCGAAAGGCUUCGUUGGGAGUGCCCUCUCAGAUAUGAGGAAGGGUUGAGCAUUUUUGCAGGUCUGCCUGUCCGUUGGGGAUGGAGGUCGACAUAUAUAGGAGUCUCCCUAACAACAAGUAGUAAUGCUAUUCCUUUACCCUGCUUGGUCAUAGCACGGUAGUGGGAGCUGCCAGCUUCACAUGUUUUAACUCUGUCAGAGCACUUUGAAAAAGUGGUAUGUGGUAUCUGGCUCUCGAGAUUCGGAGAACGAUGCUUCUUCGAUUUUUGAGAAAGCAAUCAUGGUGGGGGUCUGGCUCUCGAGAUUCGGGGAGCAGUGUCUCUUCGAUUUUUGAGAAAGUAAUCAUGUUGGGAGUCUGGCUCUCGAGAUUCGGAAAGCGGUGCCUCUUCGAUUUUGGAGUAAGCAAUCUUGUUGGGAGUGUUUUCUCGGAUGUGAGUAAAGGUUGGGCAUGUUUGCUAGUCUACCUUGCCACGAAGCACGGAGGUUGACACACAGGGACUUUCCAAUUAUCCAGCAGUGGUACUGUUCCUUUACCCUUGUGGGUAAUAAUAUGGUAGCUAGACCUUCAAAAUUUAUGUGUCUAAACUUUGUUAGUGCUGUUUCUUUGCUAUUCUUUUACCUUUCUUGGUCAGAGCGAUGUAGUGGGAGCUGCAAGCUUCACGUGCUCAACUUUGGCAGAGACUUUGACAAAGUUAUCUGUGGUACCCAUGAGCUAUUGUUGCGUGUGGGAAGUGGGUGAUUGAACAGUAAGAUUCAUGUGCUUUCUACUUCACCAGAAGUCUUCGACAGAAUGCCCAUAAUUUCCGCAAAGCUGAGUGUGCGUGUGACAGGUGCUGACAAGGCUAGAAAAGAAGGUGCCUCUUCGAUUUCUAAGAUCGGCCCUCGUGGUCUCUGAGCAGCCCAACUUUUGAGAAAGCGAGCGCCUCUUCGAUUGAUUCGGAGAACGAUGCCUCUUCGAUUUUUGAGAAAGCAAUCAUGCUGGGGGUCUGGCUCUCGAGAUUCGGGGAGCAGUGUCUCUUCGAUUUUUGAGAAAGUAAUCAUGUUGGGAGUCUGGCUCUCGAGAUUCGGAGGGCGGUGCCUCUUCGAUUUUGGAGCAAGCAAUCUUGUUGGGAGUGUUUUCUCGAAUGUGAGUAAAUGUUGGGCAUGUUUGCUAGUCUACCUUGCCACGAAGCACAGAGGUUGACACACAGGGACUUUCCAAUUAUCCAGCAAUGGUACUGUUCCUUUACCCUCUCUUUGAUUUUUGAGAAAGUAGUCAUGUUGGGAGUCUGGCUCUCGAGAUUCGGAGGACGGUGCCUCUUCGAUUUUGGAGCAAGCAAUCUUAUUGGGAGUGUUUUCUCUCGAAUGUGAGUAAAGGUUGGGCAUGUUUGCUAGUCUACCUUGCCACGAGGCACAGAGGUUGACACACAGGGACUUUCCAAUUAUCCAACAGCGGUACUGUUCCUUUACCCUUGUGGGUAAUAAUAUGGUAGCUAGACCUUCAAAAUUUAUAGGUCUAAACUUUGUUAGUGCUGUUUCUUUGCUAUUCUUUUACCCUUCUUGGUCAGAGCGAUGUAGUGGGAGCUGCAAGCUUCACGUGCUCAACUUUGGCAGAGAACUUUGGCAAAGUUAUCUGUGGUACCCAUGAGCUAUUGCUGCGUGUGGGAAGUGGGUGAUUGGACAGUAAGAUUCAUGUGUUUUCUACUUCCCCAGAAGUCUUCGACAGAAUACCCAUAAUUUCCGCAAAGCUGAGUGUGCGUGUGACAGGUGCUGACAAAGCUGGAAAAGUAGGUGCCUCUUCGAUUUCUAAGAUCGGCCCGCGUGGUCUCUGAGGAGCCCAGCUUUUGAGGAAGCGAGCACCUCUUCGAUUUCUGAGAUCGGCUUUCGUGGUCUUUGAGCAGCCCAACUUUUGAGAAAGCAAACACCUCUUCGAUUUAUGAGAUCAACCCUCGUGGUCUCUAAGCAGCCCAGCUUUUGAGAAAGCAAACGCCUCUUCGAUUUCUGAGCAGGCGCCUCUUCGAUGUCUGAAGCUCCGUCGAGUGCAGCUUUUUAUAGGGGCUGGCAUUAAGUUCCAAAGCACACUUGAAUCUCCACCAGUAGAAGCUCCAUUCUUGCACUUCUAAGAUCUUGAUUUGUUCGACCUCUUCUCUCUUCAAUACCUUUGAAAAUGUCUGGCCCCUCCGACCGUCGUUUUGACUUGAACCUUGUUGAAGAGGCAGCCCCGCCUUCUCCAGACAACAUAUGGCGCCCAUCCUUCGUCUCCCCUACUGGUCCUCUUACCGUUGGGGAUUCCGUGAUGAAGAAUGAUAUGACCGCUGCGGUGGUGGCCAGGAACCUUCUCACUCCCAAAGAUAACAGACUACUUUCCAAACGGUCUGAUGAGUUAGCUGUUAAGGAUUCACUGGCUCUCAGUGUUCAGUGUGCAGGUUCUGUGUCUAAUAUGGCCCAACGCCUAUUUGCUCGAACCCGCCAAGUUGAAUCAUUGGCGGCCGAAGUGAUGAGUCUCAAACAGGAGAUUAGAGGGCUCAAGCAUGAGAAUAAACAGUUGCACCGGCUCGCACAUGACUAUGCUACAAACAUGAAGAGGAAGCUUGACCAGAUGAAGGAAACUGAUGGUCAGGUUUUACUUGAUCAUCAGAGAUUUGUGGGUUUGUUCCAAAGGCAUUUAUUGCCUUCGUCUUCUGGGGCUGUACCGCGUAAUGAAGCUCCAAAUGAUCAACCUCUUAUGCCUCCUCCUUCUAGGGUUCUGUCCAGUACUGAGGCUCCGAAUGAUCCCCCUCCGAUGCCUUCUCUUUCUGGGGCUCUACCGACUGCUGAGACUUCUCCUAAGCAACCUUUGUGAAGGCUCCAUCUUGUUUGUUUAUUUUGACUCAUGUAUAUGUACAUAUUUGUAGCUUAUCGGGGAUAUCAAUAAAUAAGUUUUCCUUCAUUUCAACGUAUUGUGUUAAAUACACCAAAGCCUUCUUCGCUAAGUUCUUUGAAUUUUCUUUUUGUUGAAGCUUGUAUGUUGAAGCUUUCUGAGUGGAGCAUGUAGGUUGGGGUAGUGUUCCCUUAAUUUUUCGAGUGAGGAAAACUUCUCGGUUGGAGACUUGGAAAAUCCAAGUCACUGAGUGGGAUCGGCUAUAUGAAUCUUAGAACGCCAUUGUGCUCGGUCCUGUGUCAUGUCCUUCGUUAGAUCCAAGUACUCUAAGUCUUUUCUUAGAGUCUCUUCCAAAGUUUUCCUAGGUCUUCCUCUACCCCUUCGGCCCUGAACCUCUGUCCCAUAGUCGCAUCUUCUAAUCGGAGCGUCAGUAGGCCUUCUUUGCACAUGUCCAAACCACCGUAACCGAUUUUCUCUCAUCUUUCCUUCAAUUUCGGCUACUCCUACUUUUACCCCGGAUAUCCUCAUUCCUAAUCUUAUCCUUUCUCGUGUGCCCACACAUCCAACGAAGCAUCCUCAUCUCCGCUACACCCAUUUUGUGUACGUGUUGAUGCUUCACCGCCCAACAUUCUGUGCCAUACAGCAUCGCCGGCCUUAUUGCCGUCCUAUAAAAUUUUCCCUUGAGCUUCAGUGGCAUACGGCGGUCACACAACACGCCAGAUGCACUCUUCCACUUCAUCCAUCCAGCUUGUAUUCUAUGGUUGAGAUCUCCAUCUAAUUCUCCGUUCUUUUGCAAGAUAGAUCCUAGGUAACGAAAACGGUCGCUCUUUGGUAUUUCUUGAUCUCCGAUCCUCACCCCUAACUCGUUUUGGCCUCCAUCUGCACUGAACUUGCACUCCAUAUAUUCUGUCUUUGAUCGGCUUAGGCGAAGACCUUUAGAUUCCAACACUUCUCUCCAAAGGUUAAGCUUUGCAUUUACCCCUUCUUGAGUUUCAUCUAUCAACACUAUAUCGUCUGCGAAAAGCAUACACCAAGGAAUAUCAUCUUGAAUAUGUCCUGUUAACUCAUCCAUUACCAACGCAAAAAGGUAAGGACUUAAGGAUGAGCCUUGAUGUAAUCCUACAGUUAUGGGAAAGCUUUCGGUUUGUCCUUCAUGAGUUCUUACGGCAGUCUUUGCUCCUUCAUACAUAUCCUUUAUAGCUUGGAUAUAUGCUACUCGUACUCCUUUCUUCUCUAAGAUCCUCCAAAGAAUGUCUCUUGGGACCCUAUCAUACGCUUUUUCCAAAUCUAUAAAGACCAUGUGUAAAUCCUUUUUCCCAUCUCUAUAUCUUUCCAUCAAUCUUCGUAAGAGAUAGAUUGCCUCCAUGGUUGAGCGCCCUGGCAUGAACCCGAAUUGGUUGUCCGAAACCCGUGUCUCUUGCCUCAAUCUAUGCUCAAUGACUAAUUAACUUAAUACCCCUAUAGUUCAUGCAAUUUUGUACGUCGCCCUUAUUCUUGUAUAUAGGCACCAAAGUGCUCGUUCGCCACUCAUUUGGCAUCUUCUUCGUUUUCAAAAUCCUAUUGAAAAGGUCAGUGAGCCAUGUUAUACCUGUCUCUCCCAAAACUUUCCACACAUUUGGACGAAAAUGAAAGAAAAUAUUAAACAUUUGGAUUUGAUAACAUCUGGAAAGGCUUCAUGGGAAAAGGAUUUAAGAGCAUAUAAAGAUUUAAAGAAUAUAUACAUACAAGAAAUGCUAAGAUGAUUUUCUCCAAAAUUACUUUCCAUGAACUCUACCCCCUUAAUGUUUGACAUAACGUUUAUAAUGUUCUGCCACUUAAUAUUUUUAGUAUUAAAUGUUCUGCCACUUAAUAUUUUUAGUGUUGAACAAGAAAAUUAAUAUUAAACUAUGAAACAACGAUCCAAAUAUACCCUCUCGGUUAUGACACUUAGUUAAGGUGAUUUUAGUAAUUAAAACAUUUUCAAGGUGAUUUUAGUAAUUAUAAACAUUUAUUCAGACUGGGCUUGGUGAGGGUAUAGGGAGGCCCGCUCGAGUGAGUUCUGCGAAGUAACAGCGUCAACACUCGGCCAGCCUAUAACCCCUCCAUAAAUUCAUGCGCAUGUAAAUGCUUUGCGCGGCGAGCGGCUCUCACCACUCGCUUUGUUUUCCUUACUCAUUAGUUUAAGGCAAGUUUUACCACCCCACCCACCCUAUAUUUAUAGAGCCCCCCUUGGAACAAGUUUCUGUCGACGGCCGAUGUGGGAUAGAUUGUUUACAGAAGAAAUGUUCCUGUAAGCUUCCAAAACUAAUUUUAAAGUUUUAGAGAUUGUGUUCUGGGCGGUUUGCCUUCUGGAUUCUUCGGUGCGUUUGUGUUCCGCGCAAUUUGCUUCUCACAAGUUACACCCGUGUGUCUGCAUCUCUCAUCACAUGACACAAGAAUGUACACACCCGAGUGACAUGCAUGAUUAGGCGAACAAAAGUGUUGUCGUAGGCCAAUUCAACCUCCUUGAUUUAUAGAACACUGAACCAAAUUGAUUCUUGCAUUACGAAACACAAAUCAGAAGAGCACGUACGGGUGAAGUUAUAUCGAUGGAUUGAAGAAUAACGCGUUCACAACAUCGAACAUGGUGUAAAAUUUUGUUUCUCUACAUUUAUUCAAACUACAUACAAUUUUCGGUAUUUUUUCUUUUGACAAGGAAGCUUAUGUGUUACAUUUUACAACAACAAAGAGCCUAAUUACACGAAAUAAUCAAAAGCCCUGAACAGCUGAAAGAAUGGGCCAGACGUGAUUGAAUAAAAAGCUGCCUAGCAAAAAUUUAGGCAUCAGAUAUUACAUGCCAUCGAUAUCAAGAAGAUUUUCGCGGCAAAAGCGGCUCCAACUGAGGAUCAUUCUGGGUGCCAGACUCCAGUUCGGACACCGAUGAACCCUCUGCCCGUUGCCUAAGCACUCUCUGGAAGGAACUCAGUCUCUCUUCAGACGAAGGGUCUGCUGCUUUAGGCGUCUCCUUUAAGCUCUGGACACGCUGAAGGCAAACUUGAACCGCAUCGUGCACUCUCACAAAGUACCACUCCUUACCAAUCAGGUCUACUACACCUGCGCUUGAUAAGGUCUUCAGAACUUCUCCAUUCAGAUUGGAAAUGGCUAUCUGUACCACACGCCGGUGGUUUUCAACAUGAUGUUAAUAACAAUCUCCAGAUUUUUUACGAGUUUAUAUAAUGACCAGAAAAAAACUCCAAACGACGCUCACCUGGAUAUCGCGUAACUUGUACUCCUGAUGCAAGUCUUUCAAAGCUUGGACAGCACUGGAGUCUAUAUAUGUUACAGCUGCAACGAUGAUAAUGACGCACUUUAGAAAAUCACCGGAACCUUAUUUAGAUCAACGUUAUGAACAACCUCAGCAGGCAUGAUAUAAAAGAGAGAAGUCCGUGUAAGUUUUUGAGUGCUAUAAACAACAAUGGAUGACUUCCCGAAAUAUUUCCAUAUAUGAAUCGCUGAUUUAGAUGAUCUAAACCGACACUGUACAAAUAAUUGAAGAGUAUCAACUUAGAUUAUGCUGGGAAUUGUAACAUCCAUGUGAAUCAAUAUCUAGUCAUUAAAUGCUUCUUCAUAACCCAUGAGAAGAACAAACUCUAAAGAAAAAAGCACAAGAUUAGCAACACUUACGUGCCAUCUCUAUGAUCACAAAAUAAAUUCUUUCAACUUCUGGUCCGCGACUAGUAGACCUGUCAACCUCAACUUCGUAUUCCCGUAACCUGACAGGAAAUUAAAUUUACUUGAAAAUGACUUCUUAACUGGGGAAAACUAACUCAACUGUAGAGACUCCCUAGGUAAAUAAACAGUUAAAUUCAUAGAAUAUCAAAAUGGCACAACCUGAGACUGUACCUGUCUUUUAUGUAACUAAUGUUUGCAAAAUAAAUAGGUGCGUCAAUUCGUACAAUCACAAUUCCAUUGUAUGUAUAUGCUUCUGGAUACUGUUGAAUAUUUCUAUAUACAGUGGUGCCUGGAAGACGCCCCAAGACAGCUGCAACAUACAGGAAAUUAUAAGCAACUUCUGUAUUGGCUUUUAGCUUUUACUGAAGAAAUGCAUCUUCAUUCCAAAAUCCAAAUAGAACUACAAAUAUAAGAAUUUUUGCUUUUAGCUUUUACCAGCAAACCCCAAAAAGGUUACAUGGAGAAAAAAAUCUUAUUUUGCCAGCGCAAAUGGAACGGCCAAGGGUUUCAUUAUCAUUAGAUGCAACUAGCAAGGAAAUCUUGGCAUCUUCUUUAGGCUCCAAGAGGCCAAAGAAAAUCCAGACUAACAAUGUCAUUUCUGUUGGGCAAGGAAAAAAAAAUUCAGACUUUUAACAGAGAUGACGAUGAUAUUCAAUAAGGUAAUCAGAGAUGACGAUGAUAUUCAAAAAGGUAAUCAGGGAUGACGAUGAUAUUCAAAAAGGCAAUAAAAGAUGACGAUGAUGAUGAAUACAAUAGAAAAGAAUAAGAGAACAGGCUGGGCUUCAUAACUAGAAUCACUGAAAGUUGAAAUAUGAACCAAUUAAUAAAUAAUUCAAGAAGCUAUGAACAAGCUGCAUCUACUUAUGUGCACAGAAUUUUAUCAUAAAUUGAAAUUGCAGUUACCAAUAUGCGGGUUUGCUGAUUCAUGGAUGACAAAUGCAAGUGAAACACCAACCUGCAAUCACGCAAGCACAUUAAGCCUAUAUGAUUUGAAAAAAGGAAACACAGAGAGAGAGAGAGAUCUUCUAGAACUUUAAUGAUCUGUAUGAAUUUUGCAUGGUAAUCUAUUGCCACAUUGAGCUAAUAAGAACACAACAAAGCUAUACAUGUCAAGUUAACGCAAACUAAACUUGAGCUACUGAGGCAACAUUGGAUUCUAAUCAUGAAAAAAGUUGUAUUUAACACAAUACAUGAUAGUUCUUAUGCCCUAAUUAGCCUUUCUUGCAUAAAAAUGCGGAUUCCUUUGGGUAUAAAGUUCGAACAAGGUCUCCCAAAAAUAACAUUGCUUCAAGUACUCACCCCAAUAAGGACGCCAAUCUCAAUGCCAAGGUACAAUGUUGUAGUGGCUGUAAUGGUCCAAAGAAGAAAAUCUUUCUUAUCUACACCCCAUAGAAAUAUAGCCUCAUCAUAGUCCACCUGAAUUUCAAUAGAAAAGAGUUGUUGUCUAAGUAAUGGUAGUAAUCAGUUCAAUUAUCACGAAAUAUCAGAGCACACAGCACAGUCACAGAGCAGAAUCUAGAAAUCCACUUCAUCCCCAUAUAGUACAUGCACAUGUCAAUGAUAGCUAUAAUGUCAUUUUCUUUGAUAUCCACUAGCCAGAAUGAAACCUUUCUUUUCCAUGAAUAUGCAUUAACUCAGAUUUCAGGUAAUACAGAUACAUAUUUUAAGGAUAUGAUCAUUCGAACUUUGACUGCAUAAAAGCUAAUAGAUAUCCUCUACGGCAACCAAACGAAUUAUAGAAUUACCCACCAGGCCUAUCACAGCAGAAAUCACAAUAGCCGCCAGAGCACACUGAGUUAAGAGAAAAUAAAUCCCAUAGUUAGAACAUAAAAAGUAUACACCCAAUUGGAAUGAUAGAAUAAAGAUCAUAAAUUUAAAAGGCACACAAUUUGAAAUAAUAGCAAAAAUACCACAAAAGCCACCAAUCAUGAGCUGCAUAAGAUUACACUCCUAAAUGAAAAAGACAAAUGCGAUAACAUGGAAAUAAACCUGAGGUAUAUAUUCAAACAGUGGAGUCAUGAAUAGGAGAGCACAAGCCAUUACGAUUCCCAUAACAAGUCCAGAUAAGCCAGUUUUUGCUCCACUUUCAUGAUUAACAGCUGACCUAGAAAAGGAACCUGCAUAAAGCCAAAGUAAGAUAAAAAAUAUAAAUAUUUAAAUACAAACCCUGCCUACGGCUCAUAGAGGAAUCUCACCUGUUGUGGGGUAUGCAGAAAAAAAUGAACCAAAAAUAUUGGCCACACCAAGACCAAACAACUGUUUAGAAGCAAAAAGAAGAUUCAUUAGUAUAAGUGUUCUUGUCUGAGUCACAGUAGUAAGCAGUUCAGUUUUCUCACAAAUAUCAGCACACAUCACCAAAUCAUGCGUCAACAAGCAAUACUGAUACAACAACAACAAAGCCUUUUCCCACUAAGUGGGGUCGGCUAUUAACAAGCAAUACUGAUGAUGUAGAAAAAUAGACAAGCAUGCAGCCAACAUUUGAGCUUUAACCAAAAGUGCUUAAACCUAUAUUCUGUUUUUAUACAUGAGCAAGAGGUAAGGUUAUGUGCUUGUGCACUUCCAAUUUUUCCAAAAACAUACCUCUUGAUUCGAAUCCAACUCGUACCCAUUUUUUGCAGCUAAUGCUUUUGCAAUGCCCACAGAUUCCUAGAGUUCAAAAUAUAUUACCACAUGACUGAUAGUUAUAAUCAAUUAAAGGGAGAAAGCAAAGUUAAAAGUAAGAGGUUCCAUGGAGCUCAUCUUACCAAAAUAGCUACACCAGUAAUAAGAAGCGCAGUGGGAAUCAAAGAUGUAGCGUAUCCAAAAGCUUUAGGAAUAGAAAAGCUUGGAAGACCCUGCGGUAUAUCUCCUACCUAAACAACAGCCAAGAACCUUUGUUAACAACUAUGGUAAAGGGAUGUAGAAUCCUGCUAUUACAAAAGAAACAUUCCCAUGAUAACAGGAAAAAAAAUUAUUGUCUUUUGCCUCCACAUUAAUGACUAUUCAAUUUUAAAACCGACACCAGAUUAGAUUGCAACUAUUCAGGAAACUCUCAUCUUCAGUAUCGCCUGAAUUCCAACUGGCAAGUCCACAUGCUUACCUUAACCAUCCCAUUAUUCAAGCAGAUGGCAUAUGAAAACAGGUGCUUGUCAUACUGAAUACAUACUCUGAAAAACUCUACAGUGGCUAUUUUAACAAAGCAAGUAAUUAUCUGGUUGAACUAUUUUUUUCUAAAUUUCUUGGAUGAGAUUCAUAAGUUUUCACAGCCUAGGAUUUUAGUACAAGUGCAUAACUGCCGAUUUCUGGUUGACAGAAUGAAGACAAAAACAGAACAUGUGAUCUAAAAUUUCUUAGUAAAGCAAAUUUAAAUAGAACAUCCAGAAACUAGUAUUGCAAUCCCUACAUUGUUAGAUUAAAUAAUUUCCAAUCAAAAUGAGUCUAAUUCACAUCACUCUCACCAAAGAUAUGGAAGAUGGAUUAAAUAUUUUCACAAAAAUUGUGCCCAAAAGGACAGCUGUGAGGGGGCCUGCUGCUCUCAAGAAUCGCAAGUACUUCCUUGUUUUUCCCUGAAUGGAUAAAUUAGAAAAUUAAAAUCAAAACUAUGCUAAGAAAUAUAUCCGACUAAGUGAAUACAAUAAGCUCAUACCAAGUGCUUCAUGGUCAAAAGAAUUGCAAGAAUGACGGAUCCCAUUACAAAAGGAGGCCAUGAAAACUACAAAACAAAAAACCUGCUGCAGUUAGCAAAGAAUUGAUAAGUAAAACACAAAGCUUCAGUAGAUGAAGCAAAUAAAUGCAUAUCUGGUUCAAGUAUUAGAAGAAGGAUAGGGCACAUAUAUGUAAAUAAGGUUAAGUGAAUUCUUAGGUAUGUAAUAAUCAGUUAUUAAAGGGCAUAACGGAAGUUAAAAGCAUGGUUGCUGUGCAGAUUGUUACUGGCAAAGCGAUGGUGCCAAAAAAACUCAUCGAGCAUAGUGUACAAAAUAAUCUAUAAGGGAUCCAACAGCUUUUCUUCCAGUUUCCCACUUAUUGGUUUCACUUUCAUGUCCUGACAUCUGACACUCCAUUUUCAAAACCUAGAAUAUGGUCGAUUUUCUUAGAGACUGGAUUGUAUAUCCAAUGUAGAGGGCGCUUGGACUAGUCUCAGUUCAGGCAUACCAAGACAUAAAACAUUAUAGCAUGUGGUAAUCUCUAUAAGAAAAACAGAAGUUGUCACCUAAUUCCCACUAGAGAGAGAGAGAGAGGGAGAAAGUAUCUUGAAUCACUUCACAAGGUAAUCGUAUCAGACUAUUAGUACUUCAGAUGACAGAUGAAACAUGAUGCAUAACAUGCAUUAGUUGCAUAGCAUUCUGAUUGUUGAUCAUGGGGAGAUACAUCCGACAAGAUGACAAUAUUUAAUGUUCUGCUAAAGUGCAGAAGCAAAAUUAUAUAAUUUAUCAUAUUCGCAAAAGAUUAUAGAUCAUUAUUUAAGAAAAAUAAUAUUGACAACAACAGUCGGUUGUGAAAGGGGUAAAUUAACAAAUAAUUGCAAUACUGCUUAAGAAAUUCAAACUCAAACCCAAAUAUGACAUGAAGGUUAUACCACUUGGGCAUGCAAGCAAAGCAUACCCCAUCGGCUCCAGCUAUAAUACUCUUUAUCAACGGCACAAUCUUGCUACUUCGUUCUAUAUCAUAUCCCAAAAAGUAUUUUGCUUGAGAUAAGGCAAUCACAAUGGCUGAAGCAGUUGUAAAGCCAGAAAUGACAGAGUGGCUGAUGAAGCGGAUAAUCCAUCCAAGCCUGGACAAGCAAAGAAUCUAAAGUAAAUGAAACCAAAAUACAACAUCAAGGUAGCAACUAACAAUAUCCUAUAGCUUACAAUACUUUUCACACUCCAAAGUCGCUUUUCUCGGCACAAAAAGGAUCCCCCACCAUAGAGUAUGAAAUUCAUUUUUUAUAACUCUAUGACUAGUACAAGGUAGAGCUAAAUUGUAGUAGCAUGACAGAUAAAGCACCAACAACAUGAUCAACAAGUUUUCGGCUUUCACUUUUAUAGAGCUCAAAACACAAUGCAUCUAAUUUCUGAUCGCAUAAGUACAUGUCCAUGCUGUAUCCAUGAGCAUGCACUUAAAGAGGGGAAAAGCAGACGUACCUCAAGAGCCCCAAAAUGCAUUCCAUGACCCCAACCAUAAAUGCCAGUAAUAUAGCCAGUUCUGUGUAUAAUGCGUCAGAUGAAUCAACAAUGCUAGUUAAGACAUUAGAGACCAGGAGAGAAACCAAUGCUACUGGACCAACGGCCAGCUGACGAGAUGAGCCAAAUAUGGCAUACACAAAUAAAGGUAUAAAACCAGAGUCUUCCUUGCAAAAUCAAACAAUCAGAAUCAAAACAUGCAGAUAAAUUAGUAGAUAAAUCAACAAGAGAAUUUGUAGAGUGGUCACCCUAUUCACUAGCGGUUUGGAACUUACAGAGUCCGUAUAUUGGUUCAAGUCCAGCCAAUUUUGCAUAAGACAUUGCCUGGAAUUCCACAACAAACGGUCAACAGAAGAAACAUACCGCAUUCAGUAUGUGGAUGAAAUAUUUAAUCUCAAACCGGUCUCAUUCCAAAUCACGAAUUAGAAAUACCUAAAACAUGUCACAUUCAGUAUUUACUAUAACGUAAUUUUGAUUUAAAAUUUUAACAGAUGCAUCUACGGUUUACAACCGUAUAACCAAUAUGUUCAUAACACAAUAUGCAUUCAAAGUAAAUGUAAUUCUUUUAAACCAAUAUUAUAUCGUUUCUUUAAACAAAAAAUUGCACCUAAAUUAAUUAAUUAUAAUGCCAUAAAACAGUAUCAUAUUUCUGUCUAAUCACCACGUCUUUAAUUGCCUGGCCGCUAAGAAAAUCAAAUCAUAAUAACUACAAAAUCUCACGACAACGGAUAGUAGUGGACAAUUUGCACACGGGACCGAUUUAUUACGAGUACGCCUAAUUGCUACAGAGAAUUACAAAUCCGUCUAGUCAUAAAUAGUGAUUACAUAUACAGACAAAAUGAGAAAAAAGAAUGUGAUUGGAGAGAGCUUUCGUGUUUGGCUUCCCAGAAAAUGAAGGAAAAUGUAAGAAAUUUAUGCCUUAGAUCUCAAGAUUUUCCAUUUGUUUAAAAAUCAGAUUACGAUAAAAUAGCAGUAAUUACAAUUUACAAUUCAACCUGAUUCCAGCUUAAUUGGUUGCUUGUGUUUCAAAAAGCAGCGUUAAAAUCGGUUAAUUAACGUCAGAAGAUUAGAAACCACAAAAAAAAGAGUAUUUUCUGUUUGGUUGCUGAGAAAAUUAAAUAUUCAGGCGACGAACAGGCCUUGAAUUAUCAGCUUAAGAACCAGGAACUUCCAAUUCGGUUUAAAACAAAUACAAAAAAUUAUAAAGAAUAAAAAGGAACGAAUUGCCGGAAUUGAGGAGAGCAGCAAACGCUUCGAAUUUUCCUUUCCUUUUCUUUCAUUUUCUCGGCAACCAAACAGAGAACGAAAAUUAAAAAUUCUUACCUGAGGAACGAGCAUGACGCCGACGGUGAUGCCGGACAUGAGAUCGACCUGCAAAUACUCGCGCCAUUUGUAGGUCCGAAUCCAGCGGGAGCAAGGCAAGAAGAGCGCCAGCCAUUCGACCCAGGUCAUGCUCUGGACCUUCGAUUUCCAUUUCGACAGCGCCGCCCACGGCGACGACGAGGAGCUCGACGACGUCGUGUCGGGGUGCUGGAGGGGGAUGAUUCGAACGGGUCGGGCGGAGGUCGGCAUGGAGGAUCCGGCCGCGAAGUCCGUGUAGCUUGGAGAUGCGUAGGUUAUCUCCAUGCGCACCACCGGCGCAUGUGAGUUAUUUAUCCCGCGGUUUUGUGCAUGCGCGGCGCUCGGUGGCCGAGAGAAAAUGAUGAUGUGAUGGGAAUUAGUGGUCCACUUAGUGCGAUUAACAUGGUAUUUAACAAAAACGCUAGAUUUAUUAAUCGUUAUUUUGUGGGGGUUAAGAUUAAAUGACUUCUAUACACGUGAACUUUCAAUCAGCCGCCGCUUUAGAAAAUAAGUAAUUAAAAAAAAUUAAAAACGAAGGGAAAAUAAAUCGUUGCGUUGAUUUGACAAAAAUUAAAGAAAUGUCAAUUUGAUCGUGGACAUCAGCUUUUAAAUUUGGAGAAAUUUUUUUAAGUACUGGUAUUUAAGCGGUAUUUUAUAUAAUUUUUUUUAUUUUUUGGUCAAAUAAAAAAUUUUCUUAAAUUAAAUGUUAGAUUAAUUAUUAAUGAGGUGACACAAGGCAUUUGCAUAUAUUUCCUCUGUUUAUUUUAAGAUACGUGCACCACCCGCUUAUUCUUUAUUUUCUAUUAUUUCCUUUUAUUUACAUUAUUUUGUUGAAUUCUUUUUAUGUACUUGAAAUAUGUACUUUUACCAAAACGUCCAGUACUUGGUGACAAGUUUUUGCCGCCAGAAAGGAAAUUUCCAAGCAAGGUAAACGUAUCAGAAUAGGGUUGGAGAUGGAUCAUGUAACAGAAAACGACAAAACUAUUUAUCAUACCGACUUUGGGCUAAGUCUCACAAAAAUUUGAGAUCAAGUUCGCCAUCAUCAUAACAGUGGCAAUUACAAGUUUACAUUUUAAUGAACAGUAAGAACAAAUCGCGUAUUAUAAAGUUAGUGAUUAUGAGAGGUGAGAAAGAUCUAUAAAGAAACGACAAAACAAUAAAUUAUUUUGAAACUUUAAAAUUGUCAACUAUUAUUGAAAUACUUAAAAAAUUUACGUGUACUGAUAUAAGUAAAUUAUGAAUAAUGAGCACACAUAUUGUAAUAGGGCUAUCGUACCACUCAAUUGUUUCCCCCGUGGAAAGGUGGGGUGGAGGGGACGUACCAAGCUAUUGUUGUGAUUAUAAUUACGAAGUUUUUUAAAUCAAUGGUGAUGGAACAUAGGGGGAUUCAACCAAUAAUAUAUUUAAAAAAUAACCAAAUAAAAAUUGAAAAUACAGAAAUGGAAAGGGUGUGGGUUUUGGAUGAAUGUGGACGAGAGUACGUAUAAGUUCAAGACCGCAUGAUUGAGGAGGAGGCGUAGGUGAUUGAAUCCACGUGACUCAGGUGUAGGCGUUGGGACAGCUCAGAGCUCACCAUGUUGUGUAUCGGGCUCGCCUGAUUUACCAGUUUUCAGAUACUUUGGUUAUGUGUUAAUAAUGGUCAUUUAAAAAAAAAAUUAUUAAGCGUUUUUUAUAUUUGUUUUUCUCUAGCAAUUGCUUCAUUGAAAAGUGCUUCCAUGGAACCAGAUCCUCUCUGGAUUCAAAGAAAUUGAGUUCAAUGAUCAAAUGAUUCGGACCAUUAAAAUUUGAUCUAACGGCUAUAAUUAUUAUUAUUUUUAGAGAAUCUACUGAUUGUAACCGUUGGAUCAAAUUUCAAUGACCUAGAUCAUUUAAUGAGUAGGCUCAAUUCUUUUGAAUCUGGAGAGGAUCCGGCUCCGUGCUUCUAUGCCCAAAAGCACAGGCAAGGAAGGAGAAAUUCUCGUGUUUAGAACUUAAGAGGGGGAAAUUGUGUGUCCGCUAAGAGGACUACGUCAUCUAUACGCUCAAACGCAACCAAACAGAGCCCUUGUAUAUUAGAGUUGGUUAAAGCGAGUUCAUGCUAAAACUCAUUCUAUGUAAAGAUUCGUUUAGAAGUGUUUUUAAAUAACUGAAAGUAAUUUUCUGGAAGUAUUUUUGGGUUCAAAAAUCACUUAGAAGUGCAUUUUAGAAAAACACAGUUCUGUAUUUUUUCCGUAAGUGUUUUUUCCAUAGAGUACUUCAAGUGUUUUUCAAGAUUCACUUGCAGAUUGGUUUCAAAAUAACUUUCAUUAAAAACGCUUUCAGUUAUUUUAAAAGCACUUGUAAACACACCCUAAGACCUCCAACACGAGAGAGGUCAACUAGUGAGUUAUUCUUUUGUAGGCGGUUGAAAAACAUGCGAGUUUCUCAAGGAGUAGUGAUAUACAGUAACUUGAAAUUGCUGGGUCUCACUAAAAGGUGCAUGCGACCCGGCCAUACAAAUGCUGUUUUCCCAGUGUUACCAGAAUCCCAACUUGUUCUUGACGCCUACCAAACAUCUACACAUUUUCAGUUUAUUACUGCCUUCGAUUUGGGAUCGAUUCUAGCGUACAAAGUUGAACACAACAACAAAUAGAAUUAUCCUCACUUUUAUGAGUGCG
rnacentral:lncRNA from 1 species